UUUUGCAUGCUCUCUGUAUAGGUCUGAAUGAUUGCAUUGUUUGACUUAGCUAAGCUUUGAAUCAUAUCUUGGAGAUAAUGGAAGAAGUGUAGUGAUUUUCAGUAGAUUUUAGAAUUGUUAAAGAUUAUCCCUUUUGGUAGUUUAAAUCUCCAGUUAUGAGCUUAUGAAGUGGAAUGACAGAAUCUGUCCUAACCUGGACAGAGAUGUUUUCUUUAUGAUGUCUGACCUGGUUAACUUUUGAAUUAGCUUGUGAUAUUUAUAAAAACAAUUAUGCAUGGUUUGCUAAAAUUUUUAAAAAGUCUAGAACCACCUUGUUUUGAAAGGAAGCACUCAACUUAUGGCUGUCUAAAGUUUAAUGUCAAAAUCUGUUCAAGUUUUGAUAAAUUUGUUUCUUUAUGUUGUAUAGUCUUGUUAACUGUUGAAUCAUCUUGAGAUGACAAUAAUAAAGUUAUGGAUAACUUAAUAAGAUUUCUACCAAGUUAAGAAUCAUGGUUGGUGGAUGUCUAGAACUCAACUUAUUGCUCUCUGAAGUUCAUGUCAGUUUUCUAUCCUUGUUUGUACAGAUCUGCUUAUUGGUGUGUUUUCACCUUGUUAAUUGUUGAAUUAGCUUUUGGAAUGAAUAACAAAGUUUUAUAUAAUUUCACUAACUUUACAGAAAGUCUAGGUUCACCCUUGUCGGAUGCUUAUAUCUCUAGUUAUAGCUAAAACAAUUGACUACUGUGCUGCUGUCCAGAUUCGGUGUAUGUGCUUAAGUUAUUAGAUUUAACUUGAUGUUGCCUUGUGUGUUUGUUAGUUAGCUCAUAUCACUAUUAGAGUUAAAUUGAUCUACCUGAGAAUCUUAUAAAUGUGUUAUAUAAUGUUGGUCAAGAACUUAACCAAUUAAUGGUCAUGUAUACAUGUUGCUACAAAAUAACCUUGCUGCAUAGCUUACUAGAACCUUAGUGAUGUUGGUGUGUGACUUACUUGUGCAUGAGUAGUUUAAAAACAAAUGUAAUAUACUUUGAUCACCUACAAUUUGCUGGUUGUGUGAUGCACUUAUCUAUGCCAUGUUGAUAAGCACCAUCACCCCUAGUUCUUAUAUGAUGCUAUGCUUAAUUAGCUCUUGACUGUUAAAUGCUUGCAAUAGCUUGACUUGAGUUAACUAGUGUGCCAUGCUUGUUAUGCUUGCUAUCUCUAUGGAGACUUGAGUGAUAGUUAGUUAAAUAACUUGCUCUCUAAGUACUUAUGUCUUGUGGUGUAACCUUGUGCUUGUCCUGAAUGCUUUUGUGUGAUGCAUCUCAUUUUACCAUUCUUCGUAUUCAUGCUCUUGCAUCUUGCAUCUCAUCUAGAUACGCUAGAUAAACCACGUGAAGGGCGUGAUGAUGGAACCGAACCCGAAGACGGUGUAUGGUGGAGCUAUCCCGAAGAUGGAAGGACUAAGCAAGUACUGAGAUGGGAGAUGCUCGCCAAGCGAGUGUCGUCUAACAAACACUAACCUAGUGUUGGAUUCCAGGCAAGCCCCAGAGCAUGAUUUCCUAUCUUUAAAUACUUGCAAUACAAUUGCUUGUUUUGAUUGUGCAUUUACGUUCCAGGAGUUGAUUGAAACCGUAGAUGCAUGAACUUAGUACCCUUGAUAUGAACACUAGUAUAUUAAGUCAAGUAGUUGCAAUGCUUAAUAGGACUCGAUAAAAGUUGAGUGAUUGCCUGUCACUCGCGAGUUAUAGGAGUUGAUUUCCUUACUUGUGUUGCAACUAUAAGGACGAUGGACGGGCCGGGCUUAUAUUCAGUACUUGGUGGUUUGCCCCGUCUAUCUACAUGAAAUUGGACUAAGGUCGAGAUGUGAUAGUGUUCAUGAUCAAGUGUUGAAAGUACUAAUCUCAUACCUAGUAUGGGAUGGGGAAGCCUAGUACCUGAUUGAACCGGAACAUGAGCGGAUCAUUCCACUAUCUUUGGAACAGAGUUCCCUUGCGGCCGCAUGUGGUGACAGGUGCAGUCUAUGGAGCCUUGUACCAAGGAAAGUGGGCCUAACACAGGUCUGGGAAUUGAUGGGGACGGCUGACAAAUGAAGCGACCCUUCGCGGUGCGCGGAUGUCGUGGGAUUAGGUUCACCAUGCAUGGUUAAGAAAUUUGAAUCCAUUCAUCUGCCUCUCACAGUUUGGGACUACUUGAUCGCUAUGCUACACUGAGUAAGAAUGAAACUUGAUGAUUGUUGGGGGGAAAUAUUAAUGACCUCCUAAUGCCGCUUAAAACAACAGUCAUGAAGGCCCAGGCCCACCUGCGGUAAUUACGAUUACCGCCGACCCAGUAGAGGCAGAAAACACCCCACUCCGUCUCGCCCGACCCAGGGCCCCGGGGUCGGACAAUCCCGACCCCUCGAUGGCGGGACUCCGUCUCGCCCUUUCCUCACCAGGACUUUGGCGCGCGAGGAGUUGAAGUGGGAAAUCCCCUAGGAUCCCAUCACCGAAGGAGGAAGGAACUCGACGGGGAUGGGGAGAAAGGGCAUAGCGCUAAGCAGAGGAAGAUGAAGCGGGCGCGGAUGAGCUGAGGGCGAGCUAGAAAGGCGAAAAGACUUGAAAGCAGAAGGCGGGCGGAACCUGCGAGGCGGAGCCUUCAUUUUAUAGGGAAGGGGCGAAGGGAGCGGAACUGACGCCCUUGUCGCCAUAAAUGCGGCGCCAGGUACGCCCCCAUCACGCCCACUUUCCUUUCGGAAACCGCGCGCACGAUCGGCCGCAGAGACAUCCUCUCCUCCUCGAUUCACGGGUCGGCGCCCUCCAUAACUCCGUCUCCCGGAAGACGCGCACACAACAUCCGCCCCGAUUCAGCCCAACGCCCACCGAAAGGUAAUAAGGGGUACGGGGCUGGAAAUGCCCCUACGGCCCAUUUACGAUCCAAAGGUUCGAAGGCUGGCCCGCUACGGGUUCGACGACCGCCUCAGGAUGCCCACGAGCAAGGGGUGAGAAGGGACGGGUCCGCUAGCGGCCACCACCCAGGCGAGCGAAAGCCAAGGGCGUCCCGACCUCACGUUCGAGCCCGAGCUGGCGUCUAAGUUCAUGGUUUUUCCCCGAAGAAAGGCAACGAGCCCCCGAAUCCGAUCGAACGGACUCGGGAACUACAUGAACUGGCCAGCCGGAAUCUGGAGUACGCCACCAGCUUGGCCCGAGCCUGACUCCCCGAACGGGGACCGGGACUCCACUCGAACCGUCCCAUUCGCAGCUCAACGAGCACCACGGUUCAUCCAACGAGGAUAGCGUGGCACGGCUCAUCCCCUCCAUCCCAGCGAACGAACGCUUGAGGGGUAACGAUAAAAAGCCGAUCUAGCCUCCCGAUCAGUCUCCUGCAACGCGCGGGGGCUCGAGGGCUAGCGUCGCAACCGACGACCACGUGUGUGGUCGCGAUUUGAGGACUCGAGGUGGGAGCGCCCUACGGAGCAAUGAGGAAUCCUCCCGUGCCAAGUCAUCCACAGGACACCUCUCCUGAUCAAACUCCCUGGCCAAGCCGGACCAACAACACUCCCUAUCCCUGAUCAACCGCAGCUUCCAGGGCGAGCAGAGAUCCCCGACGAGCGACGAAAAAAGCCUCUGGAGGAGCAUCUUUGCUCAACCACAGGCUCGGGGGCUACUGUUGGGGGGAAAUAUUAACGACCUCCUAAUGCCGCUUAAAACAAUAGUCAUGAAGGCCCAAGCCCACCUGCGGUAAUUACGAUUACCGCCGACCCAGUAGAGGCAGAGAACACCCCACUCCGUCUCGCCCGACCCAGGGCCCCGGGGUCGGACAAUCCCGACCCCUCGAUGGCGGGACUCCGCCUCGCCCGACCGCGGUCCCAAAGUCUGGAGCGUCCGACCCCUCACCGCAACGCUCCGCCUCGCCCGACCGCGGUCCCAAGGUCGGGAGCGCCAGACCCCUCGCCGCAAGGCUCCGCCUCGCCCGACCCAGGGGACCGGGGUCGGCAGCGCCCGACCCCCACCACAGAAACUCCGCCUCGCCCGACCCUGGGCGCGGGGGUCGAACUCACUCGGGUCCACAAGAUGGAUAUUCGCCUUGGGCACGGACUGGAGGAUCAGGAUGGGGAUCUCGUGGGUCCCCCUAUCGACCUCGCCAUAAAUGCGCCGCGGCCCUGUCAAGCCGAAAGGGGAGCGGCGUCCCCAACAUAAUCGGCCCCGAAUACCGAUGUGCGGCCGUGCGGUGCGAGCUGCAGUGGCCGCGGCUCCCUCUGAUUCGCCACAAAGUACUCAUGAGCUGCGCCGGACACCACAGGAGGGCACACCGCUCGCUCUCGCGCCCCGUGCGCCCAAUGCAAGUCUCAAGGAUGCGACGUUCGGGUCUUACGGUAAUUGGCAGGGCAAUAGAAUCGGACUUUCUCCCCGGCGGGCAUGGAUGCCGAGGCUGAGGAUCAUCAUCACGCUCGACGGCGACGACGACUAGGGAGAUCAUCGACAAGAUUGGGAAGGAAUCGCCCUCCCGCGCCGGACGUGAUGACAGGGACCAGAGGCCGGAGCAAGAGCGGCGGCCUUGGGACCCUCCCCUUGUGUUAUUUUUCUCUUUAGCUUAUCCUUUCUACCUCUCCUCUGAACGUCCGGCUCACCUGUAACCCCGAGCUCCUUCUUGCGCUAUAAAAGGAGGACCGAGGGUCCGGAGACGGGGACGAAGACUCUCUCAAGCCAACAGCACAGUCUCACACUCCCUUAGAGCACAAGCACACUCAAGAGACCUGGGAUCAGUUCCCUCUCUUGCCCAUCUGUAACCCCUACUACAGAACCCCGCGUGGGUAACACGAGCAGCCCUGAUACUGGACGUAGGGCCUCCUUUGCCCGAACCAGUCGAACCCCGUGUCUCCCAUGCCACCAUCCGAAGCCUUACGCGCAUAAAAGAAAUUUACUAGUCCAAGUCUCGAUCCGUAAAUCUUGACAACGACAAUGAUGAUCUUAAUAUUGAUGCUUGUCAUAAAUUGCUUGAAAACUAUGCUUGUUUAGUAUAGUUGCUAACUUAGAUGGGUAAAUGAACUUAGAAUUGGUGGCUAAAAUAUUGAAAGUAAGGACCUACACUAGUUGCUUUUGGCAAAAACAAACCCCUUAGCCAAAAAGCCUUGCAUGUCUAGAAGUUGGUGGAGUAGUUACCACCUGUCGGUUAAGUCUUGUUGAGCAUAGUUGCUCAGCCUUGCUUGUGGCACAUCUUUUUGGGUGAUGUUGAUACCUCUAAGUACGCUGCAAGUGGCACUUGGCCUCCCCAACUUCCUCCUGGUUGGACGGUUGAGUGGGAUCCCUCCUCGGACGGCGUGGACCGGGAUCAUUGAUGUCAUGAUCGGCUUCGUCAUGAUAUCCUACAACGACGUUUAGCUUCCGCUCAAUUAUUUCUGUUAUUUGAGAACACUACAAACUUGCUUGAAUUUCGAACUUGGACUUGUAAUAAUUUAAUGCACAUGUUUAAUUGAGAUGGACUAUUAUAAUCUCUGUAACCACUCGCCUUUGUGCGAGUCUUGCUUUCUUGAUCCUAAUUUAUCGGAUGAAAUCCGACGGACGACCAAGUUGAUUUGCUUAAAGUACAUGAUCGCGCGUUAAGCGGCUUAAGUGUGCUUUAGCCAAGUUAAUUUGGGCGGUUCUGCCACAGCGGCGACGGAUGUUCAGCCGCUGAAUCAGUCUUUGCACUCGGCACCAAGUCUAGUUCCCAACUAAACGACGGCCCUGCCUCCGAUGAUGUCCCUGCAGCCUCCGCAACGGAUCCAAGGGUGCGCGCGGCCUCGAGCUUAGGGGCUUCAGUUCCCACAAAGUUGAGAGGAAUGGCAUCCAAGACGUCUAACGUAGAUGGUUCUUCAACUGAUGCAGCCUCAGGCAAUGGUUCGGGAGCAGCAGUCUGGGGAGCAGCUGGCGCUACAUCCUAGAGAGAACCGAUCAUGUCCUGCAACAACGCGACCGCCAAGGAUGUAGCGUUUGCCCCUACCGCCAGCGCUAAGUUCUCCUCCAUUAAUUCGAUGACAGGCGCAGGGGCUGGUUUCAUAGUUGAGCGGCUUUCAUCAUCAGCUACUGGGCUUGUGCCUACCGCACCAAGUUCAACACUCGAAGAUGCCCUACACACAACAAAGCAUAAGAACCAAAGAGCAACUACUCGAUACAAAUUCAGUACUUAAACACAGCGCCAGGGUACUCACCUGGUCGACCGAUGAGGCACCAGAGGAGUUUUCCCCACCAAGCGCAUUGUCAAGGUACUAGGAAUUGGCAUAUUUGAUGGGGCAGGCAGUGGAGCUUCAGGGUUGUCACCAGUACCCGCAGCAAUUACUUGGGCAGCGGCAGCCACGUGAUCACCACUGGUAUCCAUGCGCUCUCCACCUCCGAAAAUUUUGGACAAUGUAGCAUCAGACACUGCCUCCGGCGUCUUGACUACUUCACUCAUGUCUGUCUCUGUUGAUCUGGCUACACUGCCGGUACUCACCGCUGGCUCCUCAGUCACGCAUGGAGUAGUUGUCUCCGAAGCCAUGGUCAUAUUACCAGCGGCCGUAUCCGCUGCAACAGUCCCGUCGUCGGUCAUUGUUUCUGCAACUUCAUCGGCAUUAUUGGUAGACAUCUCCGUGGCACCAACAACCUCAUCAACAGCUGCCUCUACGGUCUCGACUACUUCACUAGUAGCCUGCAAAAGAUAGAACUUAAAGAUAAGUAGUCAAAACUACUUACAACAAGUACAAGAGUAUUUGCCCCUCAAGGCCUUGCCCUUCCACAAAAGUUAUUACCGGCGAGGGCGCAUCAUGAAUGCAAAGAUCGCGCCUAGUGUGCCUCUUAGGCACAGCAGUUCACUGCUUCUUUGGUGGCGAUGCCAAAUCAACAUCUACGUCGUUGUCAACACAGCGUCUCAACGCGACAGAAGAUGACUUGUCUUGCUUCGGGGCGCACGGCUGCAAUACAAAGUCACCCUCAUCGUCACAAUCAGAGCUAUCAAUGGAAUCGGUCUCUUCAUCCUCCCCCUCCUCCUCUUCCUUUUCUUAGGAAUCCCCAGGCAAUUGCAGUGAAUGCACUGGCAUUGCGUUCUUUGCGUCAUCCGCACCGGGGGAAGGAGGAGGCAAAUAAAACACGAGUGAAUCUGCCUGCACAAGAAGAAACAAGUCGGAAAACAACAGAUCAAAACAAUACAAGUACUCAAAGCACAACAAUGAUGAAUACUUACUUCAUUCGGCUUGUUCUGGCUGUCGAACUCUUCAACUGCUCCAAGUGUGCCCUCAAGUUCUUUGAACAUCCGGCACAGUCGGGCCCCAACUUCUUCAUUAGAGACAUCAUCAGGCGACAUCCGUGAGGGAUCAUCAAGCCCAAAGUACUCAUAUGCGGGAGUCUGCUGAAACUACAAUGGCUGCAGCCGUCUUUUCAGAAAGCUGGCACUACGACUAUUCCUGUCAAACCCUGCUUCUUCAAUACAACAAUCUUGGUCAAUAGAUCAGGUACUUGAAUACUUUCAGCAGUUGUUGGUUCAUCAAGCCACCGGCUGCUGUACUUUGGACGAUAUCUAGUAAUCUUGGGUAGAGACGGCUUGUGAUCUUCAAUAUGAAACCACUUUCCCUUCCAACUACCAUGAGAUUCCACUAGCUUAUGCUCCAAAUACAGAUCCCAGUACUGCUCACGGAUCUGGAAGCCGGCACCUCCAAUAACCUGCAUAUUCUUCUGACUAGGUUGUGGCUUCAAGCGAAAAAUCUUGAGGAAGAGAUCGAAAUGGGGCAGAAUCCGCAGAAAUGAUUCCCACAAGUGAACAAAGAUGGAGAUAUGCAAAAUGUUGUUGAGAUUGAGAUGGACAAGUUGUAAUAAGUAGUACUCCAAGAGGCCCCAGAAAAAGUCAGAAGUUGGAAUAGCAAAUCCGCGCUCCACAAACUAGGUAAAUAUUACCGUCUCAUUGGGGUGUGCUUCAAACAUCCAAACAUUUCCAUAAGAGGACCUCCAACCCACGACCGCCUGCUCCUAUAGCAGCUUGACGUCUACCAGCUCUUGGAUUUCCGUGUCCUUCAUGGUGGAUCGCUUCCAGGCCAUCACCUGGUUGGGCGGUGCGGUCUGGUUGGUUUCCCCACAUUUUAGCAUCAGCAGUUCAAGCUCCUUCCCCUUCCUGGAAGUUCCUCUCUUGGAACCCUCCUUGGACCCCUUCUUCGAAACCUCAAGCUUCUUCUCCAUCCUGGCUUCGCGAGCCACUUCAUGCGCAUAUGCUCGGGGGUAGCGGAGGCGGCACGGACGAUUCACAAAUGGUGUGCAACAGCGCUCGAGGAAAAGUGAAGAUUUUCUGAGGAAGAGGCUAAAAGAUGCAAAUGACAGUGUAAGGGGAGGGGAUAACUUUCCCCAUCCCUUAUAACCGCGACGGAGUCUCCGUGGGUAAUGGGCCGAUGUUUUCGCUAAUUAGAGGCAAUUAUGGCCUUAUCUGCACAAAACAGAUUUUUUCAAACUGUUAGAAGCUGAAAGGUCACGGUAACAGAUUGAAAUACCCUUAUACCUCCCGGAACUAAUCGGGUAACGGCUCAGGGGCUGCGUAUACCGUGCCUGUUGGAUAAAAAUUUCUUUUUCUUCAAAGAUCAAGACAAAGACGGAACAAAUGCAGAUUGACCCUCAGCCUGAUUCUUCGAUUCAAUCUAAGGCUCGGGGGCUACUCCAUAUGGAGUGCGAUUUUCAUCGCACUUCCAUAUAAAGGUUUGAAGGCAGACUUCUCAGAAACAACGUCAGAUGAGGCUAAGAGUACCUUCCAGCCGCAUGACAGCACUCAAGUACUCGAAGACUUGGCCACAACCAAAGUACUCGAAGAGCACCAGAAACUAGUCGAGCAACGUCUACAAAAGUACCCGAGGCUAUUACAUUUGACUACAAAGUACUCGGGGACUUGUCGAGCAUACAUCCAUGGGCCCACCAGAAGGCUUGUACGGAUCCAUAUGAGGAGAAGUACACCAAGAUAUACCAGAACAUGGAGACUACAAUACAGGGUGGCGUAGUCUACAUGGACUACCAGGAGACUAGUCAUAGACAAGGAAACUACUCUUCCGAGUCAGAGUAGAACCUGUAGUCAUAUCCGACUAGUACUCUUGUAAAACAACUAUCCUGUAACCCUGCUCCUCCGGUAUAUAAGAGCGGGCAGGGACCCCCUCAAACAAAGUUCAAUCCAAUACAAGCAAACAACACACAGGACGUAGGGUAUCACGCGAUCUAGCGGUCCGAACCUAUCUAAAUCGCAUGCCUACGUACACCAUUGAGCUCCUGAUUUUGGCGACACCCACCAACCAAAACUCUACCUGGAGUACUCCCUUGUUAGGUUGUUGGGUUUAAACACCGACAGGCGGCGUAGAUGAUCUGCUCGUGACGCAUUCCUAGCUCGCCGGCAUGUCCUUUCACUUUCAGCCUCUUCUCCUUGUACGGUGGCGGUGAGCUCAUCUGCCGACACGUCGUCUGGGUGGUGUUCAUGCCGUGGAUGCCUUUCUGGUUGCUCUUCAUCGCUGUUGGCCCCUUGAGGAUUGAUGAUGGCAAGUAGUUCCCGCUCUAGAGGAAAACUAGCCGAGCUUGACGUGAUGAUCUUUGUAGGGCCGUCUUCUUCGUAGAUAAGAGAUAGAGGUGUUCCCUCCUAGUAUGGGAGGUUGUCAAGGUACGCGACAAGGCAUGACUCGUCGUCCUUGGCUAGAGCAGAUGGCUUCAUGUCGGGCCAGUAGAUGAAUCUGCCUUGUGGCGUAGAUGUGAUUACCACGCCCUACUACGGACCUGAUAAAGGGAUCUCCUCGUUCGGGUCCGAGUAGUAGUCGAGGUCCUCGAUCAAAUCUGAGUUGGAUAGGGAUCUAGACAGGUUGGCUUGAAAGAUAGCACCCGCGUUUCGGAGUCUGAACGGGAAUCGAGUUGUAUCGUAGACCGAUUCACACAAUGGCUCAAACGCCAGCUUGUAGGAACCAAUCCGACUAGUGGGAGGGGUCGAAUUGUACCCAGGCUUAUCCCUGGAACCACGGAAGAGGUCAAAAAUUUUGUUGAAUUUUUCAACAAAAUCCUCCAAAGCUUAGCGAUGGAGGUUGAUGUCGUAGUGCUUCUCAUCCAGGGCCGGCAUGAUGUGGUGGUGGAAGUUUGUAGCGCCGUCUGCGAUGCAGACCUAGGAGCCGAAGACGAACGUCGUGCCCUCUUCGAACGUGAUGGUGGGCUUGAUGACUAGAGCCAUCGAGUUCGCCAGCGAAUCUUUAGCGAGAUCCCCUACCUAGCGUGCCAACUAUCGGUGUUUAGACCUGGCAACCUACCGAUGGGGUACCUGAGGUAGUGUUUUGUACGUGGGGCUCGCCGAAGACUAGGAACUCGAAGGUGAACUCGAACACACGAUUUAGACAGCUUCGAGCCACAUAUGUCGCGUAAUACCCUACGUCCUGUGUGUUGGUUGGAUUGUAUUAUUUGAUGAUUGUUUGGAGGGGGUCCCUGCCUCGCCUUAUAUUGCCGUGAGCAGGGUUACAGGUCGGUUGUUGUACAAGAGUACUAGUUGGAUUCGACUAGAGAAUCCUACUCUAAUUGCUACGAGUAGUUUCCUAAUCCUCGACUAGUCCUUGUCCUCCACGUAGAUAACGCCGUCCUGCACCAUAGUCUUCAUGUCUGACACAUCUUGGUGUAUAGCCUCGUAUGUAGGACUGUCCAAGCCUCACGGUGGCCCCAUAGAUAUAUGGGCGACACCGCCGUCAUCCUCGUUGUUGUCCACGUGGCAUGGUGGCCAGGUGAAGGCAGCGCCCUUGCAGGAUGUCCUGUCAGGCCUGUCCCUGCCACGCCCACAGUCCUCCUUGGGCUUGUCGCGCACGUGGUGGGGCUGGGCAGCGUGUGCAACGCGCUUGCGGUCUCUGGGCUGCUCGUCGCUCUUGUCACGCCUGUCGAUGCCUUCGCGCCCGCCAGCCCGCCUGUCUUGCUCCUCUCGCGAGUGUUGUUCUUCCUGGCGGUGGACCUUCUUGUCCCGCGCCCCCGUGUGUCGCAGCGGUCACAGGAGCCUUGUGGGGAAGCGCACCAUCAACAAGCCCAUAGAGCCAUUCAUACCGGCACUUGACUGGCGUGAUGCUCAUCGGGUUGUUGACCGCCUCCUGGAGGUUGCGUGCUGCCACCGAGUAGUCCUCGAGGAGAGGUAUGUGGAUGAAGACUUUGUAGCGGCAUCCUGUUACCAUGGCUCCGGUGGUUGCUCGGCGAAGACGAAGACAGCUGAUGAGCGAUUAGAGGGCUUGUGGGUGAAUGCCAACCACACCCUCUUGGGGAUCUCACUUGGAUUCGCUAUCCAUGCCUAGAGCUCGAUGUGGCGGGUGUCUGCUGGCUAGACGAGGUCCGUGACGAUGCAUUUCAGGGCACACUUGUGCCCGACGAUCUCUGGCGUCCAGGCGUGGGACAGGAUGCUGUCCAAGCAGUGGCGCACCCUGUAGAAGAUACGGAAGCCGAGUGCGUGCGUCAGGCUACGCUAGGUGUGGAGGCAGAUGUCGAUUCCUCACCCGGUGAAGCGACCUCGGUGUCGGGCCUCGACGGCGUGGGCAGCGUGCUCGAACCGGACCAAGUAAGGUUCAGGUUGGUGAAGCAUGAUGGUGACAUCCCCUUCCUUAGCUGGAGCUUGUCGACGAGUAGCUCCGAGAUGUCGUGCGCCCCGGCGCUGUGCGGCAGAUGCAGGGCCUAUGGGACUAGGGCGCAGGACUCCCAACCGCGAGCUUCGCACUCGAGAUCGAAGGAAUUAGGGAUAAACACCGUCUCUAUGUCAGGAUGAGUGUGUGGAUCUCCAAUCACCAUUGCUGGGCAAUACGGGGGCGGUGGUGGACGUAGGGGCGGCGACGAUGGUAAUGGAGGAGGGGGAGGCGGAGGAAGGAGGUGGUGUCAUGGCAGGAGACUUGCGGACAUGGGGACAGUCUCCCUCUCGGUGCCCUGAGCUGCGACACAGGAAAGCGGCAGACGGGUCCCUGCACUGCGCUGCCCGGUGCCCUCUAGAGAGGUAGAUGAAGUAGCGCCCCCAGGUGAUGCGGUUGAACUCCUGUAGUGCCAUGGUAGCUGGCUAUCUUGAAGGCUUUGCGUCGUUGCGCCACCAUGAAUCCGUGUCGCAUCGGCUUGCAUGACCCCUGUGGUAGCUGACGUAGAUCCAUCCCUCCCUCUGCAGAGCUCCACUAGGGCGGUCAUCUUGCUAGCUCUGCCACGGCCGGUCGAUGAAUUGAAUGCAGCAUCCUAGUGUAGUUAUCGCUAGCUUGGGGCGGUAGCUCAGUGGAGGCCGGUGAGGCUCCUUGAAUGCGCCGUAGUGCACGGCCUCCGCAUAGGUAGGGGCUCGAUCUGUCGAUGCUGUGGAAGUUGAAGAUCCUCCGGAUCCAGGGCAGGGCCAUGGCUAGCCGGAUCUGGGCGGAUUCGAUUCAGGCCAGGCGGACACCCCCUGCAAGAAGCGAUCCCACGAAGAGACGGGGACCGGGUUGGCGGUGGAGCGGGGCUUAGGUGCGGGUUGGCAGCGGGGGUUCUUGGGGUGGAGGUCCAGCCACUCCAGGUGGUGGGGGAGGAGGGUGGGGGUUAGGAGGCACAGUGGAAGCCUCCUUUUUCUCUUUUUGAAAAGUCAUGGUUGGUUCUUUAUGUUCGUUCCUAAAUGAUCUUCAGUAGGUUGUUAUAUUAAUCAACAAGUGGAGUACAGUAACAUUGGACAACGUCUAAUAGCUAGUAAAUUAUUGGAAAGACGUUUUUGUAAAUAUUUUUUGGUUGAAGUGCCUACUUGGCAACACAUGGCUAAAUUAUAUAUAUUAACAUUAUCACUUACACCCUGUUUGGAUGUAGAUAUUGAAGCUGGAAUUUGGAAUUGGUAUUGGUUAUCCUCAAUGCUUGCUGUUCGGGUGUUUAUAGAAUUGGAAUUGGAAACCUGCUGCAAUACCGAACAGUAUUGGGCAUACUGCCGCAGCCCCUCGCGCAAUGCCGAACCGUUCCUCUCGGUAUUCGCUGAAAUUGACCUCCCCCUCUCUCGCAUCUCUUUCUUUCUCCGUCUCAAUCUCUCUCCGCUGGGCACCAAACGCUACAGCUCCGCGCGAGAAGGCGGCGUGGCCUUCACCAAUCAGGCCACGACGGCACGGGUGAGCUCCGCCCCCCCCCCCGCCUGCUCUCUCGGUCUGCGUCUUAAUCUCUCUCUUCGUCUCAAUCUCUCUUCGUCGGGCAUCCGAUGCUGCUCCUCGGGGAGAGAAGGCGACGCGGCCUUCACCGGCAAGGCCAUGGCGGCACGGGUGAGCACGCGGUGGUCCCAUCACCUCAUAGGCUUCGAGUGUGAGAACGAGCGCACGAGCUUACCCCGGCGAGGCGACGACUCACAGUUGAGCCACCUGCAUUGAAAUCUUUCUCCAGCGAGCUAUCUAUUGGAAUGCUCAAUUUUUUGACUUGUGGUUCCAUUUUGCUAGUGAGAUUCUUGAUUUGUUGCAUUGUCGUUCGAUUCUGCUGCUGCAGUGCUUGAUUUGUUGGUCGAAUUUUGUAGAAUUUUGAUUUUGCCUGUAGGUCCUAGUUCAACGGGAGUCCGGCCAUUUGUUUGCCACCGGGUAUGAGUUGACGAGGUCGUCCGCGGUGGGGUCGAACAGCGGCUGGCCGCUUGGAGGCCUGCUUGUGCGACAUGGUGGCCUCAACGGCUUACCCUCCGACCGCCGCGUCAUUGAUGCCGCUGGUGAGGAAGAACAGAACGAGAGAAAGAAACAAGCAAGUCAUGGGCAUAAUCGUCACUUCAAUUUGGCUGGAAAAAAAUUGAAAAGAAAAGUAGGAAAAUAAGCAUAUAGAGAAGAUGUUGACUCUCAAUUUCAUGAUCUGAACAUCCAAACACGAAUUGGUAUUUGCCGUCUCAUUCGAUUCCAACUAGCAAUUCCAUGUACAUUUAAACAAUAGAUUUUGUAUUAUAACCUAUUUUCAAUAUCAUUCUGCUUUGGUAUUGAACUCAAUUUAGUGCCAAGCUCUUUAAUAUCUACGUUCAAACGGACCCUCAAGCAUGUGCACACUCUAGCUAAACCAUUUACACACAACUGUGAUGCUCCAAUCACCACCAAACAAGUCAUCCGGCCCAGUCUCUCGUGCACAUAGAAAAGUGCUAUCCCCAUUCGAUUGGAGACACCUGGCUGGCUACACAUCACCCGAAGACCUUUUCUUAAAGAGAUUUCGUUUUCACUAGUCCUAUGUCUCAAAAUUCAAACAUCACAGUUGACCAUUUGUCUUCGUACAGACGCGUACGUGCAAAAUACGUUCGAAUUCCUAGCCAUUCCACUGGGACCCAUGACUUUUCUUUUUUGUUCGAAUAGGACAAGCACCAAGUUAAACAUCCAAUGCAUCAAACAGGAGCAUCGAUCGAGCAGCAGCGACAAGGACCUGCCCUGCCCGCCCGCAGCACGAAGCACCAGCGUUGCACGCAUCCUCCUCCGCGUCCAGGAAUCCCGGGCCCAGCACGCACCCCGUCGCCUCCCCUUCGCCGAGCCGCCCCGCCCGCGCCACCUCCGAUCCUUCUCCCCUCCCCUUCCCCUCCCCUCCUUUCUAGAACCUCCUCCUCCUCCUCCUCCGCCCCCCGACCUUGACCGGACCGCGCCCGCGCGAGUCUAGUGGGGGCUUCCGGCGCCGCCGGCGGGGGUGAAGAUGGCGCUGGAGCUGAGCCUGGCCUCGGCCUCGGCCUCGCCGCCGGCGGGCUGGCUAGCGCCGCCGCCGCCCCUGGCCCCGCCCGGGAAGGAGCAGCAGGUGGCCGGCGUGGGGAUUCUGCUGCAGAUCUCCAUGCUCGUGCUCUCCUUCGUGCUGGGCCACGUCCUCCGACGCCACCGCUUCUACUACCUCCCCGAGGCCAGCGCCUCGCUCCUCAUCGGUAUGUACGCGGUUGGCCGAACCACUAACACGGGAGUGAAUUUGGGGGAGUAAUGUGUCGUAAUGGAUCAGCACGGGGAAUGAAUUUUUAGGGAAGUAAGAGGGUCGAAUGGACCCUUACCAGUGCGACCACUUUUUAAGUAUUCGAGGCUGAAAUGUUAGGCAUAAUGUGUACCAGCAGUCGCGUGCAGUUGAUUCACUUCGAGCGAUGAUUUUGGAUGCUAGUGGUCUUAGCUACCAAGUUCAUCAGGCAUGCUUCAUUUAGUUUUCCACAGAAUUGGAGUGUCUCCAUAUAAAAUUGAUUGUUAACCUGUCGAUCAGUUCAUCAGCACUUUUGUUCCUUCACAUGCUGAUCAAUUCUUCAGUACUUGUCUGAGGUGCUUAUAAGUCAGUCAUGUGUCCCUCACACAAUGCCUAACAUUCAGUCCAACAUCUCAAGUCUCUUUUACACUCUGAGUAAAAGUAACUGCUUAAUGUUAACUCUAGAUGCCAUCGUAUAUCAAUAUGGUUUUUUGGUGAUCCUGCCCGUACUUUGAUGUGCAAUUGUGUUUUCACCCCCGUUUUUUGAACUUAGUGAUUUUGCCCUCACCUAUUCACAAGUCAAUGUGAUUUUGCCUUUGGUCUUUGCGUAUUUGCCUCUGUUUUGACCGUUGACUAGGGGCAAAAUCGCAUUGACUUGUGAGUAGUUGAGGGCAAAAUCACAAAGUUGAGAAAAUGAGGGUAAAAUCACAAUUACACUUCAAAGCAGGGGUAUGAACACAAAUGCCCCCAUCAAUAUUUAUCUGUAAUUUCUCUAUGUUGCCUAUUGCUUAGUCCAAUAUCACAGAAGGUGACUCUAUUUGGUUGGUAUUUAUUACAAACUGACAAAAUUCAACACUCAGAUUCAUUAUCAAAUUUAUGAAUGAUAACAGUAUGCAAAUUAUAAAAGAAAGUUGAUCACCAGCAAACUUAUUCAAUCUCACAAUUUCAUGUGGUGAUUUGCAGUAGUUUAUGUUGAUCAAUGAGAACCACUGGAAAGUAGUCUUGUAUAGAAAGUGAAGCCAGCUACUCAGGAUAGCCAACCAGUAAAACAAUAUCUAGGGAGAAGUAAAGCUUCAUUAUUCUUGUUCUUUAUGUAUAUUCUUAAAUUGUUAGUGCCCUUUAGAUAUGCUGCAUAAGAUUUUUUUUUUCAUUUUGUUCAUGCAUAGCGCAGGCAUUAUUUAACUCUGGAACUGUCAUGUCUGUAUUGCAGGUCUAGUUGUUGGUGGCCUUGCUAAUAUUUCAAAUACAGAGACCAACACUAGGUUUGUAUUGUUUUACCAGUUUGAUUUACUAUACAUCUGUUUUAUGUUAAUGAGUAACUUAGAUUUACACACGGUUUGAGCAUGUUCCAUUGAUUAUGUCUUGUUCAUUUCAAUUUGUAGGACGUGGUUCAACUUCCAUGAAGAAUUCUUCUUCUUGUUCUUAUUACCUCCGAUAAUAUUAUAUCCUUUCUUGCAAUUCUUUUCUAUUGUAAUUGUUGAUUUUUUUAAUGAAAAGAAAGGUCUACUAACUCUCCUAAUUCUUAUUCAUAAGCAUCCUUACUGGAGUAUUUCCUUUCGAAUAUUAAAUUUGUAUUCCUUGACUUCAAUAUACUCAAUCAGGAUUCAGCUUAUCUCCGGUAAGUACUUCACAACAGCUAAAUUUUUUGUUUAUCUAAGAUACUUUUUAAAAUCUCUUCACUGGUUUACAGAAACCAUUCUUUGCGAACUUUGGGGCUAUUGUAACUUUCGCCAUUCUUGGGACGUUCAUUGCUUCUGUUGUAACAGGGGUUCUUGUGUAAGCAAUUAACAAACUCUAUUUGCUAGAUUUGCUGAAAUCUUAUGUUUCCUGAGCCUAUCCUUUAUUGUACUACAGCUAUCUUGGUGGGCUGACAUUUCUAAUGUAUAAACUUCCACUGGUUGAAUGCCUUAUGUUCGGUGCCCUUAUAUCUGCAACCGAUCCUGUCACAGUGCUAUCAAUAUUCCAGGUACCUGGUUUUGUGUUUGUUUGUCAGUCUUGAACUUGUAGUUUGCUGUCAUCUUCAAAGCUGUUUUAUAGAAUGUUUUGGCCUUUUCCUUAUGAUUUUGUUAUGGAAUUAAUGCAAAUUUUGUUUCACCAGAACAGAGGUCUUCUUUAGCUGUAAAGUUAUUGUAGAUUUCAUUAGUAUAGUGAAGUUGUGCUAAGCAGCCAUUCUUGCAUGCUCCAUUAAAAAGUCCUUAGUCUUUCAUUAAUCAGAUUCUGUUGUUCCAGUGGUACCCAUGACCCAAAAUUAAUGGAACAUUCUUGGAGAAGGCAGCAAAUGUCUGAUUCUGAGGAUUCCAUAAACUGACCAUACAAAACUACUGAAUUUGUUUCUGUGCAGGAACUGGGCUCUGAUGUUAACUUGUAUGCUUUGGUGUUUGGAGAAUCUGUUUUGAAUGACGCGGUCUGUUCUUACUUCUUUCCAGUGCAUGCAAGAAUACUAGAAUAGUCAGUACUUGUACAUGUGACUAACCUACUGUCUCGUUGUUUGGAAAGGACAGAUGGCAAUUUCCCUUUACAGGUUUGCUUCUGGCUAUGAUCUGAUGCAUGUUUUUUCAAGCCAUGUGUUUCUUGCUUAUGUAUGUACUUCUCUUUAGGACAAUGUCAUCAGUCAGAAGUCAUGCAGCAGCUGGCGAGAACUUUUUUAUGAUGAUUCUCCAGUUUCUUGAGACCUUUGUUGGUUCAAUGUCAUCAGGUUGCACUUCUGCUCCAAAUUCAAUUGUCACAUGGCUUUAAAGUUUAUGAAAUUGUGUUAUUUACAAUUGUGUCUACUAUGGAGUUUGCACUUCGCAGCUUGAAAGAUUAGUACCAUUUUCUUACAACGAAGGCUUGGUAUCCUUCUGAAGCUAAAAUAGGCAAUUCACAAAUGUUCUAGGUGCAGAUUACAUUUAAACUGAAUCUGUUGCAGCAUUUGCAGCAUUUGUCUGUUUGGUUGUUUAUACUUUACUAUCUCAACAUAGGGCAUGCACUAUAUCAUGUUGCCAACAAAAUAUAUAAUUGAAUUUUGGGUUAGUAUUGAUCAAAAGGUAGAUGGUCACAUUAUCAUGGUAUCAAAGCAUAAAAGAGCACGCUGUUCAUGUUUUGUUUCUUUAAACUGGCCUGAGUUAGAUUCCUAUUCUUAGCUUCUGACAUCUAUUAUUUGCACCUUUACCUUUAGGAAACAACACUCCAUUAGAUCAGUGAUGGUAUCAUGUUAAACUGCUAAAAUUUACAGUGUAAGGAAAAAAUAAGAAAACUGCUGAAACUUAACCCAAAACUAAACUGAUGAAACGAUAUUUUAACUACAACAAUUGCAUAUUGUUUCCUUAUUUUUCCUUCUUUGUUAUUCUUGAAUGACAAACCAGAGAAAGCAUGGCUUAAAUAAUAAUUCUUCUAAACCCUUUUUGUUCUUCUUAAUAUAAAUGAUACACAGCUCUCGUGCAUGUUCGAGAAAAAAAAUACUUCUUGCAUAUAUCAUCUGAUUUAGGGAUGGAUUUUUAUGGGAAUAAAGCCUAUUGUUCAUUAUUAGUUCUCUCUGGUUUAGUGUAUUUUCCCGUCAUUAUCCAAUCAUCAGCUUAUAUAACCACUGCAUUUCUUGAUUUUCAGGUGUGGGAGUUGGAUUUAUCUCUGCUCUUAUAUCCUUUUCCCUAUGUCUUAAAUGCGAAACUUUGUUUCUAUCAUAUGAAUGCAAUAGCUAUAAACACCUUUACAAUUUCUGUAGGUAUAGUGUAGUGUGCUUUUGCUUUUGCAUCAGAUGCAUUUUUGAGCAUAUUUUUUUUGAAAACUACUUUUUGAGAAUUUUUUAGCAUAUUUUGAUGUCACAUCAAUAUGUUGUCUUUAGGCAACUUAGACUGCAGUAUUUCUUUAUCACAUUAUAUUCUGAAACAGCAAUUAUUUGGUCCUUACACUUUUUUAAUGUAACAUGCCUUAUUGCUCUUCUCACUUAAUGCAUUUGAGUGGUUAGUGAGUCAGUAGUGCUGGCUUUUAGUAAGGUUGAUGGAAAAUUGGAGCAUUUCGGCAAUAUUAUUAUGUGCCAAUUGCACAUGAGUUACUAUAUGAUCUUGUGAGCCCUUGACCACUCGUUACCUGUUCAAGUAUGCUGGAUUGGACGUUGACAAGUAAGUCAUCAUGCUUCCUAUUUACAUUUUCCUGUUUCUUUUUUCUUUUCAAUUUUUGAUGUAUGUUUAAUGCUUAAUUUGCUGUUCUGUUUACUCUUUCAGUCUGCAGAAUUUGGAAUGCUGCCUUUUUGUUCUCUUUCCAUAUUUCUCGUAAGAAAACUUCUAAACUUCAAUACUGUUUUUUCCUUUCUGGGAGAUUUGUUUCAAUGAACUUUGUGGAUUUUUUGUAGGUAUAUGUUAGCUGAAGGACUUGGCUUGUCAGGGAUUGUUUCUAUAUUAUUCACGGGGAUGGUAUACACUAUGUAAAUUAUCGUAUUAUAUCGUUCAUGUUUAUAUUGUGGCUAUGCCUUACAUACAUUUUAUAUUUAUCCUCAGGUUAUGAAGCAUUACACAUUCUCCAAUCUUUCAGACAAUUCGCAGCGCUUUGUUUCUGCCUUCUUCCACUUACUGUCAUCUUUGGCUGAGACAUUUGUGUAAGAAUCAGCAGAACUUGUAGUUGAGUAAUUGUCUAAUUGGUAAAAUAUAACCAUACACUUUGUUCCUUAUUGGCUGUUCCUCAUUUUCUUUUAGGUUCAUUUACAUGGGCUUUGAUAUUGCCAUGGAAGAGCACAGCUGGUCACAUGUUGGCUUCAUCUUCUUCUCAAUUGUAUCCUUAAAAGUCCUCUUUUUUCAAAAGAAUAAUACCAAUUGUGGCCUUUAAAUUAUUUAGUUUGACUUUGGUUCCUUGACUUGCUCAAAAAUAGAUAUUCAUAGUUGUUGCAAGGUACUGCUACGAUCUUCCUUUACCACUCUAGUUGUAUUGCAUAACCAUAUGUCUGUAUUUGUUUCUCCAUAGUUAGUAGUGAAAGUCAUUGUGACCUAUAUGAUACUUUAUCAUUGUGCAAUGCCCAUGCUGAGAUUUGUAUGUGAUGCUCAUGCUUUAUCAUUGUGCAUCUAUGACACUAAAGUACUCUCAAAAAAUGAUCUAUACUAAAUAUUUGUCCCAUCAUAUCCAAGUUAAGCCUCAGUGAUGUAAUAAACACUCUGCUGCAGUCAUACCAAUUUUAUAUUCAAUAUGUGGAGAAUUUUUAUUUGUUUUGUCUCAAGAUAAACUGAUGCAUCUUUUUAAUGUAUAGGGCUGUAAAUGUUUUUUCUUGUGCAUACUUGGUUAACAUGUCUCGGCCAGAACAUCGCCGUAUACCUCUAAAGCAUCAGAAAGCACUUUGGUUUAGCGGUUAGUGCCAUUACAAUUAUGGUUUUGUAUUGUAUGCGACUGACAGUUUUAUGAAGCUCACUGUUACUUUGGGACAAACAGGGCUUAGAGGGGCCAUGGCUUUUGCCCUUGCUCUCCAAUCUGUGCAUGAACUUCCUGAAGGACAUGGAAAAACGAUAUUCACUACUACUACAGCCAUUGUUGUGUUGACGGUACUUACUUAUUUUUGACACUUGUUAGUUUUAAGUCAAUGUAUUAAAUAGCGGGCUAAGCCAUUUAGCGGCGGCCUCCUCCAAAAGCUAUAAAAAGCUAUAGCGGAAGCUAUUUCAUUUAGCGGUUUUAUAAAAAUAUGAAAUUUUUCAGUUAAUCAUGCACAGAAACAUGGACCUAAGGAAAUUUUAUGAAUACUAUGCAUGUACAGGGCUACAGAAGAACAUUUCUUCGUGUCUAUCACUUCAAAAUUAAAAAUUACAGUUAGGAUUUUGUACCGCUAUCAUAGUUUUUUUAGCAACUAAUGGGCUUUUGGGCUUCUAUGGAGAAAAUGAAGCGUCAUCAACCUGCAUAGCGGAAAAUAGGAUUAGCGGUGCUAAAUAGAUUUCGCGGCUAAGCCAAAUAGAGGUGUUUAGCGGAGCUAAAGCGUCCUUAGCGGCUAUAGUGGAACAAUUGGCGAUAGCGUGGCACCAGCUCUCUAAUAAAGCUAUAGCGAGGCUGUAGCGGGCUAUUUAGAAGACAAAGCACACUUCAGACAAAGAGACUUAUUCCUUGAGAUAAUGCCCAAGGCUUGUAGUUCAGUUACGACUGUGCAUUUGACCUGUAGCAUUUACUGGUUGCCUAUUGCAAAGCUAAAUAUGCAUUUCGCAAAUUCAUUUAUUAAAUGUCAGUAGCAACUAAUCAAACUGCCAUGCGCAGUCAAACAAACAUGUUAUGAAUUCUAUGUAAAUGAUUGCAGUCAAGUAUAGAAUACUGAAUUUCUUUGACCGAUUAUGCCUAAUCAUGCAGGUACUUCUUAUUGGAGGGUCGACGGGAACUAUGCUAGAAGCUUUGGAUGUUGUUGGAGAUGAAAACACAUCAAUAGAAGUAAGGUUCACUUACACAUUUUUCCCCCAGAGAUAAAUAACUAACUUUUUUAGCUUAUACUCCCUCCGUCCCAAAUUUUAAGUCAUUUUGGGUUUUCUAGGUUCAUACCUUUUACUAUGCAUCUAGACAUAAUAUAUAUCAAGGUGCAUAACAAAACCUAUGAAUCUAAAAAAGCCAAAACGACUUAUAAUUUGGGACAGAGGGAGUAUGUAUGAGAUGUGUGACUAUGACCAGUAUAUAGUAUUGGGAGUAUCUAUCUAAUGGAAUUCAUAUUUCGGUAUGGGCACAUGAACAUUCAAUUUCACUCAAGCGAACUAUUUAUUGAAUUUUUACUUUAAAAUUAUAAAUGGAAGAAUUUUUUUAUUCUUUAUACAAAAUUGAAUGUAUGAUACUCAACUUGGAUGGUCCCUGCAAACUUGUAUGACAGUGCUAAAACACACACUAUUGUAUUUCUAAUUCAGGAGAUGGUUAGAGAGUUGGCUUUGUAUAUAUGACUAGUGAAAGUCCGAUUACUUACCCAUGUUUAGUGGAAGUCUGAUUGUUUUAUCCACAUGUGAUUUCAUGCAUUUAUGUGAUUUUUUUGCUCUUUUAAUGUCAUGCUAGUUCCUUGCUUUUAAUAUAGUUCAUUUCUAUAUUGCACCAUUCUCAGAAUUAUGAGGACAACAAUGGUUACAUGCCUCCGACUUAUGAAGAAGGUACAUCGUCUGGUGGAGGAUUGAGAAUGAAACUGAAACAGUUUCACAAAAGGUAUUUGUUCUGUGUCUCCAUUUGCUUACAAGUCAUGACAAUACAAACAAACAAGUCAUGAUGAUACAAACAGUUGCUUACCCUUUUUUCUAAUGAUGGUGCAGCACGACAUCAUUCACUGCCCUUGACAAGAACUACCUGACUCCAUUUUUCACCAGUCAAACUGAUGAUGAUGACGACGACUUCAGUGAGUAACUUACUUCAUUUAACAAAUGUGCAGUAAAUGAGAGCUAACACUAGGCUAUAUUGAUAAUUUGUGUGCAACUUGUUACUUGUAUGGCAUCAUUCUUCAUCCUCUGGUCUCUAUUAUAUCUCGUCAAUUUAGUUAGCAAAUUCAUGGUCCGCAAUUAAUUCUAUCAAUAAACACUGAUUCACCCACUUCCUUAUUUCUGAAAUUGUUUAUUGUUCUCUGUUUGAUUUGUGGCAGGUGAGCAACCCCAAAACCGAAGAGUACAAUUUUAUGAUCAAUAGCAGAAUUUGAGAUUCUACUUAUCAAGCUAAAUACACGGAGCAGAACUGGCAUGAAUGAUUGCAUGUGCCAUUCGGUUGAACCAAAUAUAGGAUCAUACUUAGUUGGGUAGCAUCUGUAUACCGUAGGACAGAAAUCAAAAGGCUCAAAUCAACUCUUCCUCUGGGGAUGAGGAUUGCCAGGCCACAUGUAUAUAUAUCUGUAUUCUGUAGGCCUCUUUGAGAUGAUGGUGGAGCUCCAGAUGAGAAGCAGAGUAUUGUUGGAACUUUGGUUAUAGCCCUUACCAUUAGGUUAAUUGUAAUAAGCCCCCAGACAUUCUCACUAUUUACUAUGUCCGCUGGGAGCCUGGGAAGCGUUUGUUGUAACUUGUAAGUGGCAGAUUGGAGCAGCAGUCUCACUCUGGUGUUGAAGUUCUAAACUGGACAAUGUGGGAGUACGAAAAUAUCUUUCAGCUAAAAGUGAGAUAGCCCAGUCUAUAAACACUGACGUAGUUUGAACACAAGGUGAUUCGCGUAAUGCAAUCGACAAUUUCAGAAUUGAGCUUGUCGGGAGCUUAAGUUUUGGUGGCGCGUUAGCAUUCGGACUAAUCAUUUUCUAUUGAAAAUUGGGAACAUGAACCUGUCUUUCGAUCGAUGUAAGUUGGGGUUAGCCCAUUUGUAUAAAAGAGUACAUGAAAUCGAAAUGCCUGGCAUUGACAUGCACUGACGUCUGAAGGGUAGAGAAGACUGCUCCCAUAGCGCACUGAAGUUGGCACAUCGCACUGGUUGGGUUCUGUUUGUAUCUGUCACCGAGACCAUGAAAUUUUUGAUAUCUCAAUCAUGUUUUCUGCUGAGUUCUGCCAGUAGACGAUUAAUAUUAACCUAUCCAUUUGACCUCCAAGAUUGAACGAGAACACAGUUGAGUUUAGAGUCAUCAUUCCUCUUAAGACAAGUGCACCUCCACGCAUUUCGUGUUCAAUUUUCCUCUUCAAGUCACUCCUGGCACUUUGAGUAAUAAAGAUACCAUAGGAGAAUGAUAGAAUAAUGUGUUGUCCCAAAUCCUAUCUGAGACACCAGAGUCAUCGCAUCAUGUUAUGAUGUAGCGGAGCGAAAUGGCUGCACCACGCGCCACUAAGGGCAGCUUUAGGCCCCCUUCGAUUAGACCGGAACGUGUUCCACCCGGAUCAGCCUGGCCCGGUUUGAAAUCGGGUCCGAUCCGAAAUAGCCAUUCGUUUAGGUCUGGUCCGGAAUGAAAUCGGGCCCAUCUGGUCCGUUCCUCCCCAUCCUUGGUCAGGAAUGAAGACUGCUCGUCGAUGGUUUGGAACGGAUUCUCUUGCGGGCUUACGGCGAAGCGCUUGUAGCGCGCGAGGUGAUGAGGCAGCGACGCGAGGUGGUAGCGCGGGAGGUGUGUGAGAUGAAGCAGAGCAGGCACAAGCGCAACGGUGCCGCCCCCGACGCGGACACCACCGUGGUGGUGGUGGUGCUGGGAAAGGGGGGUGAGGGAAGGGGGGCGAGAGGGGGGUGGGGGUGAGGCGGGGGCGCGGCCAGAGGAGGAGGCUUGGGCAACUCCUCACCGGCUCAGUCCCAGCAUGCAGGCGCGGUGGGCGGCGACGGCGUGACCAUGGAUGUGGAAGAGGUCCACGCGUGCCGCGACCUUGGGUUGGAGCUCCCCUUCGACUGCACCGUGGAGAUCCAGCGCUAUGGGUUGACUUCCAGCGGCAGCAGCCCCACCCACACCACCACCAGCAGCACCGACUCCUCCGGCGUCAUCUCCAACCCUGGUACGAUCGAUCUAGCUCACCAUCUAUAUAUAGCUUUGGAUCCUGACUAGCUAUGUUCAUUGCUUUCUGGAUGUUCAUUGCUUACAGUCAAGUACAGCUCUAUUUGAUCCCCUAUUUUCUUUCCUCUCCAGCCGAACACUGCUUUUGAAAAGGACCAGGUUUGAUUCUUGGGUCGGAUCCAUUGGUGACCAGGUUUUAGUGAGCCACCUAGAUUCACUCGAUCCGGCCUAGGAAUGAAAACAUGCCUGUUUCCAAACCUAGCCUGCCGAACGAGGCCUUAAUGUGUGUUGUGUUCUAUCUUCUGUGGAGGUGCUACGACUACGAGGAAAGAGAUGACCAUCCCACCUGGAGCGCCGGUGCUAGCUUGGAAAAUUUUUCGUGAGCCAAAGUUAGCACCCUGAACUAAUGUAUAAAAUAUAUUUUCCUUGCAUGUAAAAGGGUGGAUCAAGGUGUGGGGAACCAGAAAAAGCUAGAUGGGGGAGAGUAUUUUAUUUCUACUGUAGGACAAUGGUAGGGUACUAGCCUUUGCUAAACGUUAUAGCGUUUUGUUCGAUGUAGCUAGCUAAUAACGUGUCCUUUCUUUAUACUGUUAAAACUUGAACAUGAUUAACCCAUGGGAUCACUAGCCUAAAAAACAAUGACAUCUAAUUCCGUAAUUGAUUAGCACUUAUUAAUCUUAUUCAUUUCAUUGAGAUGCCCGUAGCGUGUGUUGGUUUCCUCGUAGCAGGCACACACCGCUGGUAGUGUAGAUCGUGGCGGACGGUCAUCGACGAGGGCCUGCAAUGACGGGACGAACUUGGUCUUCAAGUUGCUGCCGAGCUCCCCCAUGCUCGGUAGGUUUAUUGGAUGGUUUUGCUAACCUCUAGUUACCGAGAGAUGAGUGAUCCCCCUCUCUUCAGAGGGUCUUUAAUGGUGUAGCUUAGAGCUAGCUGAAUCAAUAGUUUAGUUGUUGAAUAGUGGAAAAAGGAAAAGACUAGCAUGGAGAUAAAGAGAUAGUCUCGAACGCUUUCCGAUGUACUUCUCUCACACUGCACAAUACUCAAUGCUACCUUCACUCCUCCAUAUUAAAGCUCUUAAAAUUCUUAGAGUUAGUGCUAGCUUAUACUGUUGGAGACACACUUAUUGCUCGUGCAAUUUGGCACCGGUCCCACAGGAAUUAGUUAUGGCCCACUGAUCAUGGGCUUCUAAUAUCAACUGUUGUCCUAUUCUAAGGGAUGAGAGUUAGCAUUUGAUGAUCAAUUCUAACAUGCAUUUCCUUUUUUUUUGCAACAUGUAUAGUUAGAAAACAGUCAUGGGUCUAGGGAUCAAAACCACUUGUAAAGGACCCACUAAUUCAGUUGCCUAUGUUUCAUAAUGGAGCUUUGAUAUUAAUCGUAUCCAUUCAUAAUUCAUUGCGCUCUUGUCUAUUCGUUACUCUUUUGGGCUUCCAUCUUUCUGUUGUGUUUCCUUUCAUUUCCUCAUCCACUGUGGAACCGGAGGAGCGUGAUGAGCUAUUUCCUCAUCCACUAGCUCGUGCUGCUUCGGCCUUGAGAGAUGUGGAUGAGCUUCACCGGCGAGGCAAGCUCGAGCGACAGGCCUGCUGCGCAUGCGACAAGAGAGUUGUACGAGCUGACGGAAGACUAGGAAGCAACAUCUUGAUGCAUCCAUCGAGUUAACUUUCUAGACGCGAAAAAUAUUGGAAUUGGAACGUUGCUGUCAAUAUAUAGAAGCAAUAAAUGGGAAGAUGUUAGAUGUCUCACGUGCGCGUGAAGAUGACAUUUUUUUGGGUAAAAUAGUCAAUCUGUGGGCAAAAUUGGCCUAUACAUCGCCACCAACCGCACUCCACCCCUUCUCAUCAGUUUGUCACUCCAAGGCGGAUAGACCACAAUGCCAGCCACAAACAAAGAAGAGAAUCACCGAUACCACCACAGCUGCUCAUGAAGGUGAAGUUCAACAAGCUACAGUCAUAGAAAAUAUAAUGGUUGGUUACUUUCCAGCAGCCACAAGCCCAUAAGAUGAGAAGCACCAGAGGUUUCAAGGGAUUAAGACCAACCUUAGAACUAGUCAGUACUCACUAACACUUUUUUAUCCCAGUUAACUUUGGACCCGGAACUAAAGUACCUUUAGUCCCGGAUCAAAAAUGAACCACCGAAGGCUACCGACGGGGGAGCUUUAGUCCCGGUUGGAAAGACUAACCGGGACUAAAGCCUCCCCUUUAGUCCCGGUUGUAACGUCUAGUGGGAUGAGGGGAUGUUUUGUCACGGUUGGAAACAUCAACCAAGACUAAAGCUCCCCCAGUUCCAGUUGGAUUACCAACCGGGACAGGGGGGCUUUAGUACCGGUUGGUGCCUCCAACCGGGACAAAACACCCUUUCUACGCAGCCCCCUCUCUCCACCUUAUCUUCUCCUCACCCUUCCUCCCUUAUCCUUGCGCAGGCAGCGCUCUCCUCCUCCUCUCCUUGCAUUCUUUUAAGUGCUUCCUCUCUCCCUCCACCGGCACCUUCCUCUCCUCUCUGCGCCGCCGCCACCCCCUCCCUCUCUGCUGCCCCUCCCCUUUCCCCUCUGCUCGCCCCUCACUAGCAGUGAGGAGCGGUAGCAGGGCGAGGGUAGGGCAAUGGCGCGUGGGGGAACGGCGCCGGCCAGCCGGAGGCGACGGGGCGAGCUGGCGUGGGCGGUAGCAGGCGGUGGCGGGCGGUGGCGGGCGAGGGCGGGGUGGAGGUAGGCAGAGGCGGGUGGAGGCGGACAAAGGUGGGCGGCGGCAGAGUAGAGGCGGGCGGUAGCACUGCUUCACAGUUCGAAACUUGGACAUCCACGCUUCACAGAAGUUGCUACAAGAAUUAUGUUUGUUGAUCCAAAUGGUGAUCCAUUCAUUUCAAGGCUCGAGCAACCAGAAGAUGAUCUCAAAGGAGAUAUUACUUGAGCGAGGCAAAAAAGCAAUCGACCAUGAAGGAAUCAAGUCCGCAAGACUUCAAGAAAGGCCAUUGUUCGACUAUGAAGCCCUUAGUGGCUUGUGAGGGAUAGAUCUCUAGAUACCGGCAAGAAAGGAAGAAGAUAGCAUAGUCCUACUAGAACUCCCCCGAUAUAGAUGUAAUCUAAUUAGGAAUCCUUCAUAGUAUUCGACUAAGAGACUUUCCAUGUAAUAGAACGUAGGUGUUGAUGCUUUUUUGGGUCAAUACACAAAUGCGCAUGAUCAUGCGGCGUGCGAAGGGGCUUGCUGCAGCACCUCGACGUAGGCCGGUCUGACCGGUUGUCGCGCGGUCGACGGUAAACCUUCGAACGCUCGCCUGGGAAGGAUCCCGUCGGGGCAGGCGCACGUAGGGUUACUCUAGCAUCGGCAGGCCACCUAGAGCGCCUUCAGACGUCGUCGAGAUGAAGGAAGAACAGCAAGUAGUAGAUUGGAAAAGCUAGGGCAAAAGAAUAAAGGAAAAGAUACAAAAUACUAGAUUGGUUUUUGUCGAUUGGGUUAGAUCUCCUCAAUCGGCCGAAUCACUUUAUAUUUAUAGGGAGGGAAGAUCUUCCCCACACAGGAGUCGAAACCCUAAUACAACUCGUGCUAAAUUAUAACUCCUACUCGGAUUACACAGAGCCAGACCGGUCAGAUCGGCCUGGGCAACCGGUCUGACCGGUUUGCCCGGGUGCAGAUCUUGCAAAGGUCAUAUCUCCCUCGUCCAAACUCCAAAUCGGACGUUCUAUAUAUGAAUCUUGAUCUACUCGACGCGAUCUACACAAUGGUUGAGUCCAAUCUUCAUUUGGAGCACUUUGGUCCAACCGGCUGACCGGCAGGGCCAACCGGUCUGACCUAUCUGCAAGGGGUGCUGAUCUUCCCAAGGACAUAACUCCCUCAUCCGAAGUUCAAAUCGGACAUUCCAUAUAUGCAUUUCGAUCAUCUCGACGAGAACUAUGCCAUGGUGAAGUACAAUUUAUAUUUUGGGAACUUUUCCUAAACCGGUCUGACCGGUUGGGAGACCGGUCUAGACAGAACUGACCAGAUUUCCCAAGUCCUACCACUUUUGGGCGUCAACACAUGCCCUCCUAUUUUCUGGCAAAGCUUGCGUGCCAGAAAAUACUCUCCUGGUCCAAAAGUGCCUAAGGACGAUGAUGAACAUAGCAUCGACCAUAUAUUUUUUCUAAGGGCGAUAAUUAUCUCGUCGGCCAUAAACUUGUUCUUGAGUCAAGAAACAACUUGCUUUGGCCUCCAUACCUGCUUGGUGGCUUCUGACCUUACCGGUAUAGCCGUUGCUUGCUGCUCCAUUGAUUCUUGCUUCCGCAUCCGUUGUAACCUCCUUUUUUGAGUGUGAGAUAAGCUAGAGGGACACCACCUCUGCUGUAGGUAUCUUGAAUCUUCCUUGCUAUAUUUGUUACCACCUUUAGUAACAAAGGGUGCACUUUUAACCAGAUUAUUACUAGCAACAAUCGGUCUUUGCAAUGAACCACAGUUUGAAUAUGCAGGAGAAUAUGAAGCAAUACAUGGUUGCAUAUAAAAACCCUUAUGAUCAAGAGGUGAAUAAUAGCAGGGGUAUGGCCAAGACCAUGGUGUAGUCAGCCAAAAAGGUGUAUGCGAUGCAACAGCGUAGUUUGCAUGACAUUCACAAGAACAAGAUGGUUUUUGAUUUUUACCUUUAUUAUGCCAACUCCCUUGUUUUUGAUCAGAUGCUUUCUUCUCAUAUUUGGCCAAUAGAUCCUUAAAAGUCAGGUUUACCUUAUUCUUUAGAUUUCGCUUGGCUCCAGAUUUUCUAGGAUGACCGGUUAGACCAGUUCCCUGACCAGUUAGACUGAUCUAUGCAGAACCGGUAGCCUUGCUUUUGCCUUGCCCCUCGAGCGUAGAAGUCUUUGCUGUGACUUGAGGCACCUUUUUCUCAGGCCUUCCUUCACCAAUAAUCACAUUUUUCCCUUUAGCCUUUUCGGCUUGAUCCGGCCGAAUUAGGACUUUGAGAUUUGUCAAUUCAAGAGUAUUCACCGGAAAAAGAUUUUGAUCAACUUGCAUUUCAUGAAAAGUCAAACAACCUUCAUUAAUGGCCGAUUGUAUUUGCUGGCGAAACACAUUGCACUCAUUAGUGGCAUGUGAGAAGGUAUUAUGGAACUUGCAAUAUGCCCUCCCCUUCAACUCUUCAAAUGGAGGCAUAGUAUGAGAUAUUUUCAGAUGCCCAAUUUUAAGCAAUUCAUCAAAAAUCCUAUCGCACUUGGCUACAUCAAAGGUAAAUUUCAUAUCUUCUUGCCGAUUCCUUCGGACCGGCUUGAGAGAAGCACAAGUACCAGGUUUAUCCUUAUGUGGCAAUACAAAUUCAGUAGUUAAAACAUCAUUGCUCUCAUUGUCCGAGGAAUCAUAACUUAACAUAUGCAUGUUAGGACGAUCAGAUUUGAGCCGACUAUCUUUACUUCGGCUUUCCUAAGCCAAAGCUCUUUGCAAAAUUUGGGUAACAUUAGCAAAUUCAUGACCCUCCAAUUUAUCUCUAAUAUGGGAUCGCAAUCAAUUAAAAGCUAAUUCAGCAAGAUCCCUCUCGGAGAUGACAAGACUAUAACAACGGUUUUUUAUAUCUCUAAACCUUCUGAUAUAAUCACCAACAGGUUCAUCAGACUUUUGCCUAACCGAUGUUAAGUGACUCAAUCUCAACUCAUCAUCUCCACUAUAAAAGUGAUCAUGAAACUUUUGUUCUAAUUGUUCCCAAGUAUGAAUAGAAUUAACAGGUAAUGAAGCAAACCACAAAAAAGUGGUUUCAGUUAAAGAUAAAGAAAUAACUGUACUUUUAAUUCUUAUAUGGAACCAGCUUCUCCUAAUUGAGCAAGAUACUGACUAAUAUGUUCACAAGUGGUUUUGCCAUCAUCCCUGCUAAACUUGACAAAUUUAGGACAACACCAACAAGGAUAAGAAGCCGAAUCAAAGUUCAAGGGAUACGGCUUUUGAUAGGUACAGGUUUUAUGCUUCACCUCUAUUCCAUAAUCUUCCUUCAUUUGCUUAGCAAGAUUGGCAUGAAACCUAUCAAGAACUUCUUGAAUAGUGGUUGGUGGAGGUAAUUGUGGUGUAACAGCAUUUGAUUGCAACACAUUCUGUUGUAUAGGUGGACUAUGAACAUUCUGUUGCAAACGGUUAUUGAAUUGGGAAUUAGGCAUGGAACUAUAUGAACUACCCAACCCAAAAGGCACCACAGGUGGAGCGCUAUAAGCUGCUGCAGGAUAUGGAUUUAAAUCUCCAGGAAUCUCACCAGAUCGGCCAGAGACGGCCUGAACAGGAGGUACAGCAGCUAUAGGCUCAGGAGACGACACAUACGGGACCAAAGCACCUUGACCGGUCUGACCAGUUAGACCAUGCGAUCUGACUGGUUGAUACUGACUAGAUCGAGGUAGAGGUGAUUGUCCCACGAAGUAGUUCAACGGCAAACGGCAUGCCAUACGGAGGCCCCGCUGUGGGUGUUACCGAUGUACUAUUAGAUGGGAUCUGAGGUGGUACAAGACUAGAAACAGAUGCAACAUCAUUGCCCCCCUCCACACGUUUACCAUUAGCCUUAUCUACCAUAUCUUGCACACUCUUAUUUAUCGAUAAGCGCAGAUCGUCAAUUAUGGUAGUAAGAUCAGGCAUGGUAACAAAAGGAGAUGGCGAUGAUGAUGUACUCACAUUGGUUUGUACCUCAGGUGGUGGAGUGCUGAAAGCGUUGUUGGAGGUAGAAGCGAAGUCGAUCUCCUUAAUCUUCUUGACCGCGCCUCUUCGGUCGACUUCAAAGCUUGCAAUUGCAGCUCGCAAGUCCUCCUCAUCGCGCUUCUUCUUGCCCUCCUCCAGCAUCUGGCGGAUCUCUUCAAGAAGUUGCUCGAACGUCAGGUUAACCACGUUCUUCGCAGUAAUAUUGGAAAGAUCUUCUUCACCAGCCAUUGCAACUGAUGAGUCUUUCUUCUUCUUCCCCAACGGAGUCGCUAAAAUGUGUUGACGCUUUUUUUGGGCCAACAUACGAACGCACACAAUCGUGAGAUGCGCGAAGGGGCUCGCUACAGCACCUCAGCGCAGGCCGGUCUGAUUGGUUACAGGGACCGUUUGACCGGUUGUCAGGCAGGCUGACGGUAGACCUUCGAACGCUCGCUCGGGAAGGAUCCCGUUGGGGCAGGCACACACAGGUUGCUCUAGGAUCAGCAGGCCACCUAGAGCACCUUUAGACAUCGUCGAGACGAAGGAAGAAUAGCAAGUAGUAGAUUGGAAAAGCUAGGGCAAAAGAAUAAAGGAAAAGAUACAAAAUAGUAGAUUGAUUUUUAUCGAUUGGGUUGGAUCUCCUCAAUUGGUCAAAUCCCUUUAUAUUUAUAGGGAAGGAAGGUCUUUCCCACGCAGGAGUCGAAACACUAAUACAACUCGUGCUAAAUUACAACUCCCACUCAGAUUACACAGAGCCAGACCGGUCAGACCGGCCUAGGCAACCGGUCUGACCGGUUUGCUCGGGUGCAGAUCUUGCAAAGGUCGUAUCUCACUCGUCCGAACUCCAAAUCGGAUGUUCUAUAUAUGAAUCUUGAUCUACUCGACGUGAUCUAUGCAAUGGUAGAGUCUAAUCUUCAUUUGGAGCACUUUGAUCCAACCGGUCUGACUGGUAGGGCCAACCGGUCUGACCGAUAGGGCCAACCGGUUUGACCUGUCUUCACGGGGUGCUGUUCUUCCCAAGGGCAUAACUCUCUCAUACAAAGCCCAAAUCGGACGUUCCAUAUAUACAUUUGGAUCGUCUCGACGAGAACUAUGCUAUGGUGAAGUACAAUUUGCAUUUGAGAACUUUUUCCAAACCAAUCUGACCGGUUGGGAGACCGGUUUGGACAAGCCAGAUUUCCCAAAUCUUGCCACUUUUGGGCGUCAAUAGUAGGAUAUUAAGCUACUCUAUCGGCCUGAACCUGCAUAAGCAUUGUGUCCUUUGUGUUACCAUCAGGCUCUAGAUCCGACUAUCCCCUCCAAAUAAUCUACCACUCAGGAUACCCUCGGUGGACUGCCGUGUACAAAACACCAACGUUUCUGACCUUGUAGAUGGAUGUACCUUAAGAGUGGCAUAAGUGGUAAUGUGUAUCUUUGUCAUAGAACUCCUCUUAUGUGGUGCGAACAAAGUAAUUAUUUUCUCUAAUAAGCAAAAAAUCCAAAUCAUGGGCGCAAUACACUAGCAAGGGGGCUGGACUGUGAGGUAAAGAAAGAAUGUACAAUUAGGAUUUGACAGAAGCAUCGUGCAUUUGUAUCCAAAUGUGAGACAGAUAAAGCAAUUGAUUACAAAUAAUUUGAAGCUGAGGUUACACUAGUCAGAAACUUGUAAAUAGAUAGGACUUCACAAGUCACAACAAGUGCCAGGGAUGAACCAGCACCACCUGCACUAAUAAACUAAGCUAGGCUAAGCUAUAUGGGGUGUGUUUCGUUUGUUGGAUACUACUCCCUCCAUCCCAAAUUAUAAGUCAUUCCAAGAAUCUUGGAGAGUCAAAGUAUAUCAAGUUUGACCAAAUUUAUAUGAUAAUAUAAUAAUAUUUAUGAUGUCAACUAAGUAUCAUUAGGUUCUUCAUCAAUUAUAUUUUCAUAGUAUACCUAUUUGAUGUCAUAAAUUUUUAUAAUUUUGUUUAUAAUUUUGGUCAAACUUGAAAUGCUUUGACUCUCCAAGAUUCUUGGAAUUACUUAUAAUUUGGAAUGGAAUGGAGGGAGUAAUUAACAAACAAAAUUACAAAUUAGCAUCCCAUAUAUAGCACGAGGAACAUGCUAAGAUUCAAGUUCACUUCCUUCUCUAGCUCCACAAACGUUCGCUGCUGCUUUAUCAAGAUAGCCCGUAGCAGCCACCACCUUGUUGGCCCGGAGCCCCCUCUGCUCACGUCUUGCUCGGCUGCCCGCUCUGCAUAACGGUUGCUAUGUUGCCUGGCCAAGCAGAGCCGGUAGUCAUCAUCUCCCCUUGCAUGACCAAGGCGCCUUCCCGUCGCAUCUCCUGAAUAAGCUGCUCGAGCCUCGGGUUUUCCUUGACAACAAAGGGAAGCAUUCUGCCUGGGGGUGCUCCCAUGCUUGAUGCGUCAGUCUGUCCAUGAUUUGCAGGUACAGUAGAAGGUAUGCAGCUGCAUCAGUAUUCAGUAGCAACCCCGGUAGGUCCAGGGGGUACGCGAGCAGCAUCAGUAGAAAUCCCGGUGGCCGUAGCAUUAGCAGCAAAUGCAGUAGCUCCAGUGCUGUGGUCAGGUUGAUGCUGUGCAGCACCCUGUUUCCCUUCAACUUCCUUGGGCUUGAAUACACCCCACAAAUAGUGUUUCAUUUGGAAAGCUGCACAUGUAAAAGAACAACCCAUUAGCAAUACAUUAAAAAUACAUGUAUAAAAAGGCAUAUUCCAAUCAAGAAAUGGUUAAAAGAGUUUAAAAUAAUUAUUUAACUAAAACCUAUAGUGUGUUAAAAAUUUAAUUGAUGAAGUAAAAAUCAAGUGGAACAUCAUAUGACUAUUAUUGGGAAAAAAUAUUUACAUACUCUGACAUUGUUUAAGAAGUAUAGUAGAAGGGAACAUCAGCAUCUCAGUGUCACCAAUAAUGGCCCGUAAAGCUAAAUCAUUUUCCAUUAGUUCCUUAAGUAGUUGGUCAUGGGACUUGUCAGGCCUAGGGAUAGGAACAAUGAAAUAGACAUUUUACUUUAACAUGGAAAGUAAGGUAGUUGUGUUGUAAGUGCAAAGGUUAAAGCAAGGCACCUCAUCUUAUGGGGGAAGAAGUAUAAGCCCAUGUUGUCAUUUAUUUAUAGGCCUUGAUCCCAUCCAUCUCUUAGGUCAGACCUUAGACCUAGGUAGUUUGGCCAUUUGAACCACACAGGACAACGAUUUUGAUAAAUUACGCACUUUCUCAGAUGAUUUAGUUGACAAAUGACCAGACAAUGGCAUAUACUCCUUAUUGCCGAUAUUAAGGAGACCACUAUUAAAAUGACAACAAAAUUAGUAACUAGCAAAAAGGUAAAAACUACAAAAUGUACAACAAAGAACCUAUCGAAUUGUACCUCCACACAGGCUCGUCGAUGGGAUUGGAACAACAAUAGCAUUCCUUCUUGAGACAAUCGGCAACAAGUGGCCUAGAGACUUCAUCAAGACAAUCAUUCAAAAUAUCAUCUUUUGAUGCCAAUCUAUUGAUACCAUCCGGACUAUAAUUGCCAAUGUCAUCUCCAUUUAUCUCUAUGUAUUUUCUCUUUCUUUUUGUUAUCUUCCAAUGAGUUGGAUUCUCACCUUCACUACCAUUGUCAUUAUGUACCUUGCGCUUUUCUUCCGAUGAUGGUUCUUUCCUACUCAUAAGAUUGUCGUUGUUGGUUAUAUCAUGGCAAUCAUUGAUCAUGCCCCCCUUAUGUAUCCGCGAGGGUGGUCCUUGAUCAAUAUUAAGUCACCGCUUUAAAUUGAGAACCAACCCUGGCAUUGCCCUUAGGUUCUUUUGUUGUGAACUUGUCAAUUUAGCUUAAUUUGCAUGGUGAACGAAUCCUUGCUUCAUCUUUGAAGUCAAUGAGCUCAUGACGGUGGGGUUAACCAUUUUUUCCGAAGAAAAUGCAUGCCUAGAUUUAGGACUUAUUGCCAUUGGAGGAAAAUCUUCUUUCAGUGUAUCCUGAUUCCGCUGUCCAACUUUACUAUUGUCGAGAAGAUGGUGCUUGGAUUUUGGUAAGACAUGGUUACCUCAUUGAUCCUUUUCACUACAGUUGCUCUUGCAAGGUUUGUUGCACAUAAGCUUUGUUAGCACCAAUAUCUUUUCUCUUUCUUACGUUUCCCAAGAUAGAUUGCAGAUUAGCCUGGCGCUUCUCCACUUCCUCUUCCUCUAGGAUUUUUUUUCAUCGGCUUUGACACAAACCUAUAUGGUUUCCUUAGAGAUAGAUGGAAAGCGUGAUCUUGGACCAAAAAGACGGUCACAAGGUUGACUUUGACGUUUCGUGCCGCUAAUUGAGGUCAAACGACCAAAACUAGGAAUUUCUACAAUAAAAAAAAGUGGUUGGAACAUGCUUUGUGCUACAUGUGCAAUAAUGUAUAAAAUAGAGUAGUUUAUUUAUGAUUCAAAUUGAACUUGUAUGAUCCUAUUUCAAUGGAUGUAAAUGGAAACUAAUGGAACUAAACCUAUGUUGACCCUAAUGUUAAAAUUACUUCAAUGUUUCAAAAGAAAAUGAUAUUUUUUCCCAAUGAACCUCAUAUGGAUCAAUCCAUAUUUGUUGCAAUCUUAUACCAUGUGUUUAAACUAGAAGGGAAAUAAAUAAAAAUAUGAUAAACUAGCAUACAUAAUGAUUGUGUAAUCUUGCAUUUGGAGACAUCUAAUACAAAACACAAAAGAAAUGUCACUUUUUCCAAUACUAUAUACCAUUUAAUUUAUGUAGGGAUCACUAUUACAUACAACAAAACUCAAAUCUCAAACGGGAAACUUGUUCUUAGAAAGUGCAUAUGCAUGAGUUUGUGGUUAAAAUAUGAUGGGCGAUGCACCCUUUAAUUGCAUUUAAAUAUGUGCAACCUAUAGACUUUUGAAAACUAGUAAUAAUUUUACUAAAAUAUUUGAAUUUUUUCUUGACAUUUUUGUGAAGAAACUAAAAAAUAGUUGAAAAAUGCCUUAAAGACACUCAUUAAUCUUCAAUAGUGCUCACACACACGCACACAGAUGGACGGUAUUUCGUACGAAAUCAGGUGAAUCUAUGGAAAGAAAGACAAAUCAUGCAGACUCCUGUAUCCGAAUGCCACACACCAUAUCCAUGGAUAAAGCUAACUAACCAACAGUCCAACACAGCCACACAUGGCAGCUGUGCGUCGACAGAAGCACAUUAGAGGUGCAUCCGGCUUCAGGACCGGUGCUGGUGGAAAACUAAGCUUUAGUUCUAGUUGGAGAGACAUAUAGGUCUCAAAAAUCCAACCGAAACUAAUUAUUCGGGACUAAACAUAUUUAGUCCUGGGUCUUCCACGCGGGAUAAAUGGGGUCGUCAUGCAGUCGCAUGCUUGUAGCCCUUUUAGUCCCGGUUGGUAUUACUAACCAGGACUAAAGACUUUUUUCUUUUUACCCUGGAUUCUUUUCAUAUUAAUACUAAUUGUUGUUUCACUUAUGUAUAUACCUAUAUGUAUACAUCUUUAGAGUACACUACUUAUACGUAUACGCUCAUAUUGUAUGUAUGUCGUAUAUAUAUUUUAUGAUUGUAUAUACAUAAUAUUAAUUAUAACUACUAUGAAAUAUACUAGUGAGGGUUGCUUCGUGUACACAAGAUCACUGCCAGACAAAAUUAGCAUUGAAAUCAAUCCACAAAUUGCUUGAACGGACUCCGCUUAUGGCUACCGGCCUCAAUGUAGAUGAGGAGACAGCCCAAAUCUACUGAAUCCUGCUCUUGUUUCUACUAACCCAACCGGAACAUCCAUCCUAAAAAAAGUCAUUUUAGGAUUGUACUAAGUCAAACUUUUUUGUAUUACUAGUUUUCAAAAGUCUAUAUUACUAGUGCCAUUAUAUUUAUGUUAUGAAAUAAGUGCCAUUAUAUUUAUUAUGAGAUAUAUAUUUAUAAUAUACAUAUUUGAUGCCAUCAACAUUUAUAUUUUUCACUAUAAAUUUGAUCAAAGUUGAGAAAGUUUGACUUAAACUAGAAUAACUUGUUUUUGGGAUGGAUGGAGUAGAGCAGAUGAUUGGUUCGGAGCAAACAUUCACACAUGUGUACAUAGAAAUAAUAAGGAAAUUAGGCAAAACCUGCGAGAGAGCAUGGAGAUAGCCUUGCAUACCUUGCUUACGGCCGGCGUAGGUCGUCCUCCAGCACGGCCAUGCAGAGCACGGAGAUAGCCUAAGGGCUCGUUUGGUAGCCCAGUGUUGAAAACAGGCAUGUUUCUCUUCCUAGAUCAGAUCGAGUGGAUCCUGGUGGUUCAAUGUAACCUGGUCACCAAAGGAACUGGCCCAUGAAUCAAAACUCAACAACAUUAGGGCCGUUCGUUUUGGUAAGGAAUGAAAACACAUUAGCAACUUGACGUAAACACCUGUUUGACAGCAAAUCAAGGUCACUUGUUUGACAGCUACUUGACAGUAAAUAUUAGCAACUUGUUUGACAACCACUUGGCAGUAAAAACAUUUAUGUACAUGCAUGGAAGGCAAGGGCCUGAAAUAAGGGAGAAGUAGCAAACAAGUAGCAAACAAAAAUAGAGUCUUGAUCAAGAAAAAAUAGCAACAUCCUUUCGGUCUUCCAGUCUUGAUCAAGAUAAAAUAGAGUUUGACCUGGCAGAAGCAUAAAUCUCUCAUAUUAGUUACAAGCACUCUAGGUUAUCGAGUGAGGUUGAUAAAUAUGUGAAGACCAGUAAAAUUUGAGGUUCCCUGCCACAAAGUAUGCUUCCUUGGCGAAGGAUCGGUUUCUCGGAAGAAGAGUGGUUGCCUCGACAGCUGUCGGACCAAGGAAGAAUCAGUGAGAAAGAAACCAAAAUGGAUAAAGGCAUAUGAAUACUGUGAUUAUUAGUCUUGUUAUCAUUCCUAAUGGAUCCCUAGUACUAAUUAAGUACAAUAGGAUUGUUCAAAAGGGAUCUGGUUUCUCAUGCAUAUAAUGGGUAUUGGAUAGCUAAUUUUACAGAACAUUGCACAAUUGAUUCUCUGUCCUUACCAAAAUCUCCAAGGUGUCAGUCUCGUUUUUUUGGACAAAACAUCUUUAUUCCACAUAUAUCAGACCAUUACAUCUCAAUUUUGCUCUUCAGGCCACUAUCAAGUACUUCCCACACAAGUUUGUGCUUUGCAAAAUAGCACUUUGCAACCAGAUCUGCCUCGUACCUUGAUACCCACUGUCCAUAAAGCUUCAGACCAUAAAUUACAUGUGAGUAAUAAAUAAAGAAACCAAAACACAUAGAAGAAGCAACUAACCUCCCAGGAUCCAAAUACAUAGAACAGAACUGACAUCCCAGGCUAGCAUUCCAUCUAAUUAAAGGCAUGCAUGGCGUAUGCACUAGCUAAGUACCAGCACGCACGCCACACUGUAAAAUGUAACAUGUCUUAGGAAAGUAAUAACAUGUCCUAGGAAAGAACACCACACUGUAAAAAAUAACAGAACAACAAUGCAUAUUUCCAUACACACUGUAACAUGAUUCACACACUGGAUACCUAGAUACUAAUUAUCUGCACACUGAAGAAUUAAGAUCUCUGUGCUCAAUCCUGACCAACACAGACGAGCCAUGAGCUAGAAAAGAUACGGGAACUGAUCAUGACAUUCGCAUGUUCAGUUGGUACCAGCCUGUUCUCUGCCCCAACAACAGCGACAUGCAAGUUUCUCUCAGAACAAUAGAGCGGAUCACAAAGAUAUAUACAAGAUGUGAAAUCGAGUGACCUGCUAGUUGUGCAUUCUGCUUUGCAAUUCAUUUCUUACAAGUGAUUGAAUCGACUAAUUGUGCUGCUAAAUUGUGAGAACAAAUCUCGCACGACCACAUCUACAAGCUAUGGCAGACGACAGUAAUUCGUGAACAAGCUGACCCAAGAUCCAGCCAUGGUGCUACCCUACCUGGCCUUCCACGAAUCGAAUCAAAUCAAAUUGAAUCGAAUGAAAUCAGAGAACACAAACCAACAAACAAGAACUGAGGGAUCAAAGUGCGGUAAGAACUCAAGAACCCUAGCACACCGAUGGCAAGAAUCAAAUCGAGCCUGUAGCCCACGAGAACCCAAGCCAAGAACCCGUACACACCCAGAUUUGAGGACAGAGGCCACGCACGCGAGCACACCGAUGUGAUGAAGCAAGAACCCAGUGCGCCAGGGACAGAAAAGGGAAGGAAGAGAAGAAGGGAAGGAAGAGGAGGGCAGCGGCUUAUCGGCGAGUAGGCGGUGGAGAGGAUCGGCGUCGGAUAGUAGACAUUCGCUGUCGCCGUCGCCUCAUGCGCCGCCUCAUCGCCUAGCUCGUGCGUCCGUGAUCGCCUAGCUCCGAGCCGGGGGGCCUCCUAUAUAACUUGUGGAAUUAAGUUUCAUAACUUUAAAGUCCAACAGACCCAGUUAGAAAUAUUAAGUUAACAUUUCAACAAAAUAGAUUCAACAUUUUCUGAAAAUUCGACCAACAUCCAAGUAUACUACAUUCAACAUUUCAAAAUAUGUAGAUCAACAUUUUGUAAUAGAAUACUUCGUUCAACAUUUCUCAUUGUCUACUUCAACAUCUUUGCAAACUAGCUUCAACAUUUUUGGAUCAAGGAUCAACAAUUUUGAAAAUGAUUUUUUUGACCUUCUUCAACCUCUAGACAGCAGCCGUGGGGCAGGUGCGUGCGGUCGGCCUUGCGCCCUGCGAGGCCGUCGGCCUGCCAUGGUCGGCGGCCGCAUGGCAGGCGCUCGAAGCACCCAUGGAGGGUGGCCGGCCGGCGACGGCCAGGUCGGCACGCGCGGGCGGCGGCUUGCUCGCGGGGUCGUGCGCGGGGCAGCAGCUGGUCGGCGGGCGGUGACGGCGACAGGGGAUGACGCGGUGGGGCAGCUAGGGCCAACGGGUGUAUGGCCGACGGCGAGGCGGCGCGGGCGCAGGUCUGGCGGCGGCGGUAGGUGUGCUGUCAACAUUAGGGUUUGGGAGAAUGGGGAGAUGCAUCCAACGAUCUAGAUUGCAUGCACGUAGCCCUGCUAAUUGAGUUGGGUUUAUUGGUUGUAAUGGAUUGGUUUUCAUUUUGGGCUUCUUUUAGUUGGUUUCCAAUAGACUAGCCCAAUAGAUGGUUUGAUUUGAGUUGGGUUUUACCAGCAAACAUACGGUUUGGAGGGGAUUUAGGAUGUGGAGUAUUAUUUUGGGUCCAAAAGCCUCUCAACCCAUGGGUUGCAACCUGUUAUAAAUCCGCGGGCCCUAUCCUAUCCCCUAUUCCCCUCAUGAGUCACGACCUCGCCAGUCGCCCCUCGGCCUCGAGCCUCGCCUCGCCUCGCCUCCCUUCCCCUGCCGUCAAGCCUGAGCCCCCGGUGUCCCUAGACUUCCCCUACGUGUUCGGCUCCUGCCUCGGCAUCAGCGGCCUCCUCGAGUCGCACGAGGAGGAGUCCUAGACGUCGAUGGCCGGGGCGGCAUCACCCACGACGGCGACCGGGAGCAGCGAGGAGGCCAUGGCGGUGGCUGGGGCAAGCACUACCGUGGGGGUGAGGCAGUAGCUGUGGGGCAAGUUCGCCGCAGAGAUCUGGGAUUCAGGAUCCGAGAUCCAUGCCAAACCAGGUAACCGCCUAAGCUACACUUCUUGGGUGCGUUUCUAAUCCAUUGUGAUUUAAACGAUGCUGUUGUAAAGGAACCCUCUUUCCCCCUGUCGCCUCCCUCUUAGUGCAAGCAGCAUACGGAGAAGAUUAGGAUAUAUAUAUAUAUAUAUAUAUAUAUAUAUAUAUAUAUAUAUAUAUAUAGAGAGAGAGAGAGAGAGAGAGAGAGAGAGAGAGAGAGAGACAACAAGCUUUCUCUGAAUGUAUGGGGUACACGAAAUGAUGAUGCAAUUGUGCAGACAGUAAACAAGUACAUGAGAGUUAGAAGACCACAAAAGGGUAAAGGCACAGUGACAAUGUAUUUCCAAAAGGAGCCAACAAGCAAAAUCAAUGACAAUAAGCAGAAAGCAGGCAACUAUUGUCACCAACAUUGGCAUAUAUGAAAGCAGAAAGGAACAACAAUGUAUGCACAGUGUAACUUGAAUGAAUGAGAUAAGAUAUACAUUUUUAGAUAAAUGCUUCACAACUAUACCACUGAUAAUGAUAUAUCUUUUAUUGAUAUAUAAAUGGCAACUUCUUGCAACAGUAGCUCCAUAAGACAGAAAGGGUACAAAUGGAAUGAAAGAAUUGAGCUGUACAAGGGGAAGAGAUAAGUAUUUAUAUGUCCUCUUAUCAAUCAUACAUAUGGCUAAGUUCAUAUUAGGCAUGCUAAGUUAAAAGUAAGUCACUCAGAAAAAAUAGAACAGGGCAACAAGCUACUAUAAUAUCUAAAUAAAACAUUUUAAAAUUGAAUAAAAGAACAAGAGUCUGCACAACUGAAAAAUGAAACUAUCUGUGGUGGACUUUGUUCAGUUUGCUUAUGUGAAGCCAACCAAGUCCCAUCUAGAAAUGAUUGUAGAUCACAAGUACCCCUGUCAAACAAAAAAGGAUUAGACAUACAACAUUGGAUGGAAAAGGUUAGUAUAUAUAAGCCUCUACUUCCUUCAAGGCUUCAAGCAUAAUCCUGAGAACUAAUCACCAACUCUGACUGAUUUUGUAGAACUAUUUCACAUUUAGAACAACAAAGUUUUAAGAGUCUCAACAGCACUGGAUCACAAUUCACCAUCAUUUCAAGAACUGGACCACAAAUCAUAAAAAUAUGAACCGAACAGACCAAACCUUCACAAAUCAUAAAAAUAUUAGUCUCAUUGUCAGCCAAAACGGGGUAACAAACUUGAAACUCAAGAGUUUUAAAGUUCUAAUUAAUGAUGUACAAUACAAUGGCUGCUCGUUUUUGACUUGCAUGUUUCUACCAAGGAAUGGGCUAGAAAAUGGCAUACCUUUCUGAUCUGGCACCAAUGAAUUUUGCGGUCCUAGCAACCUGAACCAGCCACAAGAGCAGGGAGAGAAAAGGAGCACUGAUCAGGAUGACAAAUGGAGAUCUAUGUUCCUAAUAAAAAUAAACUUCAGCUUCUUUUGUUAAGCUUGUGACCAGGUAGACAAAUGGAGCUCUAUGUUCCUAAAAUUCAACUUCAGCUUCUUUUGUUCAGAAACUUAUUGCUCCUUUGUUCAAAAGCAUGCAUCAAGGUUCGAAAUUCCAAAAGCAUAGAGAUACAAUGCUAUUUGGCAGAUCUCGAAACAGAGCUCUAGCACUGUUUCUUUCAACCAGAUCCAUCUAUCUUCAACUGCCAACCCAUCACAAUAUAUUACAUGAGCUUAAGCAUGUAAGUAGAAAUCUGAGGCCAAUCAAGAUGUAGUAGAAAAAAUGCAUGGCUUCCCCAGGAGUUCCUUUUUCAACCAAGGUAGUUAUAUUAGAACCAUAUAUAUAGAAGAAUAUUUAGAACUCCAACACAGGAAAAAUUCUAUAUGUGCAGUCUUGUAGACAAAAAAUAUCAAAACUAAUCUGAGAUCAAUCAAGAUGUACUGAAAAAUGCAUCGUUUCCCCAGGUGUUCCCUUUUUAACGGAUGGCAGUUAUAUUAGAACCAUAUAUAUAGGAGAUGCAUACGUGAUAAGUAACCAGGAUAAUGGUGGUAUGAUAAAACACUACGGGAACAGGGAAGAUGCCGAGUGCCAGGGGCACUCGGCGAAGACCUCAAAACACUCGGGAAAGUUUUUGCCGAGUGUAACACUCGGCAUCUGACACUCAGCAAAGAUUUUAACGGCAAACAGAACUUUGCCGAGUGUCAAAUGUCGGGCACUCGGCAAAUAUCUUUGCCGAGUGUCAGUAAACACUCGGUAAAAAAACUGUCAGCGAAGACGGAGUAACGGCGCGACACGGUGAUGGGGGCUUUGCCGAGUGCUUCACAGAAAGGCACUCGGCAAAGGCUAUCACGUUUGCCGAGUGCCACCUCGAAACACUCGGCAAACUCUAGCAAAUUUGCCGAGUGCCACCUGGACACACUCGGCAAACUCCAGCAAGUUUGCCGAGUGCCACAUCGCAACACUCGGCAAAGUGGCACAUACAUAGCUGUUUUUAUUACCUCUUUGCUGAGUGUUUAAGCCAAAACACUCGGCAAAACUACGACACUCGGCAAAACAGUAAUAGAAAAUGACAGAAAUAGUCGCUUUGCCGCGUGUAACACUCGGCAAAGUGGCAAAACCCCCCCUAUUUUUACUGCUUUCUUACGUAUAAAGGACCCCUCUCAAACAAAAAUCACAGGCAUGUAUAUUACAUCACAGGCAUAUAAUAAACAUCACAAGCAUAUAUUUUAGGUCACAUGCACACAAAUCACCGAGUACAUGUUCUAGUUUCAACAAACCACAAUUCCACAAGUAUAUGUUUGAGAUUAAACAAGUAGUUCACAAACAACGCAUAAGUCAGUGAGGUGGCGUCCUUGCGAACCGCUGCGACAAAUCUGGGUCUUGAGCUUGGGAAUUCGAAGCCACCGAUUGAUUCUGCACAUAAAAGAAGACGUGUGAGACAAGAUUGAUAUCAUUUGAGCUAAAUAAGUCAUCUUUGAGCUAACUAAGUCAUUUGAGGUAACUAAGUUAUGUUUGAGCUAACUAAGUCAAGUAUUCAAACUAAAGUUCAAGUGACUCACAGGAGUAUGUGUGGGUGGCUGGGGUGGAGGGAAUACCAUCGGUGGCUAUGGCAAUGGUGUACCCAUACUCAUAGCAAUAGCAAAAUUUUGCAUGUAUUGAAACAUUUGUUCCAUCCUCAACCGAUUUUCUUCGUCCAUCCUCUGUCGCUCGGCCUCCAUCCUUUGCCGAACCAUCCGCUCCACCCUCACCUCCAUCUCCUAUUGUUGCCUCUCCACUUGGGCCUACAAUUUUUCAUCGCAAUAUUACAAUGCAAAGGUAAAGUACGUAACAACCAACGAACGAUGAAUGAAAUAGAAAGAACCUAAAGAGCCUCCAUCUGAAAUUGUGCAGUGGUCGGCCGUGGGCGUAUCGCUGGGCUCGAGUCCGUGCUCCUUGCUCGGAUCUGGGAGAGAGUGGGAGUAGAGGCCGUGUCAAUUACGCUAUCGCCAAUCCAAUACCGGCCAUGCUUCUUCCCCCCUCCCACCCUCAUCACCACUUCUUCAUCUAGAUCCUGGGUGCUCGGAUUGUAAUCUGACCCAUGAAUCUCCCUUGCCAUCGCUGUGUAGGAGGUGAUGCAGCUGUGGAUGCUAGGAUCGCCUCGGACGGGUCGUCCAGGUUCACGUCGAUGUUGGCCGUUGCCUUACCCUUUUUGGAUAGAAUCCAUCCCUUGAACUGGGAGUAAGGCUGGCCAUCAUGUGAGGACGACUGUGGCAAAAAUACAAACUAUUAGAAAUUUUGCUGAAUUGAGCGUUAGACAAAACAAAUGAAUUCGCGUACCCAUUUUUCCCUAUACUCAUCAAGGCUCAAGCUGCCCGGAUGGUGUGAUGCACCUUGCAUCAUCAAACGCCGCUAACGGCAACCAAGGUGGUUCUCCAACCACCCGGGUUCGACCCACACGUCCACUAUCCUUUCCUAGUGCUGCAUGUGCACCUGGCACCACCACACAGGCACCUACAUCAGCAAGUGUGACAUGUGAAAAAAGAAAUUAAGCGUGAUUAUUGUCAGAUAAAGUAAGUAUCAACGUUCUAUAUUUACCGUCAUGAAUUGGUCCUUGGUUAGGUUCAUUGUCCUUGCCUCAUCUUUUUUGACCUUCAUAUUUCUGUGUUGAGCGUAGAAUUCGAUGAUGGCCUGGAUGCGCAACUCGUAGUGCAUAUCCUUCACAAGCUUCUUGGCGACCUCAUCACAGACGGCGUUCGCCCGGGCCUCGAAACCCUCCUGGCAUCUGUAGAAGUCCUGCAUAUAUAGAGAGGUGUAUAUAGUUGUUAUUUCAAGAUUGUACAGUACAGGUGAUGUAUUGAGCAAUACUUACCCACAGCUCGCCCUUCACCCGCAACGCCUUGUUUGGGAAUGACCUAUUUUCACGGUCAGCAAAGUCAUCGGCAACGACGUAGUGGUCCCACAUGUAGGCUGGCUCCACCCGUCCACCGCGCUCGACCAAGCCCGGGAAGUGUAUCCUGCACAACAGGCCAAGGAUGCCGUUGACCUUGCGGUUGUGAUCACCCCCACUGAGCUUAAUCCAACUCCUGCACAAGUGAUCAAUUAUUAGUUUCCAUUGUAAUUUUCAACACAUUAAACGAAAAAUUAUUGAGAACAUCUAAAGUCAUGCACCGCUUCCCACUGGGUUGAAUCAGCGGGCGUCUGUGGAAAGGUAUCAGUUGAGCCGGGAGGGACGACGGACCUCGCAACCAGAUCUGGGUCUGCGAACCCCCUGCCUCCCCCUCAUCCCCCUCCUGCUCCUGCUCAUGCUCCUACUCCUGCUCCUCCUCCUCUUGCUUCUGCACCUGCACCUGCUCCUCCUGCUCCUCUUCCUUGUCACCAGAGCCGUGCGCGAAAGGUAUCUCCUCCUCAGAUGCCGACUCUAUUUCAGGCGAUGGGUGCCUCGGCCCUUUACCCUUUCCUCGACCCCUGCCUCGAGUCUGGACCUCUUCCUCGACCUCUGCCCCACCCCUGCCUCGACCCCUAUGUCCACCCUUCCCUCGACCUCUUCCUGAAGAAAACCCUGAAAAGGACCGUGAAGCUUUACAUGUAACUUUUUGAUAAAAAUCCGCGACCUUCCUCAUACCGCCCACCAUUGCUCAUCACCUGCAAUUAAAAGGAGUAAAUCAAUCAGUAUAAUAUAAACAAAACAUAUUUAGAAACAUAUGCAAAAUAAACUAAACAUUCUUCAAAAAAUAACAUGGUAUGACAAAUAAAAAAUCGUACAUGUAUUAGAAGUAAUCAUCAUGAUCGGGAUUAACUGGAUCAUAAGUCUCAUCAUCACUAUCACGUGUGUUGAUAUAAUCAUGCCCGUGCUCCAAAGUAGGAAUGUCGUCAUCACUAUCAUAGCCUAAAUGUAAUCGUUGAAGCAAAUCUAAUUCUUCGCAUUCUAAACCUCGUCUGCAGUGUCCUCGUCAGCAACCCUUUCAUUGUCUACUUCCAUUCCAAUCCCUUCGGUUAACUCUAUCACAAAACUCCCUUCGAGCCCGUCUUCUUGGAAGAACUCUCUGUCAUACGUGUUGAGGUCUAUGUUGUAAUCUUAAUUAUUUGGUACAGGUAAUUUACCAUGUGGCAAUACCUUGUACACAACAUCCCAACCCUUAAGAUGGUCCUCAGUUUGACACGGGUAUGACAGGUAAUAAACUUGUGUGGCCUGUUGAGCCACAAUAUACACAUCUUCUCCUGGUAAGACGGAUGAUUGUCGGAUUUCGACUAGCCCAAGAUUAGGGGUCCGUCUCACAACCGAUGGAUCAAACCAAUGACAUUUGAAUAUGACUUGCUUAAGAGGUUUGCAACCAUGAAACUUGAGUUCGUAUAUUUCUUCGAUUACUCCAUAGUACUCAACACCAUCCAAGCCUGGCGUGAAAACUCCAUUAUUUGUGGUUCUCCGAUUGGGCUGACUCUGCUCGUGUCUUGUUGUGUGAAAGCGAUAUCCAUUCACGUCAUAACCGGUAAAUGACCUGACCCUAUAGUCACAACCAUCAGCAACCUAUCUCAACUCGACACUCAUAGACGCAUCAGUUUGGCCCUGCAAGUUCAAGCAGGGUCAUUCGUUAUAUUAUUCGCGUGUACGAGCAAAUUGUAAUAUCAUACUAAGUACGAGCUAAAAUGGAUUGUACCUUCUAUUUGAACCAAGAAAUAAAAUCGGGUCUUCCAUUUCCCGCACCCUCUCUGAGAAUGGUAUCAGUUUGUUGCGGGGUAGGUUGCCUUGAUUUAUGCCAAAAUUGACUAUGAAAUUCCCUAAACCAAUGAGAAAAACAUGAACAGUUGCACACAGAAUAGUGACUACUUGAGAAUAAUGUUGUUGAGAACUUAUAGCAUAUACGGCUCCACUUCUGAUAGAUUGCUCAACACGUACAACAUGAUAAUGCGCCACUCUUCAUGUUUCAAGGUCUUAGGGGUUGCACCACUUGCACUUCCGAGUUGCUCUCGGAAAAUGCUAAGGCUCGAUUCAUUUUUGCCAGCAUUGUAACGCGGGGGUGGAUUGUGCACGCUAGGAAGGUUGUUAGCAUAAUAUUUUGUUGUGAAGUUUGAGACCUCCAAAAUAUAUGCCUUUGCAAUGGAUGCUUCAAUUUUGCAUUUAUUUUUACAUUUAGUUCACAUAACCUUUUGACAUCUCUUAAUUGAAUAACACCAACGGCCCUGCAUAGGCCCCCCAUUCUUGCUUCAUACGGGAGGUGAAGAAUCAUAUGCUGCAUCGGAUUAAAGAAUCCGGGUGGAAAGAUUUUCUCCAACUUACAGAGUAACACAAGCGCCAUUCUUUCCAUUUCUGCAAUCACGGUACGAGAUAACUCUUUGGCACAAAGCUGGUGGAAGAAAUUGCUCAACUCCGCUAGCACGUGGAAGUACAUAUCCUCAAACCAUCACCGGAAGUAGACGCUCAAGCCACACGUGGUAAUCAUGACUCUUCAGGCCGUUGAUUCGCAUAGUAGUUAAGUUCACUCCCCUCUUCAAAUUUGCUGCAUACCCAUCAGGGAACAUUAACGUUUGGAACCAUUCUAGUACCUCCCUCCUCUAGGCUCUCGUCAGGAUGAAAUCAGCCUUAGACUUCCUCCACGACUUGCCGGAUCAGGGAUGCGCCAUGUCUAACUUUGGUCUGUUGCAUAUCCUCGCUUGAUCUACUCUAGCCUUAACAUUAUCCUUUAUCUUGUCAGGAAUGUCCACAAUUGUCCCAAAAAUUGCCUCGGCGAUAUUCUUUUCAGUGUGCAUUACAUCUAUGUUAUGCGGAAGAAGAAGGUCAUGAAAAUAGGGGAGAUUCCACAAGCACGACUUCUGAGUCCAAGCAUGUUGCUCGCCAUAUCCCACAAAACCACCUUCAUUGUUAUUAAGCUCGAGAGCGUCUAACUGAGCACGAAUCGCGGCUCCUUUCAUCAUCUGCGGUGCAAGGUCUUCAACUACGACAUCUCUCAUAAAGUUUUUAAUGUCUUGUUUGAAUAGAUGGUCAGGAGGGAGGAAUUGUUGAUGUUUGUCGAACGAAGAAUAUUUGCCACCCUUCGUCAACCAAAUGAACUUCAGAGAAGCCUUGCAAACUGGGCAUGGGAACCUCCCGUGAACACACCACCCGUAGAAAAUCCCAUAUGCCGGCAAGUCAUGCAGGGAGUACUGGUACCAAACAUGCAUCUUAAAGUUUGUCUUUGUAGCUCGGUCGUAAGUCCAUACCCCUUCCUCCCAAGCACGGACCAAAUCAUCAAUCAGAGGCUCCAUGUACACACUCAUAUUAUUCCCUGGGUGCUCUGGAAUUAUCAACGACAAAAAUAUAUUCUGUCGUUGAAAAAGGACGCCAGGGGGGAGAUUCAGGGGGAUAACAAAUAUGGGCUAACAGGUAUACGGGGCAGCCGCCAUUCCAUAUGGAUUGAACCCAUCUGUUGCCAGCGCAACACGUACAUUACGAGCCUCUAGAGAUUUCUCACGAUAAAUCACAUCAAAUCUUGUCCAGGCUUCACCAUCGGAUGGGUGUACCAGCUUCUCAGGAUUGUAUCGAUGUCCAUUUUGAUGUCAUGUCAUCUGUUUCACAGAUUCCUCUAUCAUGUAAAGCCGUUGGAUCCUCGGUAUGAAAGGAAGGUACCGUAGAAUCUUCACGGGGAUUGCGAGCUGCCUCUUCUGACCAUCACCAGAGUCUACCUCCAGAAACCUAGACGACUCGCACUUCACAUAGUACUUAGCUUCCGCAUACUCUUUCUGAAAUAAGAUGCAUCCCUUCGGGCAAGCAUGUAUCUGCUCGUAUGGCAUCUUAAGCGCACGAAGUAGUUUAUGUGCCUCAUACAUGCUCUUUGGCAAGAUGUGAUCAUCCGGGAGCAGGCUGCCAAAAACAAUCAGCAUAACAUCGAAGGCGUCUCGACUCAAGCUAAACUGGGACUUCACGGCCAUUAGGCGUGCAAUGGCAUCCAGUUGAGAAACCUUGGUAUGACCAUGCAGGGGUUGCUGUGCCAUAGACAACAUGUUGUAAUACGCCUUUGCGGUAGCCUCUGGCUCCUCCUCCCUACGUGUCUCAUCGAACUAUGCUUCAUGAUAGUCAUUUAACAUGUCUCCCACCCCAGCAUCAUCAUCAUAUUCCUCGAUGCGUUGUCUCAACACUUCAUCUCUCCCAUGAUCGGCUUCACCAUGGUAGAUCCACCUGGUGUAGUCUAACGUAAAUUCGUUCUUCACAAGAUGUUUGCCCAUUUCUAGCUUAGUUUUUUGACGCAUGUUUGCACAUCUACUGCACGGACACCAAGGGACACUAGCUGCUUUGACCCUAGCAAACGUCCGUUCUAAGAAUGCAUCGGUCUUUUCAAUCCAUUCAUCGGUCAAUGAAUCCUGACUAGAGCGGCCCGUGUACAGCCACUCACGGUCAUCCAUCCUCUAGUAUAACAGCGAGUAAUAUAAAAAAUCAUGUUGUAUCUACAUGUUCAUAUACUGUCUAAUAGGUGAAGAUAGGUCCUAAUCCCACCCGAGGAUGUGUAGAUGCGGUUAGUUUCCAUGCCCUAAUCCGAUCCGAGACAGAAUUUCGGCAGCACCUCCCCGCUGUUCUCCAAAUACACGUCCAGGAUUAGAGAUUGUGUAUCCGGAGAACAACAGGAAGGUGCUGCCAAAACUCUAUCACGGAUCGGAGUAGAGCAUGGAAACUAACCGCACCUACACAUCCUCGGGCUGUCCAAAAAAUGUGGACAAUUCGAAACAGAUACGGGUAUAGAUAUGCAAAUAUUUGCAUAUUUGCAACCGUAUCUCUUUCGAACGGGAGAUGCCUAACUAGAUUACGUGAUAUACGAAGAUCAAAUGGAAAGAGAUGUGUAAGAUGCCUCACCUUGCUAUCCUGCAAAGUGACGAGUCAAGGACGGUCCUUGUGAGCCUCUCCUGCAAGAAAAGAAACAUAGUACUGUUAAGUCAAAAUUUCAGCAGCAGCUCCCCUGCACGGGGAGGUUUCCAAAACCUGCAACAAAGAAAACGGCACGAUGGCCGACAACCACAUGCUCACCAAAGAGACGGCACGAUGGCCAACAACCACAAUCUCACCAAGAGAUGGCACGAUGGCCGACAAAUACAUCCACACCAAAGAAACGGCACGACGGUCGACAACCACAUCCUAAUUUGUGAAAAAAAAAGUUCCUACCACCUCUCUAGUCUCUAUUUUCUAAUUUUCUAAUUUCAUGCCUCUAAUUUCUGAAAAAAAUCCUACCACAUCCUACCACCUCUCUAUUCUUUUCAAUAUUUUCUAAUUUCUAAUAUCAAUCACCUACUGUAAUUUUUUCUAAUUUCAACAUUUUCCUACAUUGGAGGCCGUCGGCCGCGGGUAGGGAGGGGCGGGAACCGGCAGGGGGUGGGCGCUGGUCGCGGGCCGGGGCAGCAGAGCAAGGGCGGCCAGGGUGGGAGGGACGGCCGGGCUGGCGCCGGUGGCGGGCUGGAGGGGCGGCCGGGCAGGGAGCUGGCCGCGGGUAGGGGAGGGGCGGCCGGUCCGACGCUGGUGGGGGGCCGGAGGGGCGGCUAGGCCGGCACCGGUGGCGGGCCAGAGGGGCGGCCGGGCAGGGAGCCGGCCGCGGGCAGGGGAGGGUCGGCCGGGCCGGCGCCGGUGGCGGGUUGGAGGGGUUGCUGGGCGGGGAGCCGGCCGAGGGCAGGGCGGGUAGUCGCACUGAGCGGGGCGGCGGGAGAGGGGAGCUGGGGGAGGGCCGCCGGAGGCGCGUGGCGGCAGGUGCGGCGGCGGCGGGUACGGGGCAGGGUGGCGGCGGGUGAAGGGAGCUCGAGGUGUGCAAAGUGCUUUGAGUGAGUGAGGUGACUGUGCGGGCACUGUGGAUAGGAUUCAGUGUUUGCCGAGUGUCAAGAUCCAAAACACUCGCCAAACUAUAUUUUGCCGAGUGCCCAGAUCCAGGAUACUCGGCAAACACUUUUUUUAUAUUUUUUUAACCAAUUGGAAAUAGUAUAUGCACUGUGGUGGGCCCAUACACUAAGUUUGCCGGGUGUAUUCUCCGAAACACUCUGCAAACCGUGAAACACUCGGCAAAGUUCUUUCAUAUUUCAUGUACGAAUACCUUCCCUAACGUGCUUUACUAAAUUUUUUCGAUGUACUUCCAAAAACAUGGUCAAAUUCACUUAACAAUACAUAUUUGAUUUUUCUACGAAUAUUGUUCCAUUAUUUUAGGCAGUUAUAGCUCAAAUUUAAUUUAUCUCAAUUUAAAUUCUACAAUUGAAGUUAAUACAUUAAAAUUAUCAAAAGGACAUGAAAAAUUCGCAAAAUUUGAAAGGAACCAAUCUAUGUUGUCCAUUGCCUAUACAAAAAGUUUUGAAGUCCAACUCUAAUUCAACCGUCACUUUGACUCCAAAUCUUAACAGAUCAUUCUGAACUUCUAGACUCUUCUCUCGAGAUACUCCGGUUUGUAAGAGUCGUACGUGACCGAAGGUGCGAAACCUUCUCAAUUUUUUUUUCCAAAGUCUCCAUGUAUGACAUCAUGAGAUCUUGACAAAUCUCGUGAUUUUCAGAGUUCAUUUGGUUUUUCUAGAAUUUAAAAAUCAUUAGACCACAUGGUCGUAUUUUCUGACUAAGAUGUUCAAAAUUUCUUUUCGUUUUCUGGGUAAGGCCCGAGAGUGGAGUCACUAACAUGAAUAUGAUUUUUCCACUGAACUUAUUCCAUUAUUUCAAACACUUGCAGUUCAAAUUUGCCCGUAACCAAAAAAAUCCUAUCUGUGCUAUAAAUUUAUUAAAUAUAGCAAACUGAUCCACAAAUAUACGAAAUUUGAACAUGUAGUAUCACAUGUUGUGUGGGGAAAGUGGAAAACGUUUGGAGGGCAGGGAAGGAAAAAAAAUGUUAUUUUGCCGAGUGUCUAUAGAAAACACUCGGCAAAAAUAAACUUUGCCGAGUGCCUUUGGAGCAACACUUGGCAAAGGGUGUAAUUUUCCGAGUGCCUCAGGACGGACAGGUUUGCCGAGUGCCGCUAACGGGCACUCGGCAAAGUGCAAACGUCCGGCACGCUUCGUAACGGCUGGCGCGCGUGCUAGUCACGUGUUAGAGAUUUGCCGAGUGCGUUCUGUUUGCCGAGUGUCGUUCUCAUUUUUUGCCGAGUGUUCCAUUCGUGACACUCGGCAAACAAGAUGUUUGCCGAGUGUAUUUUGAAUGCCUAGUGUAUAUGUGGAUACACUCGGCAAACAUGUCCUUUGCCGAGUGCCCGAUAGGUUGCACUCGGCAAAGAUAAAAACACUCAGCAUUAUCUCGGUUUCUGGUAGUGAAAAUAUCAAAACUGAAGGAAUUGCAUAUAUGAAAAGUAACGUGAGCAAAGGCAUGCAGCGGUGAUUCAAAAUAAACUAAAGUUUGUGAAAUGUGUGACAUCAUUAGUUCGUCUUAUCAAUUCUGAAGGGGGACUUGUGCAGAAUUAGGUGAACAAUAUGAAAGAGGCUAGAUAUGAGUAUUGACACAAACAACUUGACUUUAACAGUCAUGAGUCUCCAAAGUCAUACGCACCUAUUGCCAUUCCAGAACAAACUUGCUGCUGGAAACCUUGCAUUGGAUCGGCCAGUCAGAAACCACCAUAGAGAAUUGACCGUUAGUCUCGGUUGGUAGGGUGCAUAUCUCCCAAAAAUCCAUCCGGGAUAAACCAACCGGGACAAGGGGGGGUCUUUAGUCCCGGGUCUUUCAACCGGGAGUAAAGGUCACCCUUUAGUCCCGGUUGGUUUAUCCCGGAUGGAUUUUCGGGAGAUAUGCACCAACCGGGACUAAAGGGCCUGCCACGCCAGGCGCGGGACAGGCCCUUUACUCCUGGUUGGUAAAAGCAACAGGGAGUAAAGGGUGCCCUUUUAGUCCCGGUUGGGUUUCCCAACCGGGAGUAAUGGGUUACCCUUUAGUCCCGGUUGGAUUUCCCAACCGGGACUAAAUGGCGCCUUGCAUGGCACCCUGCGUGGCGCCUAAAAUUUUCAUGCAUCACGUACGUAGUACCGCGGCCCUUUUGUUAACCUUUAGUAGUUGAGAUUUUUUUUAGAAUGAAAUCAACUAGUAUUUAAACGAAUGAAAUUUGUAAUUAUACAAUUACUAUAUAUAUACACAAUUCAACUAGUACAAAUCGAUCAUAAUUAGUGCGUAUUAUAUAUACCAAUAAAUCAAACUAUAUAUCUACAAUCUUCCCGUCGAGGUGUUGCUCGGAGCGUCUAAUUGUCGUCCAUCGUAAUAAAAUUCUCCUUUUGGAUUUACCACCUCGUCCAUUAGGAAUCCAAUGAGACCUUCACAUAUUGCUGCUACUCUUUCUUCCUUCAAGAGUCCUUGUUGAAUAUUUAACAUCUAUAAUUUGGAAAUUUGUGAAUGUUACCCAAACAAUUAAAUAUAAGGAGCUAGAAAAUAAUUAACUAGUAAUAGUUUUAUUUUAUGUACUUUAAAGUUGUGUGGCGUCAUCUUUAGUCCCUUGGGUCCCAUAAAACUGUGCAUGUGCUCACAGAUGUAGUAGCCACAUAGAUUAUUCCCGGGUUCCUGUCUUAAGCACUUCAGUGCGGAAAAAAAUAAGUUAUGAAAUAUUCGUGUUAUACAAUGUAAUAAAUGUGCAGACUUCAUACGUACCGGAAAGUCUGUGUUCCAUAUAAGUUUUUCUUUGAAUGGACCUUUGUGUGUCCUUAUGAAUUGUUUCCAUGCGCUGCGGAUUAGAAUAAUGAAUGAUAUAGUGUAACAAAGAUAAAAUUUAGGAAACAAACUUUUGCAUAGAGAUAAAGGUCCAGAAUUAUUACAAGCCUAGCAUGUCUUGCAUGUCUUGGUACUCCACCGGAUCUUUCCUCAACGAAUCGAAGACAGUGACGUGGCUUCUUUCAGCCUCAAUUAUAAUAAGGAUCCAGUGGAAGCUGUUGGAGGUAUGCCCUAGAGGCAAUCAUAGAGAUGAUGAUAUUCCAUUUGUAUCCAUGAUUUAUAUUGUGUUCCUUGAAUAUCCAUUAAAGGCUACUUGAAUUGAUUUGCAAUUAUGUGAAUUGUAUGUGAAACUCUUUACUUGUAUGGUUAUUCUAAAGUUGUCCCUAGUCGGAGUUCAUGUGAGGACACACAUGAAUAUUAGACUAGCACAUGUAUUAGUUGAUGACUAUAUUUCACAAGUCAUGGACAUGGAGAUGUUGAACUAAUAAUGUGGGCACAUGUGGAGACAUGUGCUAGGACUGACCCAACACGAGAAGUAGUUCUCUCUUUACACAACAUAUACGCUUUGUCCUUAGACAUGUACUCAAGAUGUGGAUCGACUUACUUAGGGGCUAUCAAACGCUACGCCGUAACAGGGUUGUUAUAAAGGUAGCUUUCGGGUCUGUUAAGAAGCAUGCUAUGAGACAUGAUCAAUCAAGAUGGGAUUUGCCCCUCUCUGAUUGAGAGUGAUAUCUCUGGGCCCCUCGAGUGAUCGGAUCCAAAAAUGCAUGGCCAUGCUACAUACGGUUAAGAGUUAACCUACAAAGGGAUUCUGAAUCAUAGGAUUGAGAAAGAGCGGUCGGCUUGAAGCUAGACCAAAUAUCGUGAGGCAAAGGGAAUAGCAAGUAUAUAAUGUUGUGAUGGUUCGUCUGAUAUAAUCUUCGUGUGCGUAUAGGAGUUGGCACGUCUUGCUAGAGGCCGCUACCGACUAUUGGGCCGAGUAGGAGUACUCGGGCCAUGUCUAUAUGUAUUCGAACUCAUAGGGUCACACACUUAAGAGGCUGGAAGCCCAAUUCGGAUGUGAUCCGAGUUGGAUUAGGUUUAGAAGUACUAAUGGGCCUCAGACCUAGAGGCCCGCUAGGAACCUCUAUAAAUAGAGGGGUGGGGGCACCCUAGGGUUGACACCUUUUUGGUGAAACACAUCUGCUGCGCCUCCCACACCCUCGCGUGUUGCAACUUGCGGACCUGGCAGUCCGGCUUGCGACGCUUCCUCCCUGCACAUGUGGACACCUUGGAGGUGUUGUGCCUGAAGCACUACGACGAGCCACCGACGAGCCGCCGACGAGCCACGGCACGAGGGCGAUCUUGCUGCACGUGGAUGAGCUGCUGAGGAGCUGCUGGACGUCGACGUGAUCGACUACGUACGACUACGCUGAUCGACUUUGCUGCAUCGACGUGAAUUUACAUCUUCCGCAUCAGUGCGUCGAGUGGUAAUCCCGUGAUCCUUAUACGACAGUUUUCUGGUUUAUGCGGUAGAAAAUUUUGAUUUGAGCUAGUGUAGCCUACUUCGUAUCCCAACAGAAGCUGCGUACAUAAAAUGUUCAUGCAUAUUAGAGCUAACUAACAUUAAUCAGGUAAGGAAAAAUACAACGAAAGUAGACGGUAUACACACACUUACUUGAAGUUGUAUGGAAGUAGUAUGGAAUCCUUGAAUGUUUGUUUGUCUAGGAAAUUAUAUACUUCCACCAAGGUUUUUUCCGGCGAUAAUUGUAUCUGUUUUUGGUUAACUACAGAUAGAUCCAUGAAGCCUAUAUGUAGGUACGCCUCUCGUCAGCACGUCUGAAUUAGCAUCCUACAUAAAAUGGAAGAUGAAGUUAGUACGGUGACGCACGCCAAAAUUUACAUGUAGAGAUAAACAGACACUUACAGAACCCAAGCGCUGAUCAAAGAGAUGUCCAGGGCAUCAUGAUGGUACACUUCGUAUAUAUCCUUGAAGUCUAGCCACAGCACUUUCUAGCCUUCGCCGUAAAAAUCUAUCGAUUUUACCUUAAGGCCGAACAUCUCCCUCGAGUUGGCGGAUGCCAUCAUGUAGCAUUGACAGAAUUCGUACAUCUUUGUUGAUAGCUUCCGUACUAACGAAGGCCUUACAAGAGGUUUGUCUAGCUCAUAAGGCCAUCUUGGCUCAGGGGGCGGUGCAGUUGGCGUCUCAACUUGCCCUAAACAUUCAUCAAGUCCCAGACCUGUUUCUUGCAUGAUUUUCAAUACUUCUGCAUGUUGAUCCAAGGGCAUUGCUGCUACCCUUUGAGCGUCUUUUUUUGAUAAAUGCCCGAGGUCGGGGACAGCACCACUGGAAGAUGACUUUCCUUUCCUUUUGUCCUUUCAUUAGCCUUUACUAAAGCCCGUUCAUAGUUUGAUAAGAGUGGUAUCCUUUUCUUGGCUCCUUCUUCCAUCCUGAUAAAAAAAGUUUAAAUCUCUUCGAUUUACUGGCGGUGGCUCCAUCUCCCUUGCUUUUUUUCUUCGGCUUGUUUCUUGAACCACUCACUGGCCUCUCGUUGGAUUUCUGCCCACUGUUCCGCAUGAGUCAUUGCCUCCCACCAUUCCUUACGAGUCACUUCAGGCUCUUUUGUUUUCUUCUUUCUUUGUCUUUGCUUGGGAGGUGGUGCUCGUGACUUCUUUAGUGGUGCUGCAGGUUCCUUCAUGGGGGCUGCUCUUGGUCCCGGCGACGGUGAUCGGGGAGGCGUGUUGUUAUUGUCGUCGUCGCUCCCACCACCAGGAUGUGGUGGAGAUGGAGACCUUGAUAUAGCAGGAAGCGAUGGUCCUGGAGCAGGUUGUGCAGGAGAUGAUGAUCUCGAGCUAUGAGGAGAAAGUCGCUGCUGGGGAUCUACGGGAAGCGGUCUUGAGCUCUGAGGAGAUGGCUCCAUGCCGGGAAUGAUGAUGUAGCAUUUUCACCAUAGAAUGAUCCCAUGAAGCGCAUCUGCCAGUGUCCUUUCCCUAUCACCUCCCGGGAGGUCGAGCUCUAGGCCUUCAUAUUGGCUAUCAACAAUUUGUUCUACGCGGACGCUGGCGUAGCCAGGUGGAAUCUCCAUGCCAUGACUGUUCUGCCCCGCCAGGGUUGCUAACGCACUCCUGUACGCUACCUGUACAUAUAGCAGAAGUAAACAAGUUAUUAAACUCCGAUCACGAGGCGUGGAUCAAUUGACAAGAUUGCAUAAAUAUUAUGUAUAAGUAUACCUUAAUAGUGAGGUUGCCGACCGGUGCAUGCAACUCACAUGUGGUGCAUUGCGUGAUGGCAUCCAUGGGGAACCGUUGCUCCUCCACGGGUAACCUGGAGGUCUACGCAUCAGAGACCCCUAUAGAAGCACAACUGCUCAAGAGGCGUUGAGAAGGGCUGGCGUAGUUUGGAUUCGGCAAUGCUCCAGAUUGGGCCAACUCCGCAACUGUGUGGGCCACUCGACAAUUGAUUUCCUCCAACAUUCUUUCUUCUUGUGCAUGCACCUUGGAUUCUAGCAUCUGCCGCCAGCUCAACUUGAUAUGUUCCUUUCUUCGCUUGCAGCUUCUGUACGAUGUGAUGUCACCUCGGAAAGCAAACUUCCACGGAAUGACCCUCGGCAACGUCCUGGGUGCUCAGGAUUACCGAUGGCCAAUGUGAGCUCAUCAUUCUCUCGGUCCACCUUCAACCUCCUAGCCUUAGAAUCUUCAAUGUUCUUCAUAAGACGUUCGGCCUUCUCACGUAUUGUUUCAUUGAAAAUCAACGUCCCAUCCUCUUGGCUCAGGGAGCCUCCGUGAGCGUAAUACCAAUUUUUUGAUCAUUCAGGCCAUUCAAUAGUUGCAGGUACAAUUUCCCGUUCGAUCAAAUCUUGUUCCAUCUUCCUCCAUUUGGGAAUUGCUAUGCCAUAACCACCUCGCCCUAGAUGAUGAUGGUAGCCCUUCUGACCAGCAUUUGUAGUGUUGGUCAGGAUCUUUUUCACACCGUCUUCACUCCUCUUAUAUUCAACAAAUGUCUCCCAGUGGUCCCUCAACUUUGGCCACACAUUGAAGUCUGGAGUUCGGCCCUUUUUAAUGUAGUUGGCAUCCAGCGUCUUCUUGAAUGUCUGGAAUUGUGUAGCCAUCUUCUUCAGCGUCCACGCUUUCACAUCCUUUUCAAUAUAUCCUUCGGGGAAUGUGAAAUGUCUCUUGACAUCUUCCCACAGCAUAUUCUUUUCUGUCUCCGGGAGGACGUACGGAUUAGUGCUUUUGCCCUUCCCUUCUCUGAUGCUGAUAGGCACGUUGUCCUGGACGAUUGCCCCGACCUGACUCACGUACUUCUUUGCUACUUUCUCGGGAGCAACCGGCCUGCCCUCUUCUGUCACUUCCGUGAUGACAAGCCUCCCUUCCAUCACCUUUGUACGACCUCGGGUCUUCUGCCCUUGCGUCGAUCCAGAGGGCUAAUAGUUCAAGAUUCGUUAAUUAGUACGUAGUAGUAACGGUGGCGUGAAACAAUACAAUUUAUAUAUACCUCGCUGGAACCUUCCGCCAUGGCAAGGUGUUGCUGGGGCUCAUGCUCUUCAUUCCCAUCGGCGGACAUGUUCCUCAACAUGUCCGCCUGGGUGCCCUCUUCAUCGGUGUACGAUAUUGGAAGGUUGUCGCCACUACCAUCACCAGAGAUUAUCUGCUCCAUGAGAUACCUUGCGGUCUCGUCGUCUGCCAUUUCAACUAUUGAUUGAAACAUACAUGGAAUCAUACAUGACAGUCAUAGAAAUUUCCUUAGCUAUAUGUACAUAAGGGUAUAUACAUGAAUCAUAAAAUAACAUGAAUCCCACAAAGUCCGGAAUGUUUAUACAAAUUUCAAUAAAUUAGUAGUACUUUGUACGAAUUUCUACCAAAUUUCUACUAAUUUAUACAUAUUUAUUGGAAUUUCUAGCAAAUUACUAAUAAUUCCUACUAAUUUUACAAUAACAUGAAUCCCACAAAGUCCGAAAUUUUUAUACAAAUUUCAACAAAUUAGUAGUACUUUGUAUGAAUUUCUACUAAAUUUCUACUAAUUUAUACAUAUUUAUUGGAAUUUCUAGCAAAUUACUACUAAUUCCUACUAAUUUGAUUUUCUAACUAAUAUACAAAUAUCUAUUGAUUUUCUAACUAAUUCGUUCCCAGCGCUAGUGCCGGCGGACCUCGCGCGGUCGAUGGUGCCUAGGUUGGGCGACGAGGUGGCCAGGGCGGCGGGACGGCGGAGGUGGGGACGAAGCGAGGUGGCCACGGCAACUAAUUUCUAACCUAGGCGGAGCCCUUCGUAACCCGGGACUAACUAAUUACUACUAAUUUCCACUAAUUUGAUUUUCUAACUAAUAUACAAAUAUCUAUUGAUUUUCUAACUAAUUACUACUAAUUUCUAUUUAUUUUCUAACUAAAAAAUAAAAAAGGCCCUUGCUGACGCAAGCCGAUGGGCUUGUGUCAGCAAGAGCGGUACGUUCCCGGCGCCAGUGCCGGCGGACCUCGCGCGGUCGACGGUGGCCGGGGCGACGAGGUGGCCGGCGCGGCGGGACGGCGGAGGCGAGGACGGAGCGAAGCAACACCGGGCGGAGGCAGCCGGCGACAAGGGGCGAUGAGGCGGCGCGCGCGACAGAGGCGGCGACGAGGAGGCCCCGCGACGGACGAGGGCGUGGCGGCGAGAGAGGAGGUGGCGUUGAUGGAGGCGGUGACGAGGACGGAGGCGGCGACGAGGCCCCGCGAUGGAGGCGGCCGGCGGCGACGAGGUCGAGGGGGCGGGAUGGAGGAGGAUCGAGUCGGGUUGGAGUGAUAGAGGAGGAGGCGGUCCGGGCGCGGGCGAGGCGGUCGGACGGUGGGACGACGAUGGCUGGGGCAAUGGGGGAGGAUGACAACGGCGACCGGCAAGGGAGGCGGACGGGCGGCGACGGAGCAGGAGCGUGGGAUCUUGGUGAAAGUUUGGCUAACUGUAACUGGCGUGGGGGGUAGAAGAGGCUACAGUGCCUUUUAUCCUCCCCUUUUAUCCCGGUUCGUAAUGGCACCCGGGACUAAAGGCCCUUUUGUCCUGGGUCCCAUUACCAACCGGGAUAAAAGCCCCCCCCUUUAUCCCGGUUGGUGAUGGGACCCGGGACAAAAGGGUACGUCCACCCAGCGGGAAUGGAAACCUACCCUUUUAUCCCAGGUGCCAAUACCAACUGGGAUAAAAGGGCCCCCCUUUUAUCCCGGUUGCUAACUGUAACCGGGAUAAAAGGGUACGUCCCCGGCGGGAAUCGAAAACUACCCUUUUAUCCCAGUUGCAGUUGUCAACCGGGAUUAAAGGGGGGCCUUUUGUCCCGGUUUCAAUUGGCACCCGGGAUAAAAGGGCCUUUUCCCACACUUUCAUCUCCCGCCUAUUUUUUGGAAAAGGAUUUGAUUUAUGUUUUCACUGCAUUUCAGGACGCAAAAACAAAAAACUUCACAUAUUUUGUACAUGCAAAAAUAUAUUUAAUUAGCGAGUAUAUUGACAAUAAGUGUGAUUUAGUCAUUAGUUCUGUACCAGUUCGUUUAGCCUCUAAAAUAAUUAUUUUACUGCAUCGUUGUGAUCAAGAAAUUAUUCAAUUAAAUAAUUUCAACGCGCAAAAAAAUCCAUGUAUGUAUGUGGUUAACAUUGUUCAUGUUUAUCUAAUAAAUCUUCACCUAACAAAUUUAAGAACACAUGAAAUCAUACAUAGGGUAAAUUAAAAAUUGUAUCAAAUACUACACAAAAGUCAUGUAAAUUUAGCGCAUUACAAUGCAACGUUGCAAAAUUUCUUCUUCACGAAAGUUCCUUGAUAAUGAUCGCGGCGUAAGUACAGAACCUCUUCUUUGGAUAGCAGGAUGCUUGGAUCAACUUCAACUGCGAAUGCAGGCAUGCCAUCAAACUGAUCAUAAUCAUCUAAUUGGUCUGUUUUAUCCUCGACUCCCAUGAUUUUUCUUUUACCUGGAAGAACUAUGUGGCACUUUGGCUCCCAUGUCUCUUCUGGAUUUCUCUUGGGUUUGCUACACAUGUCCUUCACAUAGAACACCUGAUGCACAUCAUUGGCAAGUACGAAUGGGUCAUCACUGUAUCCAGUCUUGCUCAGAUCUACUAUUGUCAUUCCGUACUGAUCUUUGGUUACGGCUGUUAGCUUCACCCAAUUGCAAAGAAAUAGAGGGAUGUACAGCGGCCCGUAUUCGAGUUCUCAUAUCUCCUGUAUGAAACCAUAAUACGACUCCUUGCUAUUAUUUCUAUCUAUGGCAUCUAUGCGGACACCACUAUUCUGGUUCGUGCUUUUCUAGCCCUGGGCUCUUGUGUAAAAUGUAUAACCAUUUAUCUCAUAGCCUUGGAAUUUCACGAUUGUGCUAGCAGGUCCUCUAGCUAACCAAGCGAGCUAUGGGUGAAUCUCAGAGUUACCCAUAAGUUAUUGGCACAACCAGGAGGGAAAAGUUUCCAUGUGAUGAUGUGUAAGCCAACAUCGGAUUUGGUCGGGUUUUGGAAACUACCAUCUGCCUGUGCUGCUCGAUAUACGGAGACACAAAGGAUGACUAUUGUAGAACAGUGUAGUGUGCCUUGUCGAACAAAUCAGUAUCGUUGCUGAAACUUGAUUUCCUUCCAAGGGUGCCCAUUCCCCGGAGCCUCCCCUCGUGGCGUGAAGUUGGAACCCCAAUCGAGUCAAUUGAAUCAAUAAAAUCAACACAAAACUCAAUCACCUCCUCUGUUCCAUAUCCCUUGACGAUGCUUCCUUCUGGACGGGCACGAUUAAGAACAUAGUUUUUUAGGACUACCAUGAACCUCUCAAAAGGCCACAUAUUGUGCAGGUAUACAGGUCUGAGAAUACCAAUCUCUUUUACUAGGUGAACAAGUAAGUGCGUCAUAAUAUUGAAGAAGGAUGGUGAAAUAACAACUCAAAACUGACAAGACAUUGCACCACAUCGUUCUGUAGCUCUGAUAGCUUGGAUGGAUCGAUUGCCUUCUACAAAAUCGCGUUGAGAAACACGCAUAGUUUUACGUGCGGCAACUGGACAUUUUCUGGUAGAACACCCCUCAGUGCAACCGGAAGCAACUAGGUCAUCAACAUGUGGCAGUCAUAGGCCUUGAGAUUUGUAAACUUCUUUUGUUUCAUAUUUAUUAUUCCCUUUAUAUUCGAGGAGUACCCAGACGGGACCUUCAUACUAUUCAAGCAUUCAAACAUGCUAUCCUUCUCUUCCUUGCUGAGAGUGUAACUAGCAGGACGUAAGUAGUGUUGUCCAUUAUCUCUCUUUUUCGGAUGUAGGUCAUCUCGUUGCCCCAUGGCUUUUAGGUCCUGUCGUGCUUCCAAUGUAUCUUUCGAGGUCCCAUAAACACCCAUGAAGCCUAGCACAUUCACGCAAAGAUUCUUCAUCAAGUGCAUCACGUCUAUCGUUGCGAACCUCUAGGAUUUCCCAAUAAGGUAGCUCCCAAAAUAUUGACUUUUUCUUCCACAUAGGUGCAUGUCCGUUAUCGUCGUUCGGAACAUGUUGGCUACUAUGACCCUUUCCAAAGACUACAUUUCCAUCCUUCAUCAUCUCGAAGACACGCUUUCCAUUAUGGUGUGCAGGUUUUUUCCGAUGGUCUGGCGCCCCUUUGAAAUGCAUCCCGCUCUUUCUCAGCUGGUGGUGAGCAGGGAGAAAUCGACGAUGACCCAUAUAGACGACCUUCUUAUAGUGCUUCAAAUACAUGCUGUCUAAGUCAUCUAAACAGUGGGUGCAUGCCCGAUAUCCCUUAUUUGUCUGUCCCGAAAGGUUACUCAGUGCAGGCCAAUCAUUAACAGUUACGAACAACAAUUCUCGUAGAUUAAAGAUCUAUUGUCUAUCCUCAUCCCACACACAUACACCUUUUUCCCUCCAGAGCUGUAAAAGGUCAUCAACCAAUGGUCUUAGGUACACGUCAAUGUCGUUGCCGGGUUGUUUUGGGCCUUGGAUAAGCGCCGACAUCAUAAUGAACUUCCGCUUCAUGCACAGCCAAGGAGGAAGGUUGAACAUACAUAGGGUCACAGGCCAAGUACUAUGGCCACUACUCAACUCACCGAAUGGAUUGAAUCAUCAGUACUUAAACCAAACCUUAUGUUCCUUGCUUCACUUUCAAAGUCCGGGAAUGCUCUAUCAAUUGAUCUCCACUGGGCCCCAUCUGCGGGGUGUCUCAGCAUCUCAUCUUCCAUACGUUCUUCUUUGUGCCAUCGCAUCAACUUAGCAUUCGCCUUGUUCCUGAACAAGCGUUUCAAGCGUGGUAUUAUAGGGAAAUACCACAUCACCUUCGUGGGAAUACUCUUCUUGGGAGACUGCCCCUCGACAUCACCAGGAUCAUCUCGCCUGAUCUUAUACCGCAGCGCUUCGCAGACGGGACAAGCAUCCAAUUUCUCGUAUUCAUCACCACGAUAGAGGAUACAGUCAUUAGGGCAUGUGUGUAUCUUCUGAACAUCCAAUCCGAGAGGGCAAAUAAUUUGUUUAGCUUCAUAUGUUGUGGAUGGUAAUUCAUUAUUCUUGGGAAGAAUCUUCUUGACAAUGUUCAAAAUCCCCUAAAAUGCCAUAUCGGACACACCAUUUUUUGCCUUCCAUUGCACAAAUUCUAGUGUCGUACCUAGUUUUUUAUGGCCCUGCUGGCAAUCUGGGUACAACAAUUUUUGGUGAUCAUCUAUCAUGCGCUGCAACUUUGCUGCUUCCUUCUCAGUUUCACAAUCUCUGUGUGCAUCUCGUAGCACCUGACCAAGGUCAUCAGUAGGGCCAUUUUCUGCAAACUCAUCUUCAUCAGCCUCAUCCAUUGUAGUAUCUGCAAAAGCUUGGCCUGCAACCCAGUCCGGAAUGUUGUCAUCUUCCUCCUCCUCCUCCUCGCCAUCUUCCAUUACAACCCCUCGUUCACUGUGCUUGGUCCAAAACCAAAUAGUUAGGCAUGAAACCGUAUUUAAACAAGUGGCUGUGAAUAGUCCUCCAGGAAUCCUUUGAAUACUCCUUCUUGUUAUUGCAUUGGAAGCAUGGACAACAUACGAACCCAUUCUCUGUCUUGUUCGCUUUGGCCACUUCGAGAAAAUAAUGCAAGCCAUCAAUAAACACCUUGCUCCGCCUGUUUGUAUUAUACAUCCAUUGCCAGUCCAUCUGCAUCGUAUUACGCAUGAAAAUGGAUUACACUUGAUAAUGAAUUACGCGUGAAAAUUGAUUAAAGAUCCAAACAACAUGAUACAAUACAACAAGCCAUCCACUGGUUAUUAUCUAGGAGGACUUUAAGUAUCCUUGGGCGGUGAAGAUGAAGGUUCCGCUGACCCAGCCUCAUCGUUAGGUUUAUUUGUGCCAUCUGAAAUGGUAGUACUAAGUGGACGUGAAACACCCGGGACUGAGGGUGGAGCAUAACGACCACCAAAAGGAGGUUCCUGACCCGCAGCAACAGCUUCUUCAUGAUGUUGCUGCAAAUAACGAAGCAUUGCUUUUUCCAACACGCUCAUUUUCUUCGGCUUAUGCUGAGGGCCAACUAUGAUUUUCCCCUUGCCAAAAGAGGAACCACGAUCGCCCCCACCAUCGCCACUUCCUCUAGUAGCAGAAGCCAUCUAUGUACAAAAAUUAUUAUCUUAACACUGCAUAAGUUGUUCAACUUGAAGACCGUGAUCAUCUCGCGAGGAUGUCCUCAACUGGGCGGCACCGCACUUCGUCAUGAAAGAGGUUCGAUUCUACGGAAAAGGGGACACAGUCACGAUGUCCGUAUCCACUCUUUCUCGUAGAAUCGAACCUCCUUCUUGACAUACGUUGUUGCUCGGUGGAGAACAUCCUCGCAGAGAUGACCACGGUAUGCAAGUUCAACAAGUAUGGAUUUGAAAAACCAUAUUGAAUUUGAUAAGUUCAACAAGUAGCAGAAGCCAUCUAUGUACAAAAAUUCUUUUCUUAGCACUGCAAAAGUUGUUGAACUUGAAGACCGUGAUCAUCUCGCGAGCAUGUUCUCAACUGGGCGGCACCGCACUUCGUUAUGAAAGAGGUUCGAUGCUACGAAAAAGAGGACACAGUCAUGAUGUCUGUAUCCACUCUUUCUCAUAGAAUCGAACCUCCUUCUUAACAUACGUUGCUGCUCGGCGGAGAACAUCCUCGCCAAGAUGAACAAGGUAUGCAAGUUCAACAAGUAUGGAUUUGAAAAAUCUUAUUGAAUUUGAUAAGAUAAACCGUCUAGACAAGAUAGCAUCAUUCUUAAACCAUUGCAAGAAUACAUACUAUAUAUGACACAUCAAUCUCCCUCACAUUCUAGCUCAAAAUACCUCUCCAUUUUCUACUUCAUCACAUUCUAACAAUUAAUGUUUCCAUCUUCAAAGCAUUAAUCAAAGCAUAACACAAGGAUGAAGUAGCAAACCUUCACAACACUUGUGUUGGCUGAGUGAAAUUCCCACGAAAAUGAGGGAAAAAACUUCGGGCAGCACCUCCCUUGCUUCGGCACCACCGGAGAGUAGGUGAAGCUCAGCUCUCUGUCUAUGUGCUGGACUGGCUCGGGCUGAAGGAGGAAGAAAGACCUCUGCCUUGGUAUAUAAUGGGGAUGAAUUUUUAUCCCGGUUAAAACCUCCAACCGAGACAAAAAGGAACACCUUUUGUCCCGGUUGAAAGUUUAGUCCCGGUUGGAAGCUGCAACCGAGACUAAACUUUUUGUCCCGGGUGGAGGCUUCAACCAGGAUAAAAGGGUGGACCUUUUAUCCCGGUUGGAGCCUCCAACCGGGACAAAAGGGUGCCACCACCGACGCCCCGGAACUAGCCGUUGCAACCGGGACUAAAGGGGAGCCUUUAGUCCCGGUUGAAAAUACCAACUGGGACUAACUCUCCCCUCCAUUUUUGCCUACCGUGGCGCACCCCCUUUUGUCCCGAGCCAACUUUAAAUCGGGACAAAAGGGGGCGCAUCGAAAGCCAAUUCUCUACUAGUGAACUUUUAAAUGUACACUGCAUUCACAUCGAUCAGCUAGCAGCAUGCACACAUCAGCUAGUAGCAUGCACACAUUUGAAUGGAUCGGUCGAAAGUAUACAUACCGGCAGAUGACCUUCGAAAUUGAAUUGAAUCAGCAAUGAAGAUCCGUGGAGGACAGUGGCAGGCAUCCAAUUUGCCCGUGGAUCGUGGCAGGCAUCCGAUUUGGAUCGGCAAUGGAGGUCUCGUAGCUAUGGAGUGGUCGAGUGGUGAGGAUGUUGGCGGCGUCGGGCCAGCGAGGAGAGCAGGCGGCGGCAGCGGCGCAGGGAGAGGAGCAGGGCGCGCGAGGCGGAGGACGGCUCGGAGGGCAGCGGCGUAGGGCGAGCGAGGAGAGGAGGAGGCGGAGGGACGGCUCGGAGGGCGGCGGCGCAAGGAGAGCGAGGAGAGGAGGUGGAGGGACGAUUCGGAGGGCAGCGGCGCCGGGCGAGCGAGGAGAGGAGAGCGGCGGCGGUGCCAGGUGAGCAAGGAGAGGGGGCGGCGGCGGCGGCGCAGGGAGAGCGUGGAGUGGAGGAGAGCACAGGACGGCGGAGCAGGGCAAGGAGCAAGCGUGCGAGGCUUAGGGAUGGCUCGGAGGACGCGGUGCGGGAUCGGACGGAGCGGAGCGCGGAAGGAGGCGGUGCAGGUCACGCGAGGCGGAGGGAUGGGCAAGCGAGGAGAGGAUGCGGGAUCGGACGGAAGGAAAGGCUCCGAGCGAGGGCCACGUAUCGGAGCGGAGUGCGAUGUACGAAAAAGAGUCCCAGUUUCACUUUUUUUAAGUAUACUAGCAGAAAUGCCCGUGCGUUGCUACGGGUCAUUACUUGCUCUCACGUUAUUUUACGUUUGUUCAUACUAUGUUAGCUUCGCUUCAUAAUAUGUGGUAGACAAUUCAUCAAAGAUGAGUGGCAGAAAAGACCAUUACUCCAUCACCAUUAUGAAGGAAACAACAAUUACCACCCAAAUAUGAAACUUAUAGGAAGAUAUCAGCAAAUACUACAUAUCAAACAACAGUGACAUCAUCAGUAAUACUGAAUGCCUUAACAGAUAUCUGAGUGCACAGCACACGCAUCAACUACAGUAAACUACAGUAGAAGUCGUGGCAGGGCACAAGUGCAGUAAAGCACAGUCAUCCAUCCAUCGACCACCGUCUGCUUUCUUCAUUUUUUCCCCGACGUGGCGACAACCAAGCCUACCCAAGGAUAAUAGACAGCCCAAUAGGGCAUUCAGUAGUCCCUAAAGGCCGACAGCUCAAUACCAAACUCUCGAUCCUUACAUUGCUCCUAGCCAGAAAGUCGUAUAAUCACAGGCUACGUUUUAUGCUGCCUUGGCUUAUCUUAUAUCUACCUUACAGGGCAAACUCAUGGCAUGUUGACUCGCUCCUCUUCUUGUUUCACCACGCCCAUGGCUGCAAGAACCCAACGCGAGCAUGCAAGGGGAAGCUCCCUCCCGAGCCACCGGCGCUAGUCUUCGUCACCAAGUUCUUGGUGCUCCGGCGAUCGAUCUUUGACCAUGGCCCGCUCCUCCGGGAGCUGCACGCGCACCACAGCCCCGUCAUCUCCAUCCGCCUCUUCCACAUCGCACGUUGGUCUUCGUCGCCGACCGCCGGCUAGCUCGUAAUCCUGUAACUUCCUUGGACGGUCAGCCUACAGCUUCCUAUCAACAUAGCUUAGAACAUUCCUGCACAAAUCUACUGCCUUAUAACUUUGCUUCCUUUCCUUCUCUUCAGCAUAAGCAAUAAUAAUAUAACCUACAAGACCUCCUGUGCAAAAUGUAACUGCUGUAUAAUAUUAACACGGAUGUGGGCACUGCAAGAACCUCCGCAGCGAAACUGUUCGCAACAUUGCAGCACCAGUACGGUUCCCCUGGAGAUCAAGAUGUCCCCGUACGGUUCCAGCUGAGUAACCUUGAUGUAAUCUAAAGUUGCCAAAACUGCAGAACAAACAUUCCUCAGUAAAUAAUAUGUUCCAUUCUAGCAAUACAGUAAAAUUGAAUGAGUGCUAUGAUAAACUUCCAAUUAGCCAUUCCCCGUGUAGAACAUUUCAAGCAAACUCAGUAAGCACAAGUUAUCUGGCCAGCAUAGUGUAGGAUAGUGUGAAACUUGUCAGAACUAUUACUUGCCAAACUUAUUAGAAAACUGUGUGGAGCCAUAAACUUAUAGGUUCAAAGAAAGGGUGCCGAAUUUUGUGGCAUAUAUCAGCUGAGUAACCUUGAUGUAACUUAUGCUUGCAUAGCGUCCAAAGUGUAAAGCCAAACUAAUUACAAAAACAUUGAAUAGGCAUUAAGCCAACAAUGGUAGCAUAACUUUUAAAAAUCAUGUCAGUGCAACCACUAUUUACUCGAUCAACCACACUAUUUGUUUUCUGGUAUAAGCAAAAUAGAGGAAUAAAUACCAGUCAUUUGAUAGAAUAGUCGAGCUGCCCUGGCUGUGGUCAUCCCUGAAGCUAGCAGAUUUAGUGACUCAGAUUGCUGUCCACCUGGGGUAUCAAAAUGUAGUUUGAGGUGCCUGCAUGAAUAUGGCUCUAGCAUCAGACAAUGUAUGCGCAUCUGUUGUACUUCACUUCAACAAACUUAAGUUACCCAGGCUACUUACGACUGGAUUGAUUCUGUGACCUUGUCGAUAGGAUCAGAGCGCUUCUCAUAUGGGGUUUGAGUCGGUUCGGUUUCUUCCAGAAGGUCUGAAACGAAUGUUAACUGUUUAAUUCUAUGUUGGUUCAAACAGUUUCACGUGGUCGAGAAAACAGUUUCACAUGUUUAUAUAUAACAGAGCGAAUAAAGGAAAGAAACACAACCAACCAGGAGUUGGCCCAAAAUCUGAAAGCCUUCUCAUCUUGAAGUCCCUCACUUCUUGCUCCAAUGGAAAGUCUUCAUCAACUGGAUCAAGAUUCCCCAAGCUUCUUCCAGAGGAAUGUUGCCUCCUCUUGGACCUGCUCAAGAACCAUGGCAUGGCGACUAUAAGAACCUAACCAAUACAACGAAGGACCUAAGGGAGCUAGAUAUUUUCUAUUUGCCUGACACUUCAUCAAGAAGAUUCUACAUUUCAGUUCUACACUUACAAGCAUAUACAAAAGGAGCUUCUAUUGAGAUCAUGAAAGCAUUCUUUAAAUAGCCAAGUCUUUCGGUACCAAAAGAUCACAUAACCAUAGUUCAGAGUACUAAUAUAGGUGACAUGCUAUUACUAUUAGUCAACAGUCACCUUGCACUUCUGAUGAUGCCUCCCUCACAUCGACGCAGCCAAUGUAGAUGUCAUCCAGAUCAAGCUUCUUCGCCGGGGUACUUUGUACCCAGUACCAUCCCAUACUUUGUACUCGUUGCAAAGUUCCAAUUCAUCAGAAGAUAAAAGUACCACAUGGCUCCUAGCGUCUAAUGAUGUGACUGACCUGCCAAAAGUUGCAGAAGUAGUUGGAGACUGGUGUUAACUGAUGGUGCUAACAUUGGACCCAGUACCAUCCCUGGAUUGAGCACAGCCAUUGCAAUCCCUCCUUCCCAGCGAAGUCCAAUACGCUAUACCAAAACUGCAGGCUCAAGGAAUAAAGUCAGCACAGGCCUCAACCACAACCAUAACACAGAUCAGAAUACAGGAGCUAGUUUUAAUCUGUACCUGAACUUUCUUGAGGAGCUCGACGACGGCACAGCAGUCCUUGUCUACGACCUUGUCCGCGGGCCAGUUGGGGUUCGGUACCAUGGCCGCCUGCGACGACAUCAGGACGACGCGGCCGACCCCGCAAAUCUUUUCACGGCACGCAAGACGUUGAGCGUGCCCUUCACCGCCGGUUCCAGGAGCUCGUUCUGCAAUAGCAGAAUCAUCAGCAAUCUAAUCCAAGGAUUACCUACUCGAGCAACGGGAUAGAUACUGGACUGUGAUUUGCAUCGAUGGGGUGAUUAAUUAUUCAGAAGGAAGAAUUACCUCUGGGUCCCUCUGCUUGCACAAUAUGAACGGGGACGCUAGGUGGAAGACGCCGCGUGUGCCCUUGACCGCCGGCCGGCCGGAAGCAGGAUCCAGAAGGGUCCAUCUGGAAUAGCCGGAGACGCGUGUCCGCGCCGCGCAAGGCCUGCAAAGUGCUUCACGUCUCGGCCUCAUCCUCUGAAAAGGGGAGGAAACAAAUCCGUCACGAGAAUCUUGACGAGGAGCAGUCGGCGCCACUCCUGCUCCACGGGCCUCCCCGCUCCCGAUGCGGGGGCUCCCAUCCUACGCCGCCGCUUCCGCCGCCCGCUCACCACCGCCGUCCACGCCGCCAAGCAGGACGCGGCCGUCUGGAUGCCCCCCCGCUCGUCUCCGCGGUCGGUGCGGCCACCGCCCGUCUCCGCGGAAGGGAAUAGGAUUGCGGGUUGAUUACCGAAAACUUGAGCUGUCGCCGCCACCCUCCCUUCCGCGCCUCCGUCAUCCACCUCCGCCUCGAGCACAUCUCCACAACCUUCUGCGCCGCGACAACAGCUUCCCCCGAAGAUUUUGCCGAAUCCAUCACUUAGUCCAAUCCCUCACUCUUCCGUUCUUCGGGUGACAUUACCCGCAUCCGCAUCUCAGGUUUUAAGCCCGCAAUUUUGGUUGUAAAUUGGCGAGGUGGGAUUAUACCUGGUGGGUCGUCGUUCUCCUCCGUUCUACUCGCUGGACUGGGGGCGGAGCGGAGAUCCGCUCAUCUGGACUUGGACUGCUUCUAGGUAAGCGACCCUACCUCGGCUUGGGCCUCAGCUUGGGUGCCCCAUGUCGCCUGUCGAGUCCGCCGCCGCCGGCGCAGACCAGGUUAGUGAGGGGGCGGUCAUGCCGCACGAGCACGUCGGUGAGGGGGCGGUCGUGCUGUACGAGGAUGGUGUUGGACGCGGGAGGAGGGCGGCGGAGGUGGGAAAAGGGCGGCGGAGGGAGGGCGGGGAUGAUGAACCAAGGCUCCGACGGUGGUGACCGUCCCCACUCUGAAAGGAGAGGCUUUUCUCAUUUAACCCCCUCUCUUCCCUUCGUUUUCCACCCGAGCUCCCCUCUCUUCAAAAUUGGACUGCGGGUUGAUUACUGAAAACUUGAGGGGUUUUUUUACAAAAUGACCACGACGUACGAAAAGCCAGGCAGAGACGUUACAUGCUUUAAUAAUAGGUAAAGAAAGCCAGGCAGAGACGUUACUUGCUUUAAUAAUAGGUAAAGAUAUAGUAGAUUUGCUUGAACCAGAUUUUUGUUCGUAUUGAUUCAUCGGUCUCUGGUUGGUGCUAUGGCACAAUUUUGUUUUUGACCUCAAAAUCUUCAUGCAUCGUCUGCUAGGUGCUACGGAAGAAUUUUAUGUUUGUCCUCAUCCACAAUCUUCACGGAUCGUAGCCGGCGUCCCCUUGGAAUUGUGAUGAACACUCUGGUAAUGUAUACUUGUAUAUUUGAUUUUUAUUUCAAUGUGAACAAGAUGAUCACUCAUAUUUUGUUUCCUCACCAGAGGAGGAUCUGGAUUGCUUCAAGUCCGAAGAUGGACAUCUGAACAUGUAUGAAGACGUUGCAGCAAGGGUAUAUCAUCAGGUAUAUUAGUUCAAAUAUAUUUAUUUUAAAAUACGUGCGUGCCUCACGUUCUAGGGCGUCGGCGAGGGUGUCGACUGCGCGGCGUCGUACGAUUGCCCGGCGAGGCCGCAGUCCAUCCACAUCCACGUACCACGUGCUAGGGCGGCCGGGAGGCUGUCGACUACUCGCACGAUCUUCCAUCGUGCGCUCGCCGCCCGGGAAGGGCGUCGGCGAGGGUGUCGACUGCGCAGCCUCGUACGAUCGUCCGGCGAGGCCGCAGUCCACGUAACGCGCGCUAGGCGUCGGCGAGGCUGUCGACUGCUCGUACGAUCUUCCAUCGUGCAUGCGCUCGCGGCGCGGGGAAGGCCUCUUCGUCGCCACUCCCAGCGACGUCGUCCGUACGUGGUCUGUUCAGGUAUUUGCAGCUCUGUUGCCCUUCAAUCCAUACCCAGGUAUCCUCCGAACCAGGGAGAUCUUGGUCCGUCUCCCAUCUCUAACUGCCUUGCCUUGGUACCGUGCGCGUGGCGAACCUGGAUACAACAAUCAAACGGAGUUCAGCCGGCUUAUCAGCCACCAAACAGUGUUUUUCUCUCACAACAAAUCAGCCGUUUCAACUUUUCAGCCGGCUUAUAAGCUGAAGCGAACAGGCCCACAGUUGCCAAGUUCUAAUAUCACCAAGGCGGUCUGCAUAAAGUGCAGCGGACGGCAUCUCACUAAGGUGAGGUUUUUUCGUUCUUGGUUAUGCUUGUCCUGUAUCAUGUAAUUAAGUAAUACAUGAUUCUUCCAUGUGCUUAUGUUGUUUGUUAUAAAAUCAAAAAAAAAAAUUGAUAGGACCUGGACGUCAUUACCUUGCUGACAAGCUGCAUAUUCAUUUGCAUGCCGUGAUUUGUUUCUUCUAAAUGGACUAUCGUCUUGGAGAUGUGACAAACAAAUCCAAUUGCCGUUCUGGUGGAAAUCAUAAAAGGCAAAGAUUGGAGUCAGGGCCAACAACAUUGGAAGGUGAAAAUGUUGCUGGGGACGACCUUGAAAAUGUUUCUGGUGGUAACCAUGGUAUUUUUCUUUUUUUUUCUUUUCAGUAAUCGGCAUCAUAUCUGUAUUUAAGUUUUAAUGUUGUCUUCAAUUGAGCGUGAUUUUAUCUAUGAAGAUCUUGAUCCGAGAUAACUUAAACAGCAAAAGGCAAGGGAAAGGUAUGCGAGGAUGUCAGAAGAGAAGAAAAUGAAGCUCAAUGCAAAGAAAAGAGAAAACUACCAUCGUAGAAAGGCUGAAAAACAAGCAACCGAUGUGACUAUGCAAAAUCCUAGUACUAUGUCUAAUGCAAUGUUUUUCAUAUUUUUUUGCCUUACCCAUCAGGUUAUAUAGAUCAAUGUGUAUUUGCAGAUGCUUCUUCAGUAAUUGCCGCAACAAACCAAACCCCACUCUCAGGUUUGUCUGUGCGAUGGAUCUUUAUAGUGUAGAUAGAUUUGUCUAGAACAGUAACUUUAGUGUGUCAUGCAUAUGGUCAUUAUUAUACGUGUUUUUGUGCAGUUUUAUCCCAGGGUGUUGAGCUAGAUGAUGCCGGUGGAGAUUGGCUUCGUCGCAAUGAUACAUAUGCAGCAACAGCUAGAAGCAAACUCAAAUCCGCUAACUGAUCACAUGCUAUUUGGUGAAACUGUAUUAUCAGCAACAAAUAUUAUAAUAAGGAAUCCUUGCAUGCUUUCAUUUGUUCUAUUGAGUCUUUAAUAUUAGUGAAUGUUACACUUGUUCAUUCCAGCUGGUGUUAAUAAGGAGGUGUCUAUAGACGAACUGCAGGAGGAGAAAGAGAAUCUAAAGUCAAGGAACAGAUAUUCUAGGAUGACAGAGGAUCAGAAGGCCGAGGGAAUGCAAAAUCCCGAGAAAUUUAACAUUGUAAGAAUGGCAACGAUCCUGCAACCAACAUGACUCUACAAAGCCAAUGUACUAUCAUGUUUAUUAAAUUCUUCGGUGAAGAAAAUCAAUUAGUUUGAGUAGGCUAUUGGAUCUAUGCUUAUAUUUUGUGGUUGCUGCAGGUGUUGCAUUACAAACUCCUAUGAUCGAGAUCAUGCCUUCUGGGUUGACCAGUACAGGUGGUUCAUAGAAACUAAAUAUAAAUGAAAUAAAUUCUGUUAAAUAAGCUAUUGAGGCUCUACUCAUGUUUUUUUUCCUUGUUGUAGGUGUUGUGUUCGAGUCACCUCCAGUCAGACCGUAUCAUAUGGUCUAGGUUUACUGGUAUAGGUAAUUCAUCUCGGAUCAUUGGGCCGUCACAUGUUUGUUAUCUUAACAGCUGCAUAAAUUAUAUAUGUAUGUUUUUUCCUAGUUUUAUUGCAUCUGUAUACUAUAUGUAUACAGUUGGCGUUGAGGAGGUGUCUCAAAUAGAGCUAAAGAGGGAUAAAGAGAGGAAGAGAUAUGCAAACCUGUUAGACUUGGCAAGAGAAAAGAAGAUAUUAAAAAAUAAUGAGGGUCGCAGAUGCAAGAACAUGUCUAACCAAGGUACACUACGUAUAAUGACAUUAUUAAUGGGGCUGUGCUGAUUAUAAUACUUUCAUAUAUGCAGCCUUGGCUUCUCAAGCUCUAGUGUUUGGGUCCGCGCAGUCUGCCGUAACAGAAGUAUUAACACGUUCUAAAACAAGAGGGGUUAUCAAUGGUUGGUUUUUCCACUUGGAAUUAAUAAGUUUUUAUGACACUUUAUGUGACUGUCACACUAACAAAAUAAUAUUGAUUCAAUCAGGGAUGAAUAGUGGUUCAAACAAUGUAGAGCAAGUGGACCAUGGAAUUUGGGAACCAGAAGAUCACGGUUGCUUUGGAAGGUAAAAAUUUUCUCAUCUUAGUCCACACUCACCAUUAGGAAUGUCUUCACGCUUGAUUGAAAUGUGUUUGAACGCCAGAGGAAGAUUUGGAUUGCUUGGAGCCCAAGGUUGGUGAUAUUGAUAUUUAUGAAGAUGAUGAAGCAAGGGUGUUUCAUGAGCGAGGUAUAUGUUCACUCAAACAUUAGCAUCUUUCUAUUUGCAUAGUUUUUUAUUAGCAUUUAUUUGUUUUCAUAUAUUUGGUGUGACAGCUAUUCGGUAUGUAGAGAUUCAAACAUGGUUGUGCUAGACCAUGAGUGCCGAAUUGUUGAGUAUUGUGGUGCUAUAAAGUUUCCAAGUGAAGGUGAAUAUAUAUAUUCCAAAUGUGCCCAUUGAGCUUCGUCACUUGUUCACAAGCCAGAUAGACAGGGAUGCACUGUAUUUUAGAAAGAAUAUUCGAUAUUUCAACUCACACUUCUCAUUGACUAGCUUAAGUGCCUUUGUCGAUCGUCGUCUCGCCACUGCUGCUGGUAUUAUUUUGCAAGCUACAAUAAUAAUUAAAACACCUUUAGUUUGACUCGUACCUCAAAGUUUCAUUAUUUUCGUAGGUACGCAUGUUUAUACUUUCAAGGUACAUGGUCAGAUAUAUCACAAGCUAGAUCAAUUAAAGCCCAGUGCGAAGAGUCCAAGGCACAUGCAACUGUAUUUUUAUGAUACGGAUGGGACUAUGGCACAUGAAGCACAUUGGUCUCCUUAUCUUGAUGCCAAGUUGAUUAGAACCGUUUUGGAUAUACAGAUAUAGAAUAACAAUCCGUAUGUCCAUACAUUCCGACAUCUAGAUCAGGUGCCAAACCUUCAUGAAUACAAGAUUGAAUUGAAUACGAGCAUUUCUGUGGACCAGAGGAGAUUUAAUGCACCGGCAAUGGAUCAGGUGGCCACCAUCUGCCAGGAUGGAUCAGAUGAGCAGCGUAAAUUUCAAAAGAGUAUAAUGGUACAUGCAAACUGUCGUUGUCAAGAUUUGCGGAUCGAGACUUAGACUAGUAAAUUUCUUUUAUGCGCGUAAGGCUUCGGAUGGUGGCGUGGGAGACACGGGGUUAGACUAGUUCGGGCAAAGGAAGGCCCUACGUCCAGUAUCGGGAGAUGCUUGUGUUACCCACGCGGGGUUCUGUAGUAGGGGUUACAGUAGUGUGAGAGAGGGAACCGAUCCCAGGUCUCUUGAGAGUGCGCUUGUGCUCUAAGUGGGUGCGGGUCCGUUCUAUUUGCCUGGAAGGCCCCCCCCCCAUAUCUCAGGCCCCCGGUUCUCCUUUUAUAGCGCAAGGAGGCCACCGAGGUUACAGGUGAGACCGACUGUCAGGAGAAGUAAAAGAGAUAAACAAAGCUAGGUAGAAAACAACACAAGGAGAGGGACCAAGUCCCCAGGCCACCGGCGCCCUCGCCGGUCUUCGGCUCCUGCCAUCGCGUCUGCCGGAGAAGGACGGCCACCGUCGCGUCCCGUCGAUGGUCUCCUCGACAGCUGUCGCCGCCAUGCGCGAUGAUGGUGUUUCGUCGUGGCACCUGUGUCCAUUGGGGGAGGUGGCGGAUCCCGCCAUCUGCUGACGGCCCGCGGAAGGCGGACGUCGCGUCCCUGUCGCCGGAUGCGUGGGGUGCGAGGACGGGCGCGACUUCCUCCUGCUCCAGGCGGCGCAAGCCAUGAGUGCCCUGCUGCGAAUCAGGGGGAUCUACGGCUACUGUAGCCUGUGCGGUCGUGGCUACAGUGUUCCGCUCGGGUACUUGUGGCGGGUCACGUCGAGGGCGCGGGCGCCUUUCUACGUGCCAGAGCCGCGGUGCAUUUAUGGCGAGACCGCUGGGGGGCCCACAAGAUCCGCACCCUUUUUCGUCAGUCUACGCCCGUGGUGGACACUUGUCUCGUGGGCCGGGAUGAGUCCGACCCCCUACGCCCGGGGUCGGGCGAAGCGGAGCCUUGCGGCGAGGGGUUGGGCGCUCCCGUCCCUGGGACCGCGGUCGGGCGAGGCGGAGUCCCGCCAUCGACGGGUCGGGAUUGUCCGACCCCGGGGCCCUGGGUCGGGCGAAGCGGAGCCUUUCGGUGAGGGGUCGGGCGCUCCCGACCCUGGGACCGCGGUCAGGCGAGGCGGAGUCCCGCCAUCGAGGAGUCGGGACUGUCCGACCCCGGGGCCCUGGGUCGGGCGAGACGGAGUGGGAUGUUCUCUGCCUCUACUGGGUCGGCGGUAAUCGUAAUUACCGCAGGUGGGCCUGGGCCUUCAUGACUGUUGCUUUAAGCGGCAUUAGGAGGUCGUUAAUAUUUCCCCCCAACACAAACUCAGGUCAUGCACAAUUUAUAAAAGAAUACUAUGGCUGCUAUAAUCCGUUGUGUUAUCCUCUAUUCUAUCCUGGAGGAGAAACCAGUUGGGAGGAUAAAAAGAUAUUGUUGGAAGAAAUACAAGUGGUGCAUUUUCCAAGGAAAAGGAGAAAAUACACUAAGCUCACUAUGUGAUUAUGAUAUCUACCAGCUGUAACGUUAUUUAUUUGUUGCAUUUUUCUUGCAGAUACAAAUGGUGGAUUGCUGAAAGAUAAGGGUCAAUCUUCAUGUACAAGAGUUGAAACUACACAAGUUGAUAGAUAUAAAAGAAUGCCAUCAAGAAUUGUUGGUGGUGGUGCCGAACAAGGUUCCAUUUUAGAUUUAUUGAGUUAGAUUUAUCCUGCUCACAAUUUUUAUAACGUACAUGUAUCUAAUUACAAGUGAUUGAUACAGAUAAUUAUGAAGAGAUUGAUGGAGAGAAUGAUGGUGGCUAUGGGGACAAUGAUUAUGGUAACAGGUGUGUGUAUAUGUUUUUACAUUGUAUUUUUUGCUAUAAUUUUAUCAAAUGUGUCAUUUUAAAUGAUAUAUGUGUUUUAACUUUUUUUGCAAAUGUCAUACGUGUAUAGGUAACUCAGGGUCACGACUGCACGUGAGUGCGUGGGAGUAUUACUGUUAUAUCAUGCAAAUACGUGAGGGGGUGUUUAACAUAUGUUUCUAUGGAGGACGUCUAUUUCAACAGUUGAUUGUUGAUAUCUAUAUAAAGAUUGAGUCCAUGCACUUGGAUUGGUACUCUAAUCCAGACCACUAGAAGAUUAUAUGGGUGUUUGAAAAACCAUUUGUCAUUGUUACUGUGCUUUCUGCCAAUGCAUAUGAAUUUACAUUAGGGUUGUAUCCAUUAUCAAUGUUUCUUGCAUUAAUUAAUUUUUUUUAAAACAGGGCAUCCUUGACACCCUUGCUUUUGGAGAGGUGGAUGCUUUAAAGGCUGGUAAACAAAUUGUGCUAACUAAGAAUUUUCCUGGAAGUGAUCGUGAUGUCUGUGCAAGGUUCAUGGAUGCAAUGGCCUUAGUUGCACGCUUUGGUCGCUCGGAUUAUUUUGUGACAAUGACUUGCAAUCCUUAAUGGCCAGAGAUUAUGGAACAGUUGUUGCCUGGACAAACACCACAAGACGGACCAGAUAUUGUUGCAAGGGUGUAUCAUGCGAAACUACUUGACCUUCAUGAUUUCUUGAUCAAUAAGGGACACUUUGGAAAGGUGGCUGCUUGGGCACAUGUCAUUGAGUUUCAAAAGAGGGGUUUGCCGCAUGAGCAAUUUUUUGCUAAUUUUGGACAAGAGUGCUAAGCUGAGCGGCCUGAUGAUUUUGAUAAGAAUAUAUCAGCGGAGCUUCCUGAUGAAAAGAAACAUCUAGUCCUCCAUUGACUUGUCUGCACACACAUGAUGCAUGGCCCUUGUAGAACUCUCAACCUGCAUUGUGCAUGCAUGGUGGAUGGCCAGUGUCGUUUCAAGUAUCCACGCUAGUUUUGUAAAGCCACUCAACAAGGAAAGGAUGCAUAUCCUGUUUAUAGAAGGCGUCAAGAUGGACAGAAAGUUUUUAUCAUGAAAAGGUGGUUGGACAAUUGAUGGGUUGUUUCCUAUAACCCCACUCUUUUGAUGCGUUAUAACUGUCACAUUAAUGUCGAGGUAUGUUGUAGCAUCAAAUCUAUUAAGUAUCUCUAUAAGUACAUUUAUAAAGGACAUGGCUGUGCCUCCUUUUCGGUCGAAGAUUGUGCUCAAAAUGGACCUAUAGAGAUCAAUGAGAUCAAGCAGUACAGGAAAGCAAGAUGCAUCACUACAAUAGAAGCAAUCUACAGGUUGUAUCAUUUUCCAAUGUACUCUAUGUCACCCCCUGUUCUGCAAAUGCAGGUGCAUAUGCCCGGUAUGCACAUGGUUCCAUUCAAUGAGACCGACAACCUUGAAGAAGUAGCGCAGCGUUCACAGUCGCAACAGUCAAUGCUUACAAAGUAUUUUAGGAUGAACAGAGAAGAUCCUAAUGCACCCAAGUAUCUGUACAAGGAGUUUCCAGAGCAUUUUAGGUGGAUCAAAUCUGAAAAAAACUGGAAACCUAUGAAGAAUAAACUCUUUCAGAGUGGAAAGCUUGUUUAUGCACACCCCACGGAAGGUGAUAGGUACUACCUACGAGUUUUGCUAAACCAUGUUAGAGGAGUAACUUCAUUUGUUGCACUUUGCACUGUGCAUGGUAUGCUAAGUCCGACUUUAGAAAAGCUUGUGAGGUGCUGGGCCUUGUGGAGACUGACAAGUCUCUAGAUGAUGCACUGACUGAAGCUAAGUCAUUUAAAAUGCCUUGUGCUUUGAGAAGAUUGUUUGCCAUGAUUAUCGUAUUUUGUGAGUACACCAAUAUCCGUGGACUUUGUGACAAGCACUUCGAAUCUAUGGCUGAAGACUAUCGUCAAACUCAUGGGAGUUGCAGAUUGGUUCUUCAACUCGUGCUCAAGGACAUAGCGGAUAUCGUUCGUUCGAUGGGCAAGGACAUGAGGAGCUAUGGUCUUCCUGAGCUUGAUGAGUCAGGUUAGAUUGUUUGGCAUUAUUUGGAUAUUAGUGUUUAUUUUUUAUUAUACUUAAUGAUGCCAUUAGAGUUCGAAUGAUGAGUGGAUGGAAAUAAUUUAUAAAGUUUAAGAUAUUGUUUGUGUUUUUAAUCAUUGUAACUAUAUUAGCAUUGUGAACAUUCUGUGUGUCACUUUAGUUUUCUUUCAUAUAUGACAAGGUUUACUUUCAUAUAAAUAAUGCACAAUUUUCGUGGUUUCAUAAGCAUGUAGUAUAAAUUGUUUGUUACCUCCAUAGAACAGUUAGCUUUAUAUGUAGUGGUCCUAAUAAAAAAACUAAGUGACAGAUUUUUGUUGCCUUUUUUUGAAAUUUAUUUUUUCAAACUGAACCCUUUCUGUUGUCUUGCUAAAACUGUAGCAUCUUACAUGAGGUGUGAAUCCUGUAGCCAUUGAUAAUGUAUAAUAGAUGAGUGGAUCUUCAUAGUGCUAUGGCUGUGGUGAGUUAUUAGAUGGUCGCCUUGAUAAGAAAUUAGUAUUACAACAUUCAAACAGAUUUGUACUGAUAUGUAGAUAAAACACCAUGUGUCCUACCUAAUAGACAUGCUAACUUUUUCUGUUGUUGCUCGUAUAUACUUCGUAAACAUUAAAUAGUUGCACCACACGUUACUGAUCGCACUAGGACGUGAUGCAUUGUAUAUUAAUGGUACCAUUUACCGUUGAAAUUUCAAACUAUAUGUGCAUUCCAUCUAAAAACAAUGUAUGUAAUUUUUACUUGUUGUUUAUUAGUUACAUUUAUUUCCAUAUAACCACUUCUUAAUAUUUUUUUUUGGCAAAUAACAACAGAUGACAAGUCAAGAGACUACUAUAGAGAGCUAAUAGAGGAGAGAAAAAUUGGUUUCAAAGAAGAGAAUCUGGGAAUUAUAGACACGUUGAAUGCGGAACAGAGGGCUGGUUUCCAUGAAAUAUUAGAUCAUGUGGUUACUAACUGAGGCAAGGUAUUCUUUGUUGAUGGUCUUGGCGGAACCAGCAAGACGUACCUGUAUAGGGUAUUGCUUGCUAAGGUGCGCUCCAUGGAUCUUAUUGCAAUCGCUACCACGACAUCUGGUAUUGCAACCUGUACUAUGCCAGGUUGUCGUACUACACACUCUAGGUUAAAAAUCCCCAUCAAACUCGGUGAUAAUUCCGUAUGCAACUUUACGAAGCAAAGUGGUACAUCUGCAUUGUUGCAUACAGCUUCUUUGAUUAUAUGGGAUGAAGUUGCCAUGGCCCGAAGACAAGCAGUUGAGACGCUUGAUCGAUCAUUGCAAGAUAUAAUGGGUUGUACUGAACCUUUUGGGGUAAGGUUAUGGUGUUUGGAGGAGACUUUAGACAGAUUCUUCCUGUUGUGCCUCGCAGGACAAGAGCCGAGAUCACUGAUGUGACACUGCAGCGCUCAUAUAUAUGGGACAAGGUACGGAUGAUACGACUGCAGCAGAACAUGAGAGCACAAUGAUAGUUGGUACUCUAAUUUUCUGCUAAGGAUUGGCAAUGGGAUUGAAGAAACAUACACCAAUGAUUAUGUACAGCUCCCCGAUGACAUUAUCAUUGGGCACAACUCUGAUAAGUCAAUCAACACACUCAUCGAGCACGUGUUCUGGAUCUUAAAGGUUGUUGUAACUCUAUGCAAUAUAUGCGCGAGUGUGCAAUUCUUUCCAUGAGGAAUGAGCAUGUUGAUGGGCUUAAUGCUAGGAUGAUCGACAUGUUUCCAGGUAAAGAAAAGGUAUACUAUAGCCAUGACUCGGUUGACAAUGACACCAACAAUAACUAACCUCCUGAUUUUCUUAACUCGAUUACAACGAACGGAUUACCUCCUCAUGAGCUCAAGGUCAAGAACAAUUGUCCCGUUAUACUCCUUCGGAAUCUUGAUCCUCAUAAUGGGCUUUGUAAUGGUACUCGGUUGGUGGUGAGGGGGUUCGAAGACAACGCAAUUGGUGCUGAGAUUGUUAAUGGCUAGCAUGCCGGGAGUAGAGUUUUUCUACAAAGAAUACAUCUGUCCCCUUCAGAGGAUAUUACACUUCCAUUCAAGUUCAAAAGAAUUUAAGUUCAAAAGAAAGCAGUUCCAAUCAGGCUGAGUUUUGCAAUGACCAUUAAUAAGGCUCAGGCAAACUAUACCGAAUGUUGGCAUAUAGCUCUCUGAACCUGUGUUCUCUCACGGUCAGUUAUAUGUUGUGUUGUCUAGAGGUGUUUCCCGAAAGACUACAUGGGUAUCGGCUAAGCCCAACAAGGAUGUUGACCCUAAUGGGAAAAGAACUAAGAACGUUGUUUAUAGGGAUGUAUUGGAAGCAUAGAAAAAUGUGAGUUUACUGCGCUCUACCUAAGUAAUGGUGUUUUAUUUUUUGUGUACUGUUCCAUCAAAGGUUAAAUAAAUGAAUAACUUUCUUCUUUGAUUAUCAGAUGUACAAUAAUGACAACUCUAAUAUUAAGUAAAUAUUCUCUAUGGAAAUCUCUUAUUGUCGGACCUUACUUGGAUGCAUCUGCUUGAUUGUAGUUAAAAUAUGCUAUUUUUUAUCAGAUUAAAGCUAGCCCCACCUCUGCAAUUAUAUCUUGACCCUGAUAGCUUUUACCACUCAAAUCUAUCUAUGAAAUAUAGAAUCUUUAGAAAUUCAAUGGUCACUUGAACUGAUUAGUUGUUCUAACUAAACUGUGAAUAACUCGAUUAAGCGAUUAAGUUGUUAUGUGCUGGAAAAUGUACCUUGCUGUCUAAUUUAUUUUUGGUGCGUGCAGAACAAGAUGCAGUCCGCAUUGUAGCAAGAGCGGCUCUCUACUUUGAUAACUAUGCAGGUAUCUUCGAAUCAGUCUACAUUUGUUCAAGAUCAUUGGCUACGUCCAAUCUUAAAUUGCUAAGAUCAAGAACGCCAUGAAGAUGGUCCAGGACUUCCAUCUAAUGGUGGAGAGCUGGAUAUUGAGGGCCUGUUUGGCAACCAUGUGUUAAAGUUUAACACAUGUCACAUCGGAUGUUUGGAUGCUAAUUAGGAGUAUUAAACAUAGGCUAAUUACAAAACUAAUUGCACAGAUGGAGUGUAAUUCACGAGACGAAUCUAUUAAGCCUAAUUAGUCCAUGAUUUGACAAUGUGGUGCUACAGUAACCAAUUGCUAAUGAUGGAUUAAUUAGGCUUAAUAGAUUCGUCUCGCGAAUUAGCACAGGGUUCUGCAAUUAGUUUUAUAAUUAGCUCAUGUUUAGUUCUCCUAAUUAGCAUUCGAACAUCCGAUGUGACACUGUUAAAGUUUAACACCUCGUAUCCAAACACCCCCUGAGUCUUUUUUGUUAAUUUAGGAUCCAAGGUUGCAGUGGAGUAAAACAGUUUUAUAUGAAAUAAAUGGAAUUUUCUUAAUGGUUAGUGUUAGUUACCGUUUUGUUUGAAGCAAAGUGGUGUGUUUUAAGUUUUUGUCUGAUGCAAAAUUAUUAAUAGAAAAUUCUUAUUUAUUAUUUUUUAAAACACGUGCCUGCCGCACGUGUACUCUACUAGUAGUAGUAAAGUAAAAGAUAAACGAUAGCUUUUAAUUAGUAUCCCUGUGUGCUUAGAUGUAGUUCCCCCGCAGGGAACAAGCACAAUAUUAAGAAAUACCAGGAGCGCACCGAACCACCGAUUUCCGACAUAUAUAGUGUAAAGCUUUCUCUUUUCGAUCAGGCACGUGGACAGGAUUCUCUUUCUGGAUUCAGCACGCGCCAGCUCUUCCACGCUCACGGAACAGGUAAUUCUCUUUCUGGAUUCAGCACAUGCUUCUAAUUCGGAUAGGUUUCGGGAUAGAAUUUAGAUCAAUUCAUCAGGUUAGCUGAUCACAGCGCCUGGAACACACCUGUGGAUUUUUGACUCAGCCGUGGUGCUCAGUAACGCAAGCGCAAAUUCAUUCACAUUUACACAGCUAGACACACACAAACGUCCUUCGCCAUGCUUCUUUAUUCCAGCGGAUGUUCCUCGGCAAAUGUAAAACUCCUAAUCGAUCGACUACACAAUCAGAGAAUGACAUGAGCAGUGAUGGAAAUGUACGGAGAAGGAACCGAAAAGUAAUCGACAAUGGCUCACAAUCAAGUUCAUCAAUUGCCGAGAUGCCCAUGGAGCUCCUCCGCGUCCGCCAAGAACCGGUCAAACGCAACCCGCGACGAGCCUCCCUCCCGUAGCGCCGCCUCCGCUUCCUCCUUGCGCGCGGCCACCCGCUUCCUGAGCUCCCUCCCCUCCUCGGACUCCAUCACCAGCCUCACCUUCCUCUCCACCUCCUUGGCCCCGACGAACCCCGCCGCGUACCCCUCCAUCUCCACGGCGACGCCCAUGCCCCCUUCAUCCGUCAUCAGCACCUUGUUGAGCAUCUGCUCCGAGUAGAGCGGCCAGCAGAGCAUGGGCACCCCGGCCGCGACGGCCUCCAGCACCGAGUUCCACCCGCAGUGCGUCAAGAACGCGCCCGCCGACGGGUGCCGGAGCACGGCGGCCUGCGGCGCCCACGACGCGACCACGAGGCCCCGGCCCCGGGUCCGCUCCAGGAACCCCGCCGGGAGCAGCGCCUCCAGGUCCGGCUCGGGGCGCUGCUCCAGGAGCUUCUUCGGGUCGUCGGUGCCGGCCGGCGUGCGCACCACCCAGAGGAACCGGUGCCCGGAUCUCUCCAGCCCGGCGGCGAUCUCCCGGAGCUGCGAUGCCGGGAGCGUGCCCCUGCUCCCGAAGCAGAGGUACACCACGCUGCGCUCCGGCUGCGCGUCCAGCCACGCAAGGCACCCGUCGCGCCUCUCUUGCGUCUCUUGGUCCGCCGCCGAGUCCGCACCGUCGCCAACGAUGGGCCCGACGCAGUAGACCGGCGGCAGCGCCUUGCCGGGGCCGACGCCGCACCGGAGAUGCCGGAGCGCCUCCACGGCGCGGGGCUCCAGCGACUCGAACGUGUUCACCACGACGCCAUUCAUGUCGGCGAUGCGCCUCCAGACGUCGACCAUGGCGCUGCACAGGUCCUCCUCCGGGUGCUCGAGCAGCUCCUUCACGAGGUGCGACGCCGGGAUCGGCGGGACGCCGGCGAACUCCAGCGGCGCGUCCCCGAGCUCCUUGAGGCCCUCCCGCCUGCCGGCGAGCAGCGCCGGCAGCUGCGCAACGACGGCGAAGAACCCGGCGCCCGAGGCGAAGAAGGUGUAGGCGAGGACGCCGAGCUCAGCGGCGACCUCGGCGGCGUAGGUGGAGAACAUGCCGGUGACGACGGAGUGCAGGCGGCGGCGCGGGAAGGAGCGGAGGAAGCGCGCGAGCUCGCCGUUGUACCGCCGCAGCAGCUGGAGAAUGUGGAAGAAAGGGGGCUUGCUGGAUCCCGCGAAGUCGGGGGGCGACGGGUCGGGAGGGAGGAAGUGGAACGUGAUGGCCGGGUUGGCGGCGAUGACAAGCUGGGUGGCGGCGGCGCCGGAGUCGGAGGACCAGAAGGGACGCUCGAUGAGCACCAUGGUGACGUCGAGGCCGCGGCGGAGGAGGACCUUGGCGAGCUCCGUCAUGGGGAUGAUGUGGCCCACGCCGAAGCUCGGGUACAUCACCACGGUCUGCCGCUGCUCCGCCUUGGGCGCCAUGGCGUUCUUCUCCUUCAGGACGCCGGCGCUGAUGUGGGACGGAGUGGAUGGACAUGGUGGUGCGUGACUGAACUGACAGUAUAGAGUACGUAGGUCAGCCUCGCACGAGAAGAAAGCAGCUGAUAACUUGGCUGUCGGUGGCAAAGGUGGCUGAAAGCUUUAUGGGCGGGAGGAUGCCUUUCCUGGAGGUUGCAGCCUCAAUAAUUCUUGGGAGAAGUUGCUCAAAAAAAAUCUUGACAGAAGGCAAAGAAUAGUCAAUAGACAUGCAACGUGCAGCUGGCUGGUUGCUUUGCAGCUGGCUGCUGCCUGCUGCAGCUUGCGUGCACAGCAGCUGCUGUGAUAGAGAGCCGAGCAGCAGCAGCCAGCCGACACGGCCUGUUCGCUUCAACUUAUUCAGUCGGCUUAUCAGCCACCAAACAGUGUUUUCCUCUCACCACAAAUCAGCCGUUUUAGCUUUUCAGCCGGCUUAUAAGCUGAACAGGCCUGGCCUGUUCGCUUCAGCUCAUAAGCCGACUGAAUAAGGACUUUUUCUCCCUGAAGAAAGGAUAAGGACUCGGUGUACAAAAGUUAUCCUUAUUUAAAAUCAAAAACACUUGUUGUUUAUGCUAGUUAAACUAAUGAUAAGGUGUCUGCUAAUAAGACAUGAUUAUGCAUGUUUUUUUCUUUUUUUGAUACUCAUGCAUGGUUGAUUAUGGGAAGCCCUUACCCUUUGGUAGAAUGGAAGAACCAAGGAGCUGAUAGAGCUGCGGCAGGAGGCCAAGAUUAUUGAGGUACAGCGUGAGGGGAUGGAUUUAGGGCAUUUAGCUAGGAGAUCCAUUCACGCUGCAGUAUAUAAUAAGGGGGUGUUUGGAAGGAGGGGGCUAAACUUUAGCCCUGUCACAUCGGAUGUUCGGAUACUAAUUAGGAGGACUAAACAUAAGCUAAUUACAAAACUAAUUGCAGAACCCCUAGGCUAAAUUGCGAGACGAAUCUAUUGAGCCUAAUUAAUCCAUCAUUAGUGAAUGGUUACUGUAGCACCACAUUGUCAAAUCAUGGACUAAUUAGGCUUAAUAGAUUCGUCUUGCGAUUUAGCCUAGGGGUUGUGUAAUUAGUUUUGUAAUUAGUCUAGAUUUAAUACUCCUAAUUAGUGUCCAAACAUUCGAUGUGACGGGGGCUAAAAUUUAGCCCCCUCCUCCCAAACACCCCCUAAGUUGAGGCAAGUGCCACUUGCAUUGCCCACUAGUUGAAUCUUAUUGUAAUGUAGUGUCCCCUAACUAAUCUUUAAAGAUCAUGUUUAUUUGCCUAAAAAAGAAACUAAAACAAAUUUGCACCUUUGUAAGGUGACUUGUAUCUUUUAUGGGUAAUUUUUUCUAGCCCUUUGUGUAUGAAACGUAAUUUGCACUAUAAUUUGUUCAAUAAAAUUCUUAUACUCGAUAAGUCAUUUCUAUGGCCUAUAGUAGUUCCCAAGUAACAAUAUCCACUUGUUAAAAAAAAGUGUUGCAGCUUCAUGAGGAAUUGAAAAUAGUGUGCCUCAUAACAAAAUGUGCUACGCAAAAGAGAAACAAAAAGUGUCAGUCAUCUGAACGGUUAUAUGUAGAUCCAAUAAUUAAAGAAAUGACUUACGCAUAAGCCAGAUCUAAGCCAUCUUAGAUGCCCCCCCCCCCAAAAAAAAAAAAGACCACCAAGCAAAAUUUUCCAUUGAUUAAACCGUAAUUUUUACAUUGUUUGUUGGUUUCACAGUUCGAUUAACAUAGGCGGCCCUUCCUGGUUGCUUGGUCAAGCUCUGCCCGGGUUGAGUUUGAGAUCUUUCUUUCAUUCAUGCAACACAAACCAUUUUAACUUCUUCUAUAAUUUAGCAGAGCUCCUGCUUUUUUUUAUUUUUAAAAAUCUUAUAAACUAGCUGGCGAUAUAAAGGUCGCUUUUCCUCCUGCUUAAUGAAAAACAAGUAUGGCGCGUUCAUAAAGAAAGGAUGGAUGGGUGUCUUCAAUCUUAAACCGUUGAAAACCUAUCAAACUUUGUGUAUCUUCCAAACUAUUACACGUAUUUAGCACAAUCCAUGCAUGUGUAAGAGUGUCAGGUUCAUCAAGCUAACACAUAAGGUGAAUUUGAAUUUAAAGGUUAAAUUUGCAUUAUCGGGACCAGGGAAUUUUUUAUUAUUAUUAUUUUCUUUUACGUUAUUUUUUUCUUUUACGAAUUUGCAGAAAUAAAUACCCGAGCAAAAAAAUCGCAGAACUAGACCUGUAUCGCCAGUUGAAAUGUCGGUAAGUUAAAAAAAAUUAAAAGGAGUUACCGCCAGUUCAAACGGCAGUUGGUUACAUGGUGGUGAUGUGGUAGCGGAGGGGGAAUUUACCGUCAUUUCAAACAGCAGUAAGUUCCCCCUCCCACCAUUCCGCCGGUGGCAGGAGGUGGAGCAGCCAUUUCAAUCGGCUGAUUUUUUUAUUAUUUUUAUUUCGUUUAAUUUUUUCUCUAAGUUAAAAAAAAAAAAUAAAGUUAGAUUGGAAGCACUAAAUGUUCGAAUAUGUCACUAUUGGUUGCAAUAUGAAACUUCCUAAUUUGAGGGAGAUAGAACCCUUCGAGGAAAUAAUUGAAAUUGAAUUAACUCCCGGCUAUUAAAUACAUAGCUGUUUCCAGCAAAAUUGCAACAUAUAAAAAUGAAAUUUGUGUACAACAUACGAACACCAAUGACUCUAGACUGAACAAUUAAUUAUAGAUUGUAGUGGCAUGUGCGGCAUGGAUGCUAUCCUAAACAUGUGCCGUUGCUAAACCUAACAUGCCUUAGGUAAUUGAAAUAGCCGGGAUAGGGUCAUCUCUACUUUCUAGUAGAACUAGCUUUGAGAGAGCUGGGAGGGUCCAGCCUCAUAGUAGCCAGCACCCCCAGAGGAAGGCGAUGACAGUGGGCAAUCCUUUGUUGUGGUGAUAGGGGCACUUGCACCAUGAGUCGGUACAAAUCAAGUCACCUGCGAUGUUUGCCCAAGGAUUUGCAUCAACUUUGGAUUGAAGAUCCUCUACCCUACGCUCGAGGUCAAAGAUCUUACACUUGAGGUAGUGGAUUUACUCUUGAGUUGGCUCAUGAAGUGGAGGAUCGACCCACUUCGCAUAGCGGCAGUUUCCUUCAUCGAGAUAAGACUGAACAUGAUGUUAGUUUGUAGCAUGAAAAGCUUAGCAAGAGUAAGGAAGUAAUAACAUUACUCACGAAGCCAUAUAGGCAUCAAAAGAAAUGCCAGCUUCCAUUACUGUUGGGGAUAGAUUACCAGUACACGCAAGGAAGGAAGAAGUUGGACUCCUUCUAGGAUUCUCCUGUAAUCCGACUAGGACUCAUAUCGUGUACCCCUACUAGGACUCCUCCUUGUAAUCCGACUAGGACUCCCACCCCCUGGAGUAUAUAAAGGAGGGCAAGGGUACCUAAAUCAGCAGAAUACAUCUCAACACCCAAGCGCAUGGCGCAAUAUACAAACACCCCCAAAACAGGACGUAGGGUAUUACACUACUCUGGCGGCCCGAACCUAUAUAAAUCUGUGUCUUGUGCCCUCGCUUUUACCUUCAAGUUCCAGGUCCGGUGAUCCCCCGCUACACAUUCUGCUACCUCGAGUACCCCUUGGUAGACGGCCGGUAUAAAACACCGACAUUGGCGCCCACCGUGGGGCACAUCGUCGAGAUUAUUAGGCGAGCUUGAAGGAUCUCAUCUUCAAAAUCAAUCUACUCAGCGUGCCAAGGUGGUUGUUUCGACCAAUAAGCAACUCAACAAGCUCUUGCGUCGACUCCAAAGCACAUUGGUUUCCGUCCAAUUUGGUCAUAGGAUCAUCUGCAGAGGCGCCGAGCAUGCUACAACAGAGGAGGUUAACCCACACGAUUCUCUGUGUUGUCUAUCAAUGCAUCACAACUGUCUCCGUUCCUAGCCGGACACGGAACGGACAAAGGUUCUUUUCUCGUGUCCGAUUCCAAGAAGGAACACCGGCUGCUCAAGCGUGGAGGCUUCUGAGUACAUCUCGUGAAAAAAAAAACAAAAACAAAACAAUUUGAGGCGUAAUGAGAUAAAAUUACUUAUAUGUAUUGCGCACAUGGAUCAAGACAGGGAGCAGUUUUUGCUACUGCUCAAAGCAUUGUGCUACACGCACACGGAGGCUAUCAUGAAGCUUCAAGACGUACAGAAAGUACACGAGUACUGCUCCAGCCACAUCUAGCCGCAAAUUACCUCGUCAACAACUCCUUCAGCUUCGUUGAUGACAACUUCGACUACUCGUCUCGAUUACUUCGUCGAGUGGCUCGCCAGUGACUACUCCGACUACAUCGUAACGUCUACCGAUGACUUCUCCGACUACGUCGCGGCGCUCACCGAUGACUCCUCCUAUGGCAUCGUGGCGCUUGUCGUCGACGACUCCUACGGCGUCGUGACGCUCGCCGAUGACUACUCCGACUAUAUCGCGAUGCUCACCGACGACUACUCCGGCUACGUCGUGACGCUCACUGACGACUACUUCGACAGACGACUCGCCGGCAACUAUGGCGACUACUCAUCUUGACUAAAAAACUAGUCGGGGGCGGGCCUCCCGCCGUCGACAACUAGCUGGAAUCAACUCCGACUAGUCGGCUUCAUCAACAAUCGUCGCGGUUUCAUCGACGACCGCCACGGCUUCAUCGACAAUCGUCCACGAAUCAAACUAAGUCACUUUUCUGACUAUUUCCUAGCUUGCUUUCCUCUUGCGCGCAACAAGCGCUCUACUCGCCGGAGGGUAGCAAACUCUCUCGCGCUACCGUGCUCUGUUUUUAUCGCAACAGCGACUAUUCCUUUUUGUCUUCUCUUAAGGUCACUACUCUUCUCGAGCAGAACACGCCUUAAUUCGUGAAAGCCUCGGGUGCACCUGUGACGUCAAAUGCUAGCACACAUACACGUGCAAACAGCAAUGCCCAUACGCGUACACAAGACACAGCUCUCACACACGCAGCGGCUACGCUAAACAGGGACUGAGAGCCUAAAACGUAACAGGCUAACUACUCGGGAAGAGUAUGAUUGGAACAAGAGUAUGACACACAAUGUUUACAUUGAUCGCUGAAUAAAUUUCAACAGUUUCAAUAUUCUGCAAAAAUGCUACAUAAUGUAUGCAUCUUUUCUUUCAGGCCAAGCUUCGGCGACAAUGCCCGUUGUGACGCUAAGCGUGCCUCCAGAGGCACAGACUAGUUCCCGAACUCGGAGGCUAAGCACCAAUCACUACUUGGAAUAUCUCCAGUGGCCCAGCUAACUCUCAGGCUUGGGGGCUAAGCGCCAAUAAACUACUCGACGUGGCUCCUAUGGCUCACCUGGCACAUAAGCUCGGGGGCUGGAUGCCGCAAAAACUACUCGGAUGAUAACUUGAGUGAAAAUUCAAGACCUUUGAGUUGAUUUUUCAAUCAAUUCAAGGCUCGGGGGCUGAUAAGCUACACCCAAGACUUUUUUCAUGCUGAAAGAAGAAGAUUCAAGAUUUUGACCCUCAGCCUGAUUCUGCGAUUCAACCUAAGGCUCGGGAGCUACUCCAUAUGGAGUGCGACUUUCGCCGCCCUCCAUACAUGAAGAUUGCAAUAUCAAGAUGAUCAAGGCUUUGAGCACACCAUAGCCUCAUGGCAGCUUUGAGAAGCUUUGAAGAUUCCGCCAGAUAAAGUACUCGCGGAACACCAAGACUACUCGGCAAAUAUCUUAAAAGUACUUGAAGACUACUGCAUUCGACUAUGAAGCGCUCGGGGGCUUGUCGGGGAUAGAUCCCCAGUACCCGCAAGGAAGGAAGAAGUUGGACUCCUACUAGGAUUCCCCUGUAAUCCGACUAGGACUCAUACCGUGUACCCCUACUAGGAAUCCUCCUUGUAAUCCGACUAGGAUUCCCGCCCCCUGGAGUAUAUAAAGGAGGACGAGGGUACUUAGAUCAGCAGAACACAUCUCAACACCCAAGCGCAGGGCGCAAUAUACAAACACCCCCAAAACAGGACGUAGGGUAUUACGCUACUCUAGUGGCCCGAACCUGUAUAAAUCCGUGUCUUGUGCCCUCGCUUUUACCUUCAAGUUCCAGGUCCGGCGAUCCCCCGCUACACAUUCUGCUACCUCGGGUACCCCUUGGUAGACGGCCGGUAUAAAACACCGACAAUUACCGUAGCCAUCAAACAGCUGCACGAUGCAAGCCACACCAUGGUGACACAUUGGUCAGCAUCAUGGCGGUCAUCAUAAGGCCUAAGGCAGUUUGGAGGGGCGUAGUUAGCCAUAUCAUACAGAGGGAAGUCAUCGAGAGGUGCCUUAUACUCCGUUGGGCUAAAAGAACCUGGCCAAGUGAUGGUGGGAAUAGGAGCAUCUCCUCCUCUUCCCCUCCUCCCACGACAUCUCCCUCUUGCGGACGUCAUUGUUCUUCCUCCUACUCAGUGGUGUGGAAGGAUACGGGAGAGGGAGGUCCAUAUAAGGAGUGUUGAGAUGGAGAUGCACUGUGCCCCCAUUUGUUCAGUACCCCGUCAUGUUCAAUCAUCCUGAAAAAAGGUUAAAUAUAGGCUUUGCAGGUGCAGGGACGUAGGGCCCAAUGUGGAGUCCCAUCUGCCUAAGAAGGCUCACGUUUAGGGUCCUUGCAGUCCAUUAUGUAGGCUUUUCAGUGACAGUUCACGUCAACAGUGGAUUAGCGCUAUUUGAGUAUUGUACUAGCAGCAGAGUAGUAUAAUGGCAAUAGUGUGGAAUCUGAGUACUUGAAGCAUCAAGAAGAAAUGUUAUUAAAGUGCAAACAACAGUACAAUGGCAUAUGAGGUGCCCAACAUGACAAACCUAAAGAGCACCUUGCCUAGGAUAAAAUGCCUUAGGUAAUGUAAAUUGGUGGAUCACAACUAAUGUUCUACUGGGUGAACCGGGGAAGUUUUCCCGUCCUUGCUGUUUUGGAGGAAUAUUCUCUAUCCUGCUUCUUCAUGUUCUUCUGUCGCUCUUCUUCCUAUAGGAGUUGCGCCUGACGAGCUUUGAAUUCUUCCUCAUAGCAUUUCAGUGCUGCCUCUCAAGCACCUAACUCUCACGUCGCCUCUAUAGUUCAUCCUCCUUACCCUUCAAACGAAUCAAUUGUUGGCGGAUGUGUCGCUCUUUCUCGAGCCGAGCAAGACGUGCCGCCACUCGAGCCUCUUCCAGCCUAGCAUAGUAUUGGCCUUUGGUCUCUAGCACCACUAGGAUUAUACCCACCUCCCCUAAAGGUGUAGUGUCAAUCCAUUCCAUAAAUGUGCAAGCCUACAUGUUGAUUCGUGAUUAGUUCUAGGUAUCGGUACAUAGAAAACAUAUUUAAAAUGCUUAUGAACGGACGGAUCUUGAAAUCAUCAUCAAUGUCAGGACACUUGAAGUAACUACACAUCUUCUUCCCCCGAGGUAAUCGAUCCUCCCAUAUUUACACACACGGAAGCUGCAGUGGCAUUUGGGGCGCUCAUUCCAUAGUGGAAUCCUAUUUUGCUCAUCCCUCCAUGACGAUAUUUCUUAGAGGGAGAAGCAACCUCACUACAAGUGUUGCAUUUGGGUUGAAAAUGUUGGAAUACGAGGUAGGCUACGCUAGCGCAAAUCAAAAUUUUCUACCGCGUAUAACCAGGAAGAACUGCCGUAUAAGGAUCACGGGAUUACCACUCGACGCACUACUGGUGCGGAAGAUGUAGAUAUGCGUCGGUGCAGUGAAGACGAUCACGUAGUCGUACGUAGUCGAUCACGUCUAGCAGCUUCUCAGCAGCUCGUCCACGUGCAGCAAGAUCGCCUCCGGUGCCGCGGCUCGUCGUCGGCUCGUCGUGGCUCGUCGGCGGCUCGUCGAUGGCUCGUCCAAGUGCUGCAGGCGCAACACCUCCAAGGUAUCCACACGUGCAGGGAGGAAGCGUCGCAAGCCGGAUUGCUAGAUCCGCGAGUUGCAACAGGCGAGGGCAUGGGAGGCGCGGCAAGUCUGUUUCGCCAAAAGGUGUAAACCCUAGGGUGCCCCCACCCCUCUAUUUAUAGAGGUUCCUGAUGGGCCUCUGGAUCCGAGGCCCAUUAGUACUCCUAAACCUAAUCCAACUCGGAUCAGAUCCGAAUUGGGCUUCCAGCCCCUUAAGUGUGUGACCCUAUGGGUUCGGAUACGUAUAGACAUGGCCCGAGUACUCCUACUCGGCCCAAUAGUCGGUAGCGGCCUCUAGCAAGACGUGCCAACUCCUAUACGCAUACGAAGAUCAUAUCAGACGAACCAUCACAACAUAAUAUACAUGUUAUUCCCUUUGCCUCACGAUAUUUGGUCUAGCUUCAAGCCGACCGCUCUUUCUCGAUCCUGUGAUUCGGAAUCCCUUUGUAGGUUAACUCUUAACCGUACGUAGCAUGGCCAUGCAUUUUCGGAUCCGAUCACUCGAGGGGCCCAGAGAUAUCACUCUCAAUCAGAGAGGGGCAAAUCCCAUCUUGAUUGACCAUGUCUCAUAGCAUGCUUCUUGACAAACCCGAAAGCUACCUUUAUAACUACCCUGUUACGGCGUAGCGUUUGAUGGCCCCUAAGUAGGUCGAUCCACAUCUAGAAUACAUGCGACAAUCUCAGGUCUAAGGACAAAGCGUAUAUGUUGUUUAAAGAGAGAACUACUUCUCGUGUUGGGUCAGUCCCAACACAUGUCUCCACAUGUGUUCACAUUAUUAGUUCAACAUCUCCAUGUCCAUGACUUGUGAAACAUAGUCAUCAACUAAUACAUGUGCUAGUCUAAUAUUCAUGUGUGUCCUCACAUGAACUCCGACUAGGGACAACUUUAGAAUAACCAUACAAGUAAAGAGUUUCACAUACAAUUCACAUAAUUGCAAAUCAAUUCAAGUAGCCUUUAAUGGAUAUUCAAUGAACACAAUAUACAAAUCAUGGAUACAAAUGGAAUAUCAUCAUCUCUAUGAUUGCCUCUAGGGCAUACCUCCAACAGUCUCCCACUUGCACUAGAGUCAAUCUAGAAGGUACCUAAUACCCAUAGCUCUUACAUGCGCAUCAUGCUUAGCUUGCGGGAGUGGUUUUGUCAACGGAUCAGAAAUGUUCAGAUCCGUGUGUAUUUUGCAUAUCUUGAUCUCACCCCGAUUAACGAAGUCUCGAAUAAGAUGAAAUCGCCGCAUUACGUGUUUGUUCUUCUGGUGGUUCCUUGGCUCCUUUGCUUGCGCAAUUGCCCCAUUGUUAUCACAGUAGAGAUUCAAUGGGCUGGACGCAUUCGGGAACACACCAAGCUCAAUGAGGAAAUUCCUUAUCCAAACACCUUCCUUCGCGGCUUCCGAAGCCGCGAUGUACUCGGCUUCUGUCGUAGAAUCGGCCACCGUCUCCUGCUUGGAACUCUUCCAACUAAUAGCACCACCAUUCAGCGUGAACACAAAUCCUGAUUGUGACUUUGAAUCAUCUCUGUCGGUUUGGAAACUAGCAUCGGUGUAACCUGUUACAACGAGCUCCUCCUCACCUCCAUAGACGAGGAACAUAUCUUUAGUCCUUCUCAAGUACUUAAGAAUGUUUUUCACCGCUGUCCAGUGACUCUCACCUGGAUCAGAUUGGUGUCUGCUUGUCAUACUUAGCGCAUAUGAAACAUCUGGGCGAGUACUUAUCAUUGCAUACAUGAUAGAUCCAAUAGCCGAGGCAUAUGGCACUCUACUCAUGCGAUCCCGCUCAUCAGCAGUCGAAGGACACUGAGUCUUGCUGAGAUGUAUGCCAUGUGACAUAGGCAAGAACCCUUUCUUUGCCUCUUCCAUGCUGAACCGCUUCAACACUUUGUCAAUGUAAGUAUCUUGGCUUAAACCUAUAAGCCUUCUCGAUCUAUCUCUAUAGAUCUUAAUGCCCAGAAUAUAUGCCGCUUCCCCUAAGUCCUUCAUCGAAAAACUAUUUUUUAGUGAAGUCUUUACGGACUCAAGCAUAGGAAUGUUAUUUCCAAUCAGUAAUAUGUCAUCCACAUAUAAGAUUAGAAAUACUACAGAGCUCCCACUAACCUUCUUGUAAACACAAGACUCUUCUUCGUUCUUGGUGAAGUCAAACCCUUUGACCACUUCAUCAAAACGAAUGUUCCAACUCCUAGAUGCUUGCUUCAAUCCAUAAAUGGAUCUCUGAAGCUUGCAUACCUUUCCAGCAUUUUUCGGAUCGACAAAACCCUCGGGCUGUAUCAUAUACACGUCCUCAGCUAGGUUUCCAUUCAGGAAAGCUGUCUUGACAUCCAUCUGCCAUAUCUCAUAAUCGAAAUAUGCAGCUAUAGCUAGAAUAAUCCGAAUGGACUUAAGCAUCACUACGGGCGAGAAGGUCUCGUCGUAGUCAACUCCUUGAACUUGUCGAAAACCUUUUGCGACAAGUCGUGCUUUAUAGAUGUGAACAUUUCCAUCCAUGUCCUUUUUCUUCUUAUAGAUCCACUUGCACUCUAUGGCUUUAACACCAUCAGGCGGGUCAACCAAGUUCCAAACUUGAUUGUCUCCCAUGGACUCUAUUUCGGAUUGCAUGGCACUCUGCCAUUUUUUGGAGUCUGGGUCCAUCAUUGCUUCUGCAUAUGUCGCAGGCUCAUCAUUGUCCAACAAUAAUAUUUCCCGCAUUUCGCGGAGCCUUGCCGACCUUCGUGGUUGUGGCGGUGCUUCUCUUGCCAUGGGUAUCUCAACUUGUUCUGCUACGUUAGCAUCACUCAUUGAUUCUUGCCCGAUUGGCUCAUCUUGAACUUCUUCAAGAUGCACUGUCUUUCCACUCUUUUCUCCUUUGAGAAACUCUUUCUCUAGGAAAAUCCCGUUCCGAGCGACAAACACUUUGCCUUCUGAUCGGUUGUAGAAAUAAUAUCCCAAGGUUUCCUUUGGAUAUCCCACGAAAAUGCACUUAUCCGACUUGGGUGUGAUCUUGUCCGACUGAAGUCGCUUGACAAACACUUCACAUCCCCAAAUCUUUAGAAAAGACAAACUAGGAACCUUUCCAGUCCAUAUCUCAUAUGGUGUCUUAACUACGGAUUUAGAUGGUACCCUAUUAAGUGUGAAAGCUGCUGUUUCUAGAGCGUAUCCCCAAAAUGACAACGGUAGAUUCGACUGGCUCAUCAUUGAUCGAACCAUGUCUAACAAAGUUCGAUUACGUCGUUCGGACACACCGUUUCUCUGAGGUGUUCCAGGCGGCGUAAGUUGUGGAACAAUUCCGCAACUCUUUAGAUGAUUGCUAAACUCGUGGCUUAAAUACUCGCCUCCACGAUCAGAUCGUAAGGCCUUAAUUUUCUUGCCACGCUGAUUUUCAACUUCAUUCUGAAAUUCCUUGAACUUUUCAAAGGUUUCAGACUUGUGCCUCAUCAAGUAGACAUAGCCAUAUCUACUAAAAUCAUCAGUGAAAGUUAUGAAGUAUUGGAAUCCUCCUCUAGCCGUCAUGCUCAUUGGUCCGCAUACAUCACUAUGUACGAGUUCCAACAAGUCUACUGCUCUCUCAGGAAAUCCUGUGAAAGGCGUCUUGGUCAUCUUGCCUAGCAAGCAAGCCUCGCAUGUCUCGUAUGAUUCGAAAUCAAACGAAGUUAGAAGUCCAUCAAAAUGGAGCUUAUUCAUGCGCUUAUCACUUAUAUGACCCAAACGACAAUGCCACAAGUAGGUAGGACUCAAAUCAUUAGGCCGAGGCCUUUUAGCACUUACAUUACAGACAGGUGAACCAUCAAGAUUUAAAACAAAUAAUCCAUUCACAAUGGGUGCAAAAGCCAUAAACAUAUUAUUCUUAGAGAUCACACAACCAUUGUUUUCACUCGCAAAUGAAUAACCAUCCUUCAUCAAGCAUGAAGGAGACAAAAUGUUUCGACUUAAACUAGGAACAAAAUAACAAUUAUUCAACUCCAUAAUAAAUCCUGACGGGAGGUGGAGUUGCAUCGUCCCGACGGUCAAAGCAGCAACUCUUGCAUUAUUGCCCACACGGAAAUCAACUUCUCCUAUUUCCACGCUUCUACUUCUUAUCAUUCCCUGCAUCGAAUUGCAAAUAUGAGCAACCGAUCCGGUAUCAAAUACCCAAGAAUUAAUAACUGUAUCAGCGAGAAAUAUGUUGUCUAUAACAUUAACAACAAGCGUACCUGAGGUAGAAGUACUCUUACUUCCGCCAUUCUUCAAGGAAGCUAGGUACUGCUUGCAGUUUCUCUUCCAGUGACCAAGUUCAUGACAGUAAAAGCACUCUUUGUCUGGAGCAGGUCCAGGUCCAGCUUUAACCUUGGGCGGUGGAUUUGGCUUGGACGUUCCAGCCUUGCCCUUCUUCUUCCAAGAAUUGCCCUUCUUCUUAAAGCUGGGCUUGUUCUGUAUCGCCAUCACAUGGCUGGUACUAGCGCUUUUCUUGAUGUCAGCCUCUGCUGUCUUGAGCAUACCACACAGCUCAUUCAGACCCUUCUCCGUCCCAUGCAUAUGGUAGUUCGAGAUGAAGUUCCCAUAGCUAGGCGGAAGAGACGAAAGAAUGAAAUCAGUGGCCAACUCUUGGCCCAGUGGGAAGCCUAGCUUCUCCAACCGUUGAGUGUAACCAACCAUCUUGAUUACGUGUGGUCCUACUGCUACGCCUUCUGCUAGCUUGCUCUCAACAAAGGCCUUAGACACAUUGAACCUUUCAGUCCUGGCCUGUGUUUGGAACAUGUCUCUAAGCGCCACGAUCAUAUCGUGCGCCUCAUGAUUUGUUUCGAACUGCAUCUGCAGCUCGGGUUCCAUGCAAGCAAGCAUAAGGCAGCUUACUUCGAGGUUAGCAUCACAUGCUUUCUUGUAAGCAUUCUUAGCAGCAGCGGGUGCAUCCUCAGCAGGUUCUUCUGGUAGUGGGUUGUCUAGAACAUCUUCCUUUUUCUCAGCCCUGAGAACAAUUCUCAGGUUGCGGAUCCAAUCCGAGUAGUUUGUUCCACUCAACUUGUCCUUCUCAAGGACCGAACGCAAAGCAAACGAUGUGGUGGUGUUGCUAGGUGCCAUUUAAUCUACAACAAAAGUAAUGCAAAAUACACUAAGACAAACGUAUCCAUGAUAGAGCAAAUUACAUUAAACUAUUUUAACAGAAUCUACUCCCACUAAAAUUAAUAUCCCUCUAUUGAAACUUAGUGAUUCAGGAUCCACAACUAACAAGUCUACUAGUGAGCUUUAGCAUCACCGCUAGCAAACGAGGUAGAUCGGUAAGCAACUUUUGCUAAUCAUAUCACAUAUGACUCCUGUUGUUGGGUGACAUCUCCAUGUCUCGGCGCCCAACCUUUAUGCCUCAAGGUCCUUAACCGUUAAGAUGACUUUGUUAAGCAAACCAACCCUUAUGCGUGUAAGUGUCCGACACAAACCCGUCUAGUCAAGGAAAACUAGUGGCACCCUAAUUUCAUAGACCCACCACUAAUUGUACAAGACAUGGGACGGUGCAAGUUUUAGUUGGGAGGGCAUACUAACUUAAACUUUGUGAGGGAUCGUUCUACUUCUAACAUCACAGCAUGCAGAAAGUAAAACAUAAACAGAAUAGCAUUCACACAGCUUGUGACACAGUAUGGCCCGUUUUCAUAUGGUGAUCUCCAUCUCCAUAGAACCUGUUCACCAUGGUGAUCUCCAUCUCCAUGUUCCAUGUGCGCCAUCCUCCUGGUGAUGAGUCCUCCAAGAACUAGAGCAUGCUAUUACGCCUAAUAGCUAGUAAAGAAUCUAGUAAUGAAGAUUACAUAGUUGCUUGGAUCAUCACAGAUUGGUACGCAGACCAUUAAAUACAAUAAAGUGACAACACAUAUGGCUCCUGCCGUGUUGCCGUACGCGCGACACGCAGGUCACGAAUGAGUUACAUACAUGCAUCACAUACACAAGGGGGCCAUACUGAUCACAAGAUACAUGCAUACAUCCUGCAAAACAGAGUUAGGCGUCCUAACGUUCCAAACUUCGGAGGCCCGAAACUCCAUCUUCCAAGCCGAAUUUGGCAAAUCUAAUUUCGCCGAAAACGGCAAAGCCGUUGAAUUUCAUGUGUAACUUUUUCUGUAGAUCAAUUUUCGUAUAGAAAUCGCCCCGAUCCGAGAUCGUACCGAAAAGUUACGGCUGAUUUACCGAAGCAUACGCAUACGGCAAAAUCCCGACCCCGGCAGUAGAUCCCAUCUACUAUUGCACAUCUAAUGCACCUGGCGUAUGACCCUGGAUCUCGAUUUGACCAAUCAUAUUGAUCUUCCCUCACUGCAACUGGAUUUACGUGUAUCACUUAACUCCGAUGGCGGAAACCGACCGGUAGGAGUAUGUCGUUACACUACCAUUACAGCAAGGGCACGAAAUCAGGACAUAGAUCAAACAGAGAACUCGCAUAUCUCCAUAUGCACACAUCCCGAAUCCAAAACUAAGCAGCUACGGCUCUUGAUACCACUGUUGGGAUACGAGGUAGGCUACGCUAGCGCAAAUCAAAAUUUUCUACCGCGUAUAACCAGGAAGAACUGCCGUAUAAGGAUCACGGGAUUACCA
rnacentral:lncRNA from 1 species